CCGAAGGCCCUUCUGAAGAAGAUGUAUUGACCAUCCUAGAAAUUGAACAAAGAGCACAUGAAAAUGGAUUACAGGUUUAGUAGGAUUUUUUAAAUCUAAUAUUUAGUGCUGGUAUAGUUGGCACUUUAAUAUUUACAUAUCUUAAAAGUUUUCUUCUAAAUUGCAGGAAAAUUACUAUUGGUUAGAUAGAAUUCUGCGAAGCUAUCAAUCAAGGAUUUAUUCGGGAGAUGUUGGAUCUACCUUCAAGGUAAUAUUGUGAUCUUUCUGUCUGUGGUCCAGUUCAUGUUUUUUUGCUUUCUCCUGUUACUUGCUUGGUUGUUAUCAAGGUGACAAAAGCAAGGCAUAUGCUUGAAUGUUUUAUAUGCAUAACUAACCAUCACCAAAGCUACAUUUCUCAGUUUUCCUUUUCUUUCCAUUUUAAAUUAUCUAUUUGAAAUGACCCCUGUGUUGCUGAGUACUCUUCAAUUUUUUUCUUGUGCAGGUCCAAGAUGAGGGUCGGUUAAAGGUUAGGGAGGUUUUGACACCACAGGCCAUGCAAAUGGCCUUGCAAAGAGUCAUAUCUUUCCCUUGUAAAAAACAGUACACCGUAGUAAUUCUCAUGCCAAAGUCGUCUCGCUGGAAUUCGUUGAUAUCAUUGUUUAGUUGCAGUUCUGGUGGAUUUAGCAGAGAUGCCAAGGUUAGAUAUUGUAUUUGCCAUGCUAUUGUUUCGAUUAAUUUCUACUCAAUGACCAUGUCAGCAUUUUGAGAUUCAUCCGCUUGUGCAGAUUUUGGCUGCCAUGGGUGGCGCACUGGUGUUAGCAGUCAGUUUGUGGAGAUACUCGCGUGGUGCAUUGAGAUCAUAGUACAGGCCAUAUUAUAUUUGUUUGAGCCAAGAUCCAGUUAGUACAUCUUUGUUACCACUGACCAUCAAUCUGGUGGAUGCGGUGAUAGUCAGGGAAGAUGGUAUACCGCAAGCAAUUGGUAGCUAACAAAUUCGUUGCAUCAUGCGUGCGUGUAAGACUGUAACAACACUGGUUAUAUUGCCGCAUGCGUGCCUGUAAUAGAGCCGGUGCAUAUUGAUUCUCCAGACUGAAUUAGGCAAACGCUAGAUUGCGUAGAUCCAUUUUUGUCGAGAUCUUCUGCAUGUAUUUUUGAUACCCAAAGUGACAAAGAAUAGAUGUACCGUUCUCAUUUGUUUGUCGCUAUUCUUAAUUCACAGUUUUCUCAUAUGAAUGUUAGAGAAUUUGAAUAUUUAGGGUUAUAUUAUUCGGCGUAUGUGGGUUGUGUUGUCUGAUUUGUACAACCGUAUAUUGUUGUAUUCUUAAAGGGUUUUUUCUGUCACCGCACUUUGUAACGAAUGCAAGUUGUCUCGGACCACUUUAAGAGAUCAUUUUAGGUUUUUUUUUUUCAAUAGGAUAAUUAAGCAAACUUUGGCGCUAACUUAAUUCAACUGAGCACAUGAUCAUGUUUAGUUUUGACCAUUAUUAGAUAAAAAAUGAUAAUAUGGAGUAUAUGGUUUGGUUGUCAAAAAAAUUACAAUAUCGAAUUAUUAAAUUUUCGCUGAUUUUUUCCCCGAAUGGUACACUACUUCUAUGCCGAUUAACGUACGUUAUUACUGAACCGAGGAGUAAUAGCAAAAUUUUAGAAAUGUGGCUUUGCUCGUUGGACACGAUUUGGAUCAGAGUCCGAGAAGCGACAAAAGGAGGAGAUGGAUUAGCAUCGUGUUCGUGUACGGCUACCCACAAGGUGCACCGACCAUUCUGGAGAUUUGGCGUGCUCUUGGAGCGACGCGUAUCUAUUCGAUAGAAAUAAAAUACUCCGUAAAUGAAAUGAAAUAGAGUACUCCAGAUUUCCAGAUUAGUACUGUAGAAAAGAAUCUCGAGUCUCUAGAUUUCUCGCAAGGACGCCAGUAGCGAGAAAGAGAGAGACGGAGGGAGAGCGUCCAAACCCCUGCCAAACCAGAGUGGCAGAGACCAGAGAGGCAAGCAGCCGACGAGGAAAGCAAGCGGACGCCAGGCGGCGGAGAGCAGAUCAAACAAAAGCCACCACCCCUUCUGCAGUCCUUGCGAGCGGUGGAGGAGAGAAGGAGGAAGGAGGAUGGCGGCGUGCCUGCACGACCACGCUUGCGAGGAUCACAACUGCGCCGCCGAUUGGUCGCUCUACAACCACAUCGAUAUCCCCAAGGUCCCCUAGUCCUAAUUCCCGCCCCUCUCUGUCUACUUCAGUAACCAGAUUGGUUAGCGUCCUCUUUUUCCCCCUCGUACUCCUCGAGCUGAACUCCGUUUAGUUUGCUCUUCCGUGAAUCUUCAUAAAUCUACGAUAUGCCGUGUUGGUUUCUACUGCAGAAAUUCAAGAAAGGUCGAUUAGGGCUCCUCUUGUUGCAUUUCUUUACGAUUAUUUCCCCAUACAGGUGGUGGCUCUGAAUGAGUCUGUGCCCGGGAGCGUCAAAUCGGUAUUCAAGCCGUGGGAGCAGCGCCUCGAGACUUCUGGGGUAUGUACUUCAGCCAACAUCGAUGGGUAGAGAUGGCAACAGGGGUCCUUAAGCUUGUGAUCUUGUAGUUCAGUAACCACUAGCCACCAUAACCCCGUUCUUAUGAUGUUGAUUGGUAAACAUAAUCUCAUUAGGUAGAGUUGUUUCCGUUGGUGCUUGUUGUCUGCCAUGGUUUGGGCAUUUGUAGAUUAGCUGUCACUGCCAAUCUUUUGCUUCAGUAUCAAAUACUCCGUCCUCAUGUGGAUCAAUGAUCUUCAUCUUGUUUGAUAUUGCAUUAGAACAAAUGCCGUUAGCAGCUUUCCUUGUAUUUCUAACUAGUACGUACUAGUUAAUUGGGCACAUCUUUGCACAUAAAAGGGCAUCCAUGGCAUGAUUUACAAGAUUACUCUACGAAGGAUUACAAUUGGUUUGUAACAUGUAGUAAGGAUGUCUGUAAAGCGUCAGACUAGCCACACAAGACAUAAAAUGCGUUAAGGGGAAAUGCUGACAUUCCGAAUUGGCAAUUGGGAAACAGUAGGCCAGAGAGUUGGGUAUGCAGACAUUUUGUAACUAAUGUUUUCUGACCUUUUACUAUGUGGUUUUAAAAAAAUUACCAUACUUCUGCUUGAUAUGUAGAGGUGCAGCAGGGUGACCCUCAGGGUACCCAUUGACCCUGCUUAGUUCAAACAAAUGAAAUAGUUUUUCAAAAAGUUGUUUCAUUUUAAAACUUUAGUUCAUUUGGUUGAACUAAGGAGGGUCAAAGGGUACCCUGAGGGUCACAAAGUUGCAGCUCUAUUGAUAUGUUGUGGAUGUUACUACUGCUUGUUAUGUCAGCAUAUCUGGCUUUACUAUUUAAUCCCUGUAAGGUAAAAAAGAAUGAAGAUGAAAAUCUUCAUGCUGUAAUUUAGAUCAUUUAUUCAAUGACAAGUGUUUUUAGCACGUCCUAUUUCUGAUGUUUCUUUUCAUAUCUGUUACCUGCACUCUCAUGAGCAUCCUUGCUGCACCAGGGUUUUCUGGAGAGUAAUGAGGGUGACCCUGAGUUACUUAUUUUCAUCCCGUAAGUAGCUCAUGUCAAUUAAAUUUAGAUGUAUGUGUGUGUACCUGUUCCCCUCUGUUUCUUGAUUAACUGCAUUGGUGCUUCAUUGCCUUAACACCAUAGAAGUAAACGUUAAUUGCAUGUUAAACAAUUUUUAUGUCUUCACAUGCAGGAUUGACCGCUAUAGUGUUUAGAAUUCAGAAAUUUGUGUUGUUUUGGCUUCAAGAGGCAUUAGAUGGACUUCUUUAUCAUAAUCAUUUGAUGGAUCUUUUAGUUUUGAUCAUCUGGUGAUGUGGUUGUGCUCACUUGUUCAAUCCAAGCUAUGCUUGUGGACACUGCAUUGAUUGAUGCGUGCUCUCUUUUCCCUGGACAUGUCAAAUCAUAUGUCUUCUGCUGGUUCAAUACUGAGGAAUCAUACAUAAUGAUUUCUAUGAAAAACUAUGCACUUUUAGUCAUUGAAAUAUGUCCUUUGCACAUCCUCCCAUCAGUUCUACAUAUCAUCUUGGAGAAUCCAGAAUUGUUUAUGAGGGCCUGCAUGCUAGUUCCACGUUAACCUCCUCAAGAUAGGAGAAAAUAGAUGACAUGGACAUCAAGACAUGUGUUGUCUUUCAUAAAGUUCUGUUGUAACAGAAACGGAAAGUUACCUGCAUUCUAUUUUGCAAUACUCUUUCUAUGUCUGGUAUUACAUUAAACUUGCAUCCAUAUGUGUUACAUUUUGUUCAUCUGACGUUAUAAUGGAAUAGGGUAUAAUACUUUUUAGACUUGUAUUAGGAGUUCAGACUUUUUUUUUGUAACUUCCAUUCCAAUAAUUGGUCACCUUUGGCAUGUGGUCCCUUUUCUUGUAGAUUCACAUCUGAUGUCAAGAUCAAAAGCAUUUCUGUUGUUGGUGGUGCUGAUGGGACAAGCCCUUCAAGGAUGAGAGUGUAAGUUUCAGAACUCUAGGUUUUCUAUUUCUUGACUCGUCCAAUUCUCUCCUCUUAAACAAUAAUGAUGUGAAAUUUAUGAAGAGUACCUUGAUACGUUACAGAUUUAUCAAUAGAGAAGGUAUCGACUUUUCCGAUGCUCAAAACAUGCAGCCUGUGCAGGUUUGUAUUUAAUUUUCUUCUUUUCUUACCCAGCUCACAAAGAAACUCCAGCUGUAGUUUUAGAUGUAUUGCUUGUGUAGGAAUGGGAACUGGCAGAGAAUUUGCAGGGUGUUCUUGAGUACCAAACAAGGUAAUAGUUAUUGUUCUUUUUGUGCAUGUACGUGCUAAUUCACAAAUUGUACUGUUAAAUAGUAAUGUUCAAGUUUUAGUCUCUUGAAACCUAAAUAUUUAAGUCCCUCCCAUAUAAACUACUACAUAUGUUUAGAUGAUAUGCUCCAUUAGAUAAAUUGCCUUUUGCUUCUGUAUAAGUUGGAGAACAACAUCAUCGAAUUGGGGGGGGAUGAUGUGUGGGCCCGGCAACACGUAUCUUUGACGCGUUUGGUGGUAUUUUCCAAGUUGGUAAUCUUUGCGAAGGUACUGAGAAUAUUGACUGCUAUCUGUUCCUGCUGCUCGAUAGGCUGAACUUUGUUAGAUAUGUGUGCUGCUGCUCUCUAAAUCAGUAGUUGUCAUUUUGCAGGUAGGGUAUUAGAUUUAAUCAUUUAAGUACUAGGUUGAUUUUGUUCCCUUGCUGUUUGCUGAAUUUCUUUUUUGCGCUAAGUUUUAAAGUUCUGUACGUUGCAUUCAGAGUAGCUUGUGUUGUAGGCGCUCCUUUUGAUCUUCACUUAUUGGGAUUUUUAUGUUCUUGUAGAUAUUCAAGGUUCCAGGGUGUGGCUAACCUUACUCUGCAUUUUCCUGAUAAUUUUGGUGGUGAUGCAACUAAGAUAUAUUACAUUGGGUUGCGUGGUGAAGCUACUCAGGUACAAAUGUUUGCUUGUUUAGUCUGGAAAGAUAAGUUGAAUGAAAUGCUGAUCCACAACAUUUAUUGCAGAACAAAAGGGAUGUUGUGGCCACAAUUGUAUAUGAAGUAAUGCCCAAUCCUUCUGAUCACAAGUAAGCUUUGCUGAAAACUGAGCAAUUUAUUUCAUUUUUAUACGUCAUUUGUGAAAGUAUUAAAGAGCUGAAUAUAGUCAUACUACAAAAGGAAGGGCCUCUUUGGAUCAUAGGAAUUAUAAAACUAAGGAAUAGGGAAAACGUAGAAAUCAAAUGUCAUGGGCAAACCCUACAGGAUUUGAGAACACAUGAAUAUGUAUAUAAGUUGUUUGGUUGCGUCAUAGGAAAAAAUGUAGGAAUUUUGUAUGGAGAUGAGUAUAUGACAUGGUUGUCAGACACAAAGAAAUUUUUCCGAGAGGUCUAACCUCUUGCUAGAAUUCCUAUAGAAUUGAGGUAUAGGAAAGCAAUCCAUAGGAAUUUUGUAGGAUCAAUUUCUUCGAACCAAAGAGCCUCUAGAGGAAAAAUCCUAUGGGCUAAAAUCCUACAAAGAUCCUUUGAAAUUCCUUCAAUCCAAAGAUGCCCGAAAUGUUGUUCCUUGAGUUUGCUGCACUUCAAGAGCUCCUCCAUAGUGUGUUCUUUGUUUAUUUUCCUCUUGAUUUUACUGAACCGUCAAGGUUGAGAUCUAACUAAGGCAGAUCAUAAUAGUAAUAAUUAUGUGCCCAAGAUUGAUAGUAAUAAUUAUGUGCCCAAGAUUGUUCCAGCCUUCCAAGGCAUAGGUAAACCAUAGUAAUAUGUUGCUUGAGUUAAAAUGAAUUGUUACAUUUGGCGGCUCCUGUCUAAUUCUAAAUUUGCAUAUUAUUCCGUAACUUGGUUUCAUUUUAUUGGUUUCACUGUACCAAUGAUAUCAUUUGGUGGUAUUUUCCAAUUUGCAGCGUUUUUUUAGUGUUACCCAGCCAAAACGCACAAGUUCUUCCAUGCAAAUGACUUGUUCUAGAGAUCGUUUUUUCUUGUUAAUGCUUUACCUUCUGUUGCUAUUAGUAUAGCAAGUACCAACUGAGGUGAUACCACUCUUCUCCCUGCAGAACAAAAUCCGAGACUGGAGGUGGUUUCUCACAUGUUGAGUAGACGUGUCAGAUGAGGUGUGAUAACAUCAUGUGCUGAAAAAAAUCUGAGGCAAAAAGUAAUAAACGUCCAAUUUUUCUGUUGGGCAGCUACCACUUAACCUGUUUUCCAUUUGCAGGCAGAUCAUAGUCAGGUGCUGCUCUUGGCUGGAGGAAAUGUGGCCCCUUUUAAGUUCUGUAUUAAUAAAACGAUCCAGCUCUUAGACUCGUAGCUUUGUCUCCUGGGUAUAGAACAAGUGUACCCGACGUUGUAGAUGGUGUGAUGAUGUAACCCAACUUUGAUGGUUGUUAGCUUGUAUGGUAAGACUGAUCUCCAAUUUUCGGUGUAUUCUACUCCCGCCAAUCCAUGAAAUGUGUCGACCAUUUUGUAGUAAGUUAGUCUAAAUUUUGUAUUUUACCAUUUUGUAGUAAGUUAGUCUAAAUUUUGUAUUAAAAUAAGAUCGGAGGGAGUAUUUGUUUAUGUCAGCUUGUAUGCAUAGCUGGUACACGGUAUCCUGAGGAACAGCACGAUCGCCCUAACAGCACCGAUACUCCAUUACCUCUGGCCUCUGGGAAUCAGGGCCCGGUUGGAAAUCUCCCCUCUGCAUUUGGGUAAUACGGUUCGCGGGAAAUACAAUUUUUUUCCAGAUUUGAGAACAUAUGCCAAAACCCGUAUUUGGUUAGGUCUAUUCUUCUACCCGCAAAACCAAAUUAGAAGCAUAGAUCUAAAAACAAAUCGAAAUAGUUGAAGGAAAAAGGAAGAAAGUAGCAGCUAGUUUGAACUAAUCCGAACAAGAAAUCAAGAAAGUAAAGGUACGGAGCUACAGAUACAACAAAACAAUUCAAGAAAUCAAUCAAGAUAUAACAAGUACUUCCUCUCUUAUCCUAAUUUUUGAUUCAAAUUUGCCUAAACAUGAGUGUAUCUAUUCUUAAAAAAACGUCUAGAUACAUAUAAUAUUUCGACAACAAUUUAGAAUCGGAGGAAGUAACAAAUCAUGCUAUGAUGGCCAUGUUGACGAGUGGAAGCUUCCAGGAAGAAUCGUUUUGUUGUCUCCUAGCUGGUAGGCACAACUGUAGCGCGCUGCUUGUUCCGUGUGAACGAGAGACGAGAGCAGGCUUGUGACGUGCCGGCGAGGAGGUGUUGGAGAGUGGAGCGGGGAUUUGGGUUGGGGAAUCGGGGAUGAGGAUAGGGCGACGUAGGGAUAGCGGGGGGGGGGGGGGGGGGGGGGGUUUCGGUAAGGGCAUCUCCAUCCGUCCUCCCGUUUAGGGGGCGCUAGCGCGAAAAUUCCGAUCCAGCCGGCCUCUCCAAAUUGCUUUUUCAGCCGGCGCAACCCAGAAAGUUAGCCGGCGCCCCUAGGCCGAACCCAACCCCCGGGGGGGCUGUCGGGGGCGCCGGCUCAGGCGCAAAACCUCGUGGGCCAGCACUGUCAGCGGCACAAACCCCAAAACAUACCCCAUUUGCCCCUCUCUGUGAGCUUCAGCGACUUCCACCCCCGAAUCGCCACCGGAACCACCCCUCUCACCGGCGACUGUACGCAGCAGAUAGAAAAAAACCUGCAGCCGCAUAGAUCUUUCUUUGCCGCCGCAGUUUCAGUUCCGCCGUCCGCCGCCGGCCAGUUCUAGCACCUCGUUGGUGCCCACCCCGCGGCCUCCUUGCUCGCAAGGUGUUCGACGAUUUGCCAAGACCAUGGAUUUGGACGACGAAGAGAUGCUCGCCGCGCUUUUUGACGAGGAAGUAGCCGCUGCCGAUGAUGCUGCCUCCGGCAGCGAACAUGAGCAUCAACUCAUCGUCUCAUCGCUUCUUGGCCUCAUCACCGAAGAUGCAGAGCGGCCGGGAAGGGGAGGAUCGAGGAAGGGCCGCCGCAAGAGCAAGGCGAGGCAAAGGAUGGAAGGCUACUGCAUGCUGUACGCCAACUACUUCGCUGAUGAUCCAUUGCACAACGAUGUGAUCUUUCGGCGUCGUUUCAGAAUGUCUCAGAAUCUCUUUUCGAAUAUCGCCGAGUACCUCCGGGAGUACGACGAUUACUUCAAAUUGAAGAGGGACGCCGUCGGCACACUUUGAAAUGCACGGUAUCCCUCCGUUUACUUGCUUAUGGAAUUCCUGCAAAUACACAGGACGACUACCUCCGCAUGGCCGAGUCCACGGCCAUCGAUUGCAUGUAUAAGUUCUGUAGGUCAAUUGUGGCGGUGUUUGGAGAUCAGUACUUGAGUACACCUACUGCAGAAGACACAGCUCGGAUCAUGGCAUAUAAUGCAGAAAGAGGAUUCCCAGGUAUACUUGGCAGCAUCGACUGUAUACAUUGGUCAUGGAAGAACUGUCCAUUUGCACACCAGAGCAUGUAUAAAAGCCACAAAGGAUCAUGUAGUGUGGUGCUUGAGGCAGUGGCCGAUCAGGAUCUGUGGAUUUGGCACUUCUUCGGUAUGGCCGGAUCGCACAAUGACAUCAAUGUGCCGCAAUGCUCGAAUGUGUUUGACAAGCUCGUUGAAGGCACUGCUCCUCCGGUGAACUAUGAGAUCAAUGGCCAUGUGUACAACAAAUGAUAUUACCUGGCAGAUGGCAUCUAUCCAAGAUGGUCGACUUUUGUGAAGACAAUCUCAAAUGCACCCGUAGGAGGAGCAAGAUCUUGGUUUGCGACGCAAUAGGAAGCAUGCCGGAAGGAUGUCGAGCGGGCAUUUGGUGUGUUGCAGGCUCGAUUUGCUAUCGUCAGGUACCCUGCUCUCACUUGGUCGAUCAGAUGUGGGAGAUCAUGACUACCUGUGUGAUCAUGCACAACAUGAUCAUUGAGAGCGAGCGGGAAUGUUCGGUGUUUGACACUGAACCGUGUGAACGGAUGGGUCCUCUAGCCACUGUUAAUCACCAGGUGCCAGCCGCCUUUGCUGGUUUCCUUGUCCGGUGGCAAGAAAUUCGAGAUGCCGGUACUCAUCAGCAACUUCAAAAUGAUCUGGUUGAGCAUUUGUGGAGGCUCCGAGGAAACGUCUGGUUUUUCUUAUUUGUUUGAAAUGUGAUUCAAAACUUAUCAAAUAAUGUGCUUGUUUCAAUUUGCAAUAUUUGUAAAUUUUGGUUUGGGGAGGCGUUUGGGGGCGCCUGCUGGGAACCGACUGGACCUUAAAAACAAAAUCUAUCCGGCGCCCCCGAUACGGCCGAAAAAAGUGGCAGGCCGGAUCCAAAAUAGCAGGGACGGCUGGACUGCAAUGAGUUUCCAUCCUUAGAGCAACUCCAGCCGCCCCCCUUAAGGCCUCCCAAACAUCAAAUGGGGGCGCCGGCGCCCAAAAACCACCUAGUCCAGCCCUGAAUUUCUAAAAAUUAGCCGGCGCGGCCUAAGAUUUUAGACGGCGCUCCCAGGCUGCACCCAACUCGCGGGGGUGUGAUCGGGGGCGCCGGCUGAAGCAAAAAGCAAUGCGGGCCACACCUGUCGGUGAGAUAAUACAAACUUUCCUCCAAAUUUUUGCCGGCACCCCCCUUUUCCCUCCACUUCCCCCCACCUGGACGGCCAGUCCCUCCAUUUUCCCCAUUCUCGCCGCCGACACCUCCUCAAAGCGCCUCGCCGACACCACCGCCACCCCAAAGCUAUGUCGUUGAAGAGGUAUGCAGCGCCUCGUUGCACGGCGGCCGGCAACGCAGCGGCGAAGAAACUGAGGGAGAAGAGCGUCCGCUUGGGAUGAGCAAUGCCAACGGGGCGGCAGAUUGUACCCGUCGCCUCGUCGAGAACGCCGCCCGCCGAGGUCGGGAGAAGAAGGCCAAGGAAAGAAACGCCGCCCUGGCUCGGCAGAUAAAGGCGAAGAGGGUCACGGCCUCGGCGUAGAUGGCCACGACCAUGGCAGGCAUGACGGUGCCGCGGCCACCCUCUGACCAGUACUGGUGCAGCGGCAGCCAAGGGAUUUCUUCGACGUAACAGUCGCCGUCAAGCAUUUCGCCGGUGUUGCCCCAUAUGCCCCAUGAAAACCAUGGAAAUGGCACGUCAUUCCUCUCACGGUUCUUGCCGGACAACCUCGACACCGAUCCCCUCGGCGGCUUCAACCCGAACACCUUCGCCAUGGAUCCCCUCGGUGGAUUCAACCCCAACGCCUUCGCCUCACCUCCUCUGUGGCGGGGGCCUCUUUCCUACGACAGUUCUUCGCCGUCCGCGUCCUUUCAGCAUUUCCCCGCCGGCUGCAGCCAGGCCACGCCCAACCCGUUUGGCGGAAUGGCGCAAGUGAAUGGGCAUUUCGUUCCCUAAUAAGUUUUGGUGUUAAUGACAACAUGACUUGUGGACUAAUCGUGCGCCAAGUGUUUUCAGAUUUGAUAACUUGUGUUGUGACACGAUUCUUCGCUCUCAAAAAGGAAAUAAGCGUAUAAGGAUUGACGCCUUUUUAUUUUAUUAAGUCGUAGGAAAAUCCGUACUAUAAAGAGGGAGUCCAUUUUUGAAAUCUUUAGGUGAAUCAACUUCACGUACACAAAUCUACUAGAUUGCACCCACAUAAAGCCUAAUUCCAGCUUUGAGUUGAGAGUUGCUUUAAUCCCGCUAAGUCUGUCAGACAAAUUCAGUUUUAGCUGAUACUGCCGCUUCAUUAGCCCGAGGUUCUGGUCGCCGGAAGUUCUACCCUGGUAUUGGUCAGGUAUUGAAAUGCUACUGGAAUCCUGCUGCGCAUAGUGUUAGGAGACCGGUAGCAAGGCAAAAGUUAUACCCCCUAAAACUUCCGGUCUGCCUCCGCCCUGGUACUGGUCUAAUUGAAUUUUGUCGUAACAAUUGGAUUUUGAAGGGGUAUAAAAGGGGCUUCGUCCCCAAUGGGUUUGGUUGCCCAAGCACACCCAAUUCAUCCCCUUUCUCUCACUCAAGAACACCAAGAGCUUCAAAUCUCGAGAUCUCUCCCUAGUGCAUCCCUAAGCCAAUACUUUGAGGAAGGGUUGAGAAGAGCUCGAUCUAGGGUUUCACCAAAUCAAAAGUUGAUUCCCCUCAUUUUCCUUGGUGUAUUUUGUUACUCUUAGGAUUUUCGGAUCCCUAGCCAGAAGGUGUCUCGUCAAGACUUCCAAUCUUGUGAGGAGGUGCUUGAGGAUUCGGGAAGAAGCCUCCAAUCAAGUUGUGGAUUUGUGCCCUUCUCCUUGUUUGUAAAGGUUCGGCGUUCGACUUCAAGGAAGCCAUUAGUGGAACUCACCUCGCCAUUGUGGUGUUGUGAGAGGAGAAUAGAGUGAGCCUUUGUGGUGCCUCUACCUUUGUGGAAGAGCACUCCUCCAAACGGAGACAUACACCUCCCCAAAAGGUGGAACUCCGAAGUAAAUCCCCGUCUCCCGUGUGGUAUCCUUCUUGCCCCUUUACUUACUUGUUUUACUUCAUUGUCUAUCCUUUGCUUCGGCUAGUGCUUCGGCUAUUGCACUUCAUACUAGGGUUACAUUACCUUUAGAGAAUCUAGUAAACCCUAGGAUUAAUUGUUUGUAUCUUUCAAGAAAAAAAAAAGAAAAGUAAAUUUGUUAGUCGCCUAUUCACCCCUCCCCUCUAGCUGACCAUACCGAUCUUUCAGCAAGGCGAGUCAAUCAUGGCCGACAUGAUCAACGACGGCUCCCAGCACGCCCAAUACACCUACAACCAAUAAUAAGAGGCUUACGCCGGUGAGGAUGACGAAGAGUGAGAAGAAUGGGUCGACAGGACAGAGGAGCCCGCCGUCGCUGAGCCGAGGGGGAAGAAGAAGUCGGUGGCCGAGAAGAAGAAGGCCGGGGGCGGAGGCCGAGGCCCCAAAUAGACCUCUAAGGAAGACGAGUGCCUCGCCGAAGCUUGGAAGGUCAUGAGCAUGGAUCCCUUCACCGGCGUGAAUCAAAAUGCCAACACCGAUUGGAGGUGGGUCAAGGCGGCGUAUGAUGAGCGUCGGGUUGUCGAUCGGGAGUUCACGAUGUUGACCCACGAUCGCAAUGAGUCCGGCAUGUCGCACCGAGGAGGCAUGAUCCAACAAGAGUGCAACAAAUGGCACGGCAUUCAAGAAGAGGUGUGCCGGCGACCCCAAAGCGGCAGCAUCUCCCACGAUCAGGUAAGCCAGCGUCUUUUUUCGGCGAUUUUACAUUUGCCGCCCGGGGUCUUGUAGAUGGUCGCCAUGUUCACUGCCUACCGAGAAGACAAUGACGACAUCGAGUUCAAUUUCAUCCACGUUUUGUAAGAAUUGAAACAUGCGACAAGUGGAUGGAGGCGCGGAAUGCUCUCUCCAAGUCUGGCACCUACGACCGGAAAGCCGCUCCUUCGGUGGCAUCGGAAGGCCGGCCCAUCGGCCACAAGAAGGCAAAGGCAAUGAGGGAUGCCGCGCUGGCCACGGAGCGUCUCUACACAUGCAUCGAGAAGCGCAUGUCCGACGCCGCUGCAAGAGCAGCGAAGAGGGAGAGGGUCACGGCGUCACGGUGGGUGAUGGUGAUCAAGAAGCAAGAUGACAAGCUUGAGAUCCUCAAGGCGAAUGUCGUGGCGAAGAAGAGGCGGGAUGACUUGUUGAUCUUGACAUGCGACACCACCGGCAUGGACGCCGAGGUGAAGGCGUGGACGACGGCUAGUGCAGGCUCAUUUUGGCCGAAGCGAGAGCGCCGGUGUCGGCGCCCGACACAGCAGCACCAGCCCCCUCUACUCCGUCGGCGCCAUCACCGCCCGAAAAAGCAACUCCGGCCACUUCUACACCACCGCGAGCUCGGAAGUGCCAUCAACACCGGUAGAUGACGAAGGGGCCGAGUGAUUUCACUUUAUUUAAGUUUGAUGUUAUUUUGAUCGCCGAAACUUGUGAUGAAUUUGGGCGAUUUGGUGAUUCGUGCUGGCCUGUGAAGUGGCCGCCCCCUCGUCGAUGAUGAGUGCCCUAGCUCCCUUCCACCUUGGAGGACCCCUCGUCGGCAGUCAACCUCAACAUCGGCCUCGAAGAGCAACACAAGGACACCACCUGCAAGCUCCAUGCAUGAGGGAAGGAACGCAUUGACUCGGUGUUCCGCAACCUGCGUAGCAUCCAUCUGGCAGAGAAGGAGCCCCCCUCUCCACUUCAUCGACAUGAUCCCCAAGGCCAAGAAUGAGAAGACCAUGCAGUACUGCCUAGAAAAGGCUUCCCACAUGUUCAGGACCACGCCUUGCGAUGUUGGGCUCAAGGACAGUGGCAUGCCAGGGCCUACCCCGCUGCAGCACCUCUAGAUGUUUGGCGGCCAUGUCGGGUGAACCCAACCAACCUAGCAUCGGAGAGCACCGGUACCCCAUGAUCGGGCCAGAGAACAUGGCUGCAACCCUUGUCUAUGGUUUGUUAAAGCCGUCAGACCCCUGCACCCUAGCCAAGUUUGUAGGGCCCAUAUGUGUUUGGGAAGUUUGUAUUUUGUUGUGUUUCCCUUCUACCCACUAGGGCUUUUGCAACCUUAAGCUUCCCUGUUGAAAGAUCGGUAUGGUCGGCUAGAGGGGGGGUGAAUAGGCGACUACCAAAUUUUACUUUUUAUUUUUAUUUUUAUUUUCUUGAAAGAUACAAAGCACUUAAUCCUAGGGUUUGCUAGAUUUCUAAAGUGAAUGCAACCCUAGUAUGAAAUGCAAUAGCCAAAGCAACAAUAGAUAGCAAGAAUGUAAAAGGGAAAAGAUACACGCGAAGACGAAGAUUUCACCGGAGUUCCACCUAUUGGGGUCAGUGUACGUCUCCAUUUGGAGGAGUGCUCUGCCACAAAGGUAGAGACGUCACGAUGGCUCACUCUAUUCUCCAACUCACCACACCACAAAGGUGGGAUGAGCUCUCACAACACCACAAAGGUGAGGUGAGUUUCACUAGUGGCUUCCUUGGGGGCAAAGUCCAAACCCUUACAAACUUGACCGGGGCUAGAAACCAAUUGGAGGCUCCCAAUCCAAUCCCCGAGCUCCUCACACCAAGGGAGAGCUCAAGGCAACCGCUUCCGUCUAGGGCUUCCAAAAGCCCAAGAGAAACGAAAUUCACAAGAGAAACAAGGGGAAUCAACUUUGUGACUUGGUGAAACCCUAAAUCUAGCUCUUGUCCUCCAAUCCUCAAAGAAUCAACAAGGGGGAAGCUCUAUGGAGGGAGAUCUUUUGGUGCCUGUGUUUGCCCAGUUCCGGCUCAACCUCCUGAAAUCCAUAUAGGAUUCCAGUAGCAUCACGGAGCUGGUCCGGAGGUAGGGUGGAAGUUCCGGUUGCCCGGAACUCCACCGGAACUUCCGGACCUGGGCAAACACAGGCACCACAGCUAGAUUAAGAAAAUUGUUGUCUCACUUUUUGGUAGGCUUUAUGUGGGUGCAAGAUGUAUGUUUGUGUACGUGAAAAGCGAUUCACCCAUUACCUUCCCAUGUGGACUCCCUCUUAAUAGUACGGAGUUCCUACGACUCAAUACAUGAAAAAGCUAGCCGCUAAACUCCACUACGCUUCUUUUCCAAACUUGAGGGCAUCGAAUCGUUUUGCGCCAAUUGAUAUCAAAUCUGAAAAAACUUAACGCACGAUUAGUCCACACAACGCGUUGUCCUCACCACCAAAACCACUUAGGAGAGAAAUGCCCUUUCAAUCUCCCCUUUUUGGUGAAUGAUGACAACACAAAGAUUUGCAUAAAGAUAAGCAAUUAAACUAGAUGUAAAAGGAAUACAAAAUAUAGACGAGCUCCCCCUAGGUGUAUGCACCAAAUAAUUUUGCAUGAUAUGCAAAGUGCACAUACCUUAGGAUCAACACUCCCCCUAAAUUUUGUAAACCAAUACCUCAAUUGCAAAGGAUUAAAGAUACAACUAUAAGCUCUCUCAAGAGUAAGAGGAUUCAUUCAUUCAAAGAUUAGAGCAAUACCUCACAAGGCAUAUCAACAUUGAAUGAAACCUUUUGCAAUGAGAUCAUGUGGUGGAGCAUAAGCUACAAGGGCACAAACACAAACUUCUCCACACAUGAUAAGUAAGACAUGAUGUAUAACAAAUAAGCAAACUACCAUAGCAAGUCAAUGUGCAAAUAGGCAUGAAGCACAAAUCCAUAAGACUAGCUAUUACACACAUCACUCCAAAUAGUUAUCAAGUUUUACUCAAACCACGAUAAAGUAGCUCACAACAAAGUAAUUAAGUUCACAAGCACAUAAGACCAAAGACGGCAAUAAAGAAACAAGCUUGUGACUUCAAACACUUCCCAUGCAAAUCCAACGCUCCUAAGACUCUCCGUCUCACUACACUCUCCCCCUUUGGCAUCAAGACACCAAAAAGGGAGGAAAGUCCCAAGAGGGAAAAGCAAACAAAUCACUCGGAGUCUUCUUCUUCCUCUUCUUCUGCUUCUAUUUCUUCUUCUUCUUCGGAUGCUUCAUCAUCCUCAUUACCACUAGCAGCGGGUAACUCAUCUUCGACUGGAGAAGGAAAGUGGCCAUCAUCUCGUUCCCGAUUUCCAUGGGAUGACUUCCAUGCGACAAAGUCCUCAUCCUCUGACACGGAGGAGACAUCCUCAGCUCCAAGGGUCUUCAAGAUGGCAUUUUGCUUGCGAAGAAUGCGGUGAUUGUCCUUGUAGUUCUUGUACACCUUCUGCUCCAUGGAUUUCUACAUACAAAAGACUUUCCGAAUCUUAGCAAUCCAUCCUUCCUUCUUGCCUGGGAGAGAGGGGCUAGAAGAGGGAGCAUAAUCAAAAUCCAUGGGGUCUUCCUCCUCAUCAUCGGUGUCAACCGUGUCGCCAAACCGCGGUGCAAGGUGCUUCUUCUUCUUCAACUUCUUGAUGUGGUGAGGCUCAUAGGUCAUAUCGGCAAGCUUGUGAGCCUUGGCUAGGAUUAGCUUCAUGAUGAAUGGGGCAUAUGGAGGAACUCUCCUAGAGACAAUGGCAAAGUUCAACUCAUGCCAAAUGUAAUCCAUCACAUCCAAUGGUUCUUCACCAUGCCUUCUCAAAUGGGUUUGGAGCAUGAGAUCCACCCCAUAUCCAUGAAUCUCAUCGGAAUUCCCUGUCUUGCAAGCAAUGGUCUCACAGUAAAUGCGUUGCAAGAUGUCAUAGGUAGGCUUCAAGUACUUGGUUGCCCCUGGAAUGGCCCUUCCCUCAAGAUAGAGAGGCUUCAAAACCUUCUUGUCAUACGGAUUGGGAAUAUCAUGAAUGCGAAAGCCUGACGGUGUGCAAUGUCCAGCAUCGGGAUAACCAAGGAUAGCAACAAACUCAGCCUAGGUGGCGUUAACUUGGCGAUUAAGAGUCAUCCAUGUCAUCCUUCUCACAUUGUCUGCAUCAUUCUCCUCUAGGUGCACCGUGGCAUAGAAUUGAGCCACGAGAUACUCAUUGAACUGUUGAUUCACUUGCAUGAUGGGAAGAAGCUUCAAAGUAUUGCAAAUGGCAAGUGCAUCUCCAAAAUAAUCCAUGUCAUCUUCCAUAGCCUUCACAUUGAUGGUGCACUGAGGCACAACCUUGUUGACCGGAGUCAUGUAAACUUCUUCAAAGAGACGAAUCUGAAAAGUGUUGUGGAAGUUGUCAUCUUAAAUGUUUUCUUCUUGAGGAAUGGUGUAAGGGUUCCUACGCCUCUCAACCGUAAACACUUGUUGAGGCCACUUCUUGAUAGCAUAGGCUUUCCUUACUUUCCUUGACGGGCGGCUGCCUUUGAUCUCUGCACUUUGGGCAUGGGGCGCUCCCGCUCAGCCCGGAUGAUCUCCGCCUUGCGCUUAUUGGAAAGCCAUGGAGGCGGUGAGGGAACCUUGGCCUUGCCUUUGCCCUUCUUGCUAGAGCUUGCACCUCCCGAGACAAGAAUAAAGAUACGAUGGACAAGAGAUAAGUGCUCAGGAAUUAAGGAUCAAUAAUAGAUUAUAUGGAUGCAAAACUUAUGCUGACAAAUCGCUCCAGGUCCGGAAGUUCCAGUCCAGGGGCGAAAGUUCCGCUGGUCACGGUAAUGGAACUACCGAAUCCGGAUCAAUGUGCCAACAUAGUUAGAAAUCCAUGCAAUCUAGUCAAUCAACCCUACAUAGGCAAUGGAAUCCACCACAAAUUUUCCCUAAUUUCUCUCAAACACAAGGAUUUGAAACCAAACCCUAGAGGGAAGGAGAGGAGGCAAUACCGGUCCGUCCCAUGGUGGAGAUCAAGGGGAACAGUCCCCACGGAGCAGAUCGGGAGGAGGCCGGAGGUCCCGGCGGAUCCAAGCGAAGCUUGGUGAAGUUCUUCGGGUUCGGUGGAGAGCAAGAGAGAGAGGGGGGUCGGGGCCGAGUGGGGAAGAAACUCUCCAACUCGGGUCGGUCCCCCCCACUUAACGGUUCGCUCCAGGGCCGGAAGUUUCGCCGAAGGCCUUAACUUCCGGGUACCCGGAACAUCCGCCGCCCUUUCGGCCCAACCUCCGCAAAACGCACCAUGAUACUAGUAGCAUCACGGAGGUGCUACGGAGGUAGGCCGGAAGUUCCGGCUAACCGGAGGUCGGCCGGAAGUUCCGCCGAUCCCAGAAAAAUUCCAAUGUGUCAAAGGAUAGGAAAUUUUGAGCAUAAGAGAAUGAAAUUGGUAUAGAUAAGAUUGGCCUGGGUUGGAUUAUUACACAAAGGGUGAUACAUAUGGAUGUAUACACUCACUCUUGCAAGAUGCAAAUUGAAAUACCAAGAGAUGAGUGCUUUCCAAUAAUAAGCAUAUAAUGUCAUAAUUGACCAUAUAAAAGGAUUUGCAAGGUAUUAGAAGAAAUCAACCUCACAAGAGUGAGGGCGGUGGCCUAGGCCACCAUAUUUGAGUAUGUAUGAGCUUGACACCGAGAAUAUAGAUUCUUGGGCUCAAGACUCAAAACUCACAUUGAAGCUCAAUGUAUAAAAUUAAUGUUAGCAUAGUAAGAGUAACAUUUGCCCAUGAAUUGAGCAAUGCUCCUCCUACGUCCAUGCGCGCAUCCAAACUAGACAAAUGUUAGCCGUGGGUACGGGUGCAAGUUUAUCAAACCACAACACUAAAAUCUAGGAUAUUUAGCUCAUGCCUUAACUCCCGAAAUCUUGCUUCAUCAAUUCGCUUCAUGAAAAUAUCCGCUAGUUGCUUACCAGUGGCAACAUAAGAGAGAUCAACAUCACCACGGGCCACAUGCUCUCGAAUGAAAUGAUGACGAAUCCCAAUAUGCUUCGUGCUAUGUUGGCACGGGGUUGCACUCUCAUUGUCACAUAAAAGAGGCACACUGUCACAAGUGAUUCCAUAGUCCAACAAUGUUUGUCUCAUCCAUAAUAAUUGUGCACAACAACUUGCGGCGGCUAUAUACUCGGCUUCCGUCGUGGAGAGAGAAAUACAAUUUUGCUUCUUAGAAAACCAACUCACCAAAGACCUACCAAGAAGUUGGCACGUUCCGGAAGUUGACUUCUUAUCCACUUUGUCUCCCGCCCAAUCCGAAUCCGAAUAUCCCAUGAGCUUGAAACUUGAUCCUUUAGGAUACCAUAAACCAAAGUUUGGGGUAUGAACCAAAUAUAUCUAAAGAUUCUUUUGACCGCCACUAAGUGGCAUUCUUUUGGUGCGGAUUGAUAUCUUGCACAAAUACCUACACUCAAUAUAAUAUCUGGUCUAGAUGCACAAAGGUAAAGCAAAGAACCAAUCAUAUAACGAUAUACCUUUUGAUCCACAUCUUUACCAUUGGGAUCGAGAUCAAGAGAGCUUGAUGUAGGCAUUGGGGUAUUGGCACUCUUGGCAUCAUGCAUCUUAAAUCUCUUUAGCAUAUAUUGGGUGUAUUUGGUUUGAUUAAUAAAGAUUUCUCCUCUCAAUUACUUGAUUUCAAAUCCAAGUAAGAACUCCAAUUUACCCAUCAUAGACAUCUCAAACUUUUCGGUCAUUAGCUUAGCAAAUUGAUCAUUGAACACACCAUUAGUAGAACCAAAUAUGAUGUCAUCAACAUAUAGUUGACAUAUAAACAAAUCACCACCAACCAUCUUAGUAAAAAAAGUGGGGUCAAUUACCUCAAUUUCAAAGUCACGUCCACUAGUAGCUCUUUUAGGUGCUCAUACCAAGCUCGUGGUGCUUGUUUGAGACCAUAAAGGGCUUUAUCAAGUUUGCAUACGUGGUUAGGAAAUUGAGGGUCCUCAAACCCCGGUGGUUGUUUGAUAUACACCAACUCAUUUAGUGGAGCAUUUAGAAAUGCACUUUUCACAUCCAUUUGUUGCAAAGUAAUGUCAUGAUGCGACGCAUAUGCAAGCAAGAUAUGAAUAGAUUCAAGGCGAGCAACGGGAGCGAAAGUUUCACCGUAGUCAAUACACUCGACUUGGGAGAAACCUUGAGCCACCAAUCUUGCCUUGUUCCUUGUCACUUGUCCAAGUGCAUCUUCCUAUUCUUGAAUAUCCAUUUGGUGCCAAUGACAUUCUUGCAAUCUUUUGGUCUUUCCACCGAUGACCAUACUCUAUUGCGCUCGAAGUUAUUCAACUCUUCAUGCAUGGCAUUAAGCCAAUCCGGAUCCUCUAGUGCUUCUUGUACUUUUUGGGGCUCAACCUUUGAGGAUACUCUGCAAAGAUCUCAUAUUAACAUGGGCUAGACGGCGAUGCCAUAGCCAACCCACAUCAACUUUAGCCAUUAGACAUGUUUCUUCUCUAGUGGGUUUCUUACCGAAAUUUACCACAUAGAGACCAUUUUCCACAUAUCCAACAAAGGCUACUUUAAGAGUCUUGCUCCACAAAAGGGUCACACUAGUUGUGCCAAAGAAGGAAUAAAAACCGAUAUGUGAAAGUUAAAGUACCGAAAGUAAAUUGUAUGAAAGGGACUCAACAAGCAUGACAUUCUCAAUGGAUGUAUCCGGAGAAAUGACAACAUUGCCUAGACCCAAUACCGUUGAUUGUGAAUCUCCAAAUAUAACUUGCUUGGACCUUGAUGUACUCAUUUUGGCGUGCACAAGCAAUUCUUUGCUCCCGGUCAUAUGAUUAGUGCAUCCACUAUCCACUAUCCAUGAAGAUCUACCGAAAGCAACCUCCUACAAGUUUAAGCUUUGGUUUUAGGUACCCAUCUUUGAAUGGGUCCUUUAGCGUUAUCAAUAAGGGUCUUAGGAACCCAAAUAGACCAAUGAACAUAUUCAUAAGGAGAACCAACAAAUUUGGCAUAAACAUGCCCAUCAUUAGUACGACAAAGAACAUAUGAGGGAUUGAAAUCUCCGGCACUAUUAUCAUAGGUGGCCUUGACACCCUUCUUGUUCUUUGGCUUCUCCUUGGCCACCUCCCCUUCCUUCACAAAAUAAACAUUAGUGCGGGGAGGAGCCUUGGCCUUCUUCUUGUUGUUGCUCUUCUCAUUGGGGUUAUACCCAAUUCCCUCCAAUCCAAAGGCUUUUCUAUGAUCAUUCAAAAGAUCAUGGAGGUUCUUCUCCCCUUGGACGCAAGUGGAUAGUCCCUUCUCAAGUUGGGCCUUCAACCUAGCAUUCUGCUCAAUCAUAGAUGUAUGCUUACAACAAGGAUUAGUUGAAGCAUCUUUAUCAUUACAAAUUAAUUCCUUAACAAGACUCUUUGAGAGACUUGUACUCACUUGUCAAGGACUUGUGAUCAUUUCCAAGCUUGUCAUAAGUCCUCAAGGAGGUUCCUAUGACCAUACUCAACUUCACAGAUCCUAGCAUAGUAAUCAUUAGCAAGGGACUUAGCAUUAUCAUAGGAAUUUUUAACUUUAGCAAGUUCCUUAGUAAGUGACUCAUCAAUUGCUUUCCUAUUUGCUUGUUCUUCCUCAAGAGCUUUAUUAAGCUCCGCAAUCUCAUGAGCGGCAACGCACUCAAGUCUUACCUUCUCAUCCAUGAGCUCAUCAUGUUCUUCAAUACUAGCUUGAGCUUCACCUAAUUUUUCCAAGAGGUCCUCAAACCUCUUUUUGGUCUCACCUUCCAAGCAUGCCAUGAAGAUCUCAAAGUCAUUCAUGUUAUGCUUAACAACACUACUCUCCUCCACACAAUCAAAUAGAGAUAAACUCUUAGGAAUGACAUGCUUGGUGGGAGAAGGGAUUACCGAAGAGGUCUUGGCCAUAAGGCACUUGGGUGAGUGGUUCUUGUUCUCGUUGGGGGAGUCGAAGAGAGAUGGAAGUGAAGGAGCAAUGGCAAUGUUUGCCUUCUCCGUGGACUCUUCCUCAUCAUCAUCUUCAUUACCUAAAGUGUAUUCCUCUUGAACAAGACGCAUUCUUGGUUGCCUCUUCUUUGUUGGCUUCUUGUGAAAGGAGGGCUUGGUCUUCCCCUUAAGGAUGAGGCGACCACCAUUCUCCUCCUGCUUCUCAUAAAAUUACACUCUGCAACGGAAUGGUCAUUGUUACCACAAUUAUAACAUUUACGAGAUCUUUGACUUUUGGGCUUGGAGCUUGAAGCUCCUUUGUUGUUGUAGUAGUUGUUGGGGUUGAAAGUGUUGGUCUUGACAAACUUCUUGUUCUUCCAAAAAGCUUGAGCCGCAAGAGCCACGUGAUCACUAAACUUAUAGUUGCAAUUUUCAUCCGUGAUCUCAACUUUCUUCUUGUUGGGGUGCUUCACUUGAUGUUGAAGCGGGAGUCACGUUGGCCUUCAAUGCAAGGUUUGAGCUUUCUGAGAGAAACUUGGCGCGAAUGAGGUUGUCCUCGGAGGUCUUCUUGAGAAUAUCAAUAGCCACAAAUUCUCCCAUCACUUGACUUGGAGUCAAGCUAUAGUAGUCCGUUCUUUGCCUAAUCAUUGCGGCAUGGACCUCUCGGUGUGGGGAGAUGGCUUCUAUGAAUAGACGCUUUAUCCAUUCAUCAUUGAUGUCACGACUUCCAUGGUCCUUCAUCUUGGCUCCAAGAAUGAUGACUCUCCUAUAUAGCUCAUCUGGAACCUCUCCAUCAUUCAUGAAGAAAUUCUUGCAUUCAUUAAUGACCACUUCAAACUUUGACUUCUUGACACUCUAAUUGUUGUCAAAGUGAUCACCAAUGAGCUUCCAAGCAUCUCUAGCGGAAUCAACUCCACGAACAUAGGUUUUAUACUCCAAAGGUAGAGUCUUUAGGAGUAUUCCAAUCGCAUGCUCAUUGAGUUGAUUGUCCACAUACUCUCUUGGUGACAUUUUCUUGGGAUCAUACACAAAAUAACCUUCAUCAACAAUUCUCCACAACUCCGUUGAUGUGCUCUUGAAGUGAGUCCUCAUGGAAUGAAACCAAUCAAUGUAGUUAGUAGAGGUUAGCAUGGGGGGAUCACCUUGGUGGAAAAUUAUGGUGACGAGAAUUGUAAGGAGGUGGUGAAGCCACAUCACUAUACAACCCAAAUCCGCCCCUACCUUGGGAUUUGGUAGCACUCUCUUCGAUAGCCUUAGCUUUUUUACGGGCUUCGGCAUCCGAAUCUUCCUUAGUCAAAUCCACCGCACUUGGUGGCUUGGCAUUGACGGAUUCGGUAGUAGAACAAGAGGCUUUGUUAGGUAGGUGCUCACUAAUCAUUUUGUCCACACUAUCUAGAAUCACCUUUUGCAUGCUAUCAAAAAGCAAUUUGAUGGAUUUAAAAGUUAGUGGAGCAUUAUCAUCUAUCACCUCGGUUUCUUGGGGUUCCAUGGUGGGUUCCCCAUAAUCGCCGGCCAUACUCUUAAGAGCGGUAAAGCCCUAAUUAAGACGAGGCUCUGAUACAAAUUUUACUUUUUGUUUUUCUUUUCUUGAAAGAUACAAAGCACUUAAUCUUAAGGUUUGCUAGAUUUUCUAAAGUGAAUGCAACCCUAGUAUGAAAUGCAAUAGUCGAAGCAAUAGCCGAAGCAACAAUAGAUAGCAAGAAUGUAAAGGGGAAAAGAUACCACACGCGGAGACGAAAAUUUCACCGGAGUUCCACCUAUUGGGGUCGGUGUACAUCUCCAUUUGGAGGAGUGCUCUAUCACAAAGGUAGAGACGCCACGAAGGCUCACUCUAUUCUCCAACUCACCGCACCACAAAGGUGUGGGAUGAGCUCUCACAACACCACAAAGGUGAGGUGAGUUCCACUAGUGGCUUCCUUGGGGGCAAAGUCCAAACCCUUACAAACUUGACCGAGGCUAGCUCCGCAAACCAAUUGGAGGCUUCCAAUCCAAUCCCCGAGCUCCUCACACCAAGGGAGAGCUCAAGGCAACCGCUUCCGUCUAGAGCUCCCAAAAGCCCAAGAGAAACAAGGGGAAUCAACUUUGUGACUUGGUGAAACCUUAGAUCUAGCUCUUGUCCUCCAAUCCUCAAAGAAUCAACAAGGGGGAAGCUCUAUGGAGGGAGAUAUAGUAUAUUGAAGCUUUUUGGUGUUCUUGAGUGAGAGUGGGCUGUUCUUGGCUUCGUGCUCUGGCAAGGUACCCGUUGGGGAUGAAAGGUUAUUUAUGCGGACUCCCCAAAAUCUAACCGUUAUGCACUGCGAGUUCCAGGGGUUCCGGUGUCGAGCGGAAGUUCCGGCCCAGUUUCGGCUCAACCUCCGGAAAUCCAUGUAGGGUUCCAGUAGCAUCACGGAGCUGGUCCGGAGGUAGGGUGGGAGUUCCGGUUGAACUUCUGGACCUAGGCAAACACAGGCACCACAGCUAGAUUAAGAAAAUUGUUGUCUCACUUUUUGGUAGGCUUUAUGUGGGUGCAAGAUGUAUGUUUGUGUACGUGAAAAGCGAUUCACCCAUUACCUUCCCAUGUGGGCUCCCUCUUAAUAGUACGGAGUUCUUACGACUCAAUACAUGAAAAAGCUAGCCGCUAAACUCCACUACGCUUCUUUUCCAAACUUGAGGGCAUCGAAUCGUUUUGCGCCAAUUGAUAUCAAAUCUGAAAAAACUUAACGCACGAUUAGUCCACACAACGCGUUGUCAUCACCACGAAAACCACUUAGGAGAGAAAUGCCCUUUCACCUGUAACCAUCCUCUUUGUAGUUUUUUUCUUCUUCUUCGAGAUGAACAGGAAUUUCAAAAACCAAAAUAACCAUCAAGAUAACAAAAGUGAAAAUGCUUGGCUAAACUUAGUGUAAUGGUUAACAAUCAUUUCUAGUAGAUUUAUUUAGUUUACAAUAGCCAAUGCACAUCCUAUAUCAUGUGAGUAAUCUUUCUGGGAUCAACACAUUAUCUUUAUUGGAGGAACAUAGUGUACAAUACUAACCCAUUUACUAUAAAACAAAUAUGAUAAAUUUGAACUAAAACCACGACAAGAAUUUAGGAACGGAGGGAGUACUUCCCAAUAACAAUGCAAGAAGGAUUGCAUUCCAUCAUCACAAAUUUUCUUUUUCCUAUAGAUUUCUUAGUGGUGAAAUGAACUAAGGGCAAAUAAAGAGAACAUGAGCUCAUAUGUUUCAAAUCAAGCAUAGCAAAUAAAGUAUAGGAACAACUGAAAAACUAGCCCCAAAAUCACAUAAAUCAGUAGUUUCGUAUGGUCCAAUAGCAACUUUAAUUACAUGUUCCUAGGCAUCAUCUAAUUUGUAGGAACAAUAAUAUCCUUAUAUAUUUUUCCAUAUUUAUUUUUACAUGUGAUAGAAAAUAUCUUUGCCUAAUUAUUUCCAACGUUCAUCCAAACUAUCUAUUUUAGAAAAAUAUUGCAAAAUGUUAGCAAUUUCGAACAAACUAUAAUUAUCAUAUUUAUUUGCAAGAUCGUUAGCAUCAUGGGGAAACACAUUACUAAUCCUUUUAAAAUACUCUUGUUCUCUAUUCUUGAUAUAUGAAUUUUUUGGAACAUUUUCUUUUAUGUUUUUCAGUUGAUCACACCAAUCAUUUUAGUGGAUGGGAGUAUCAAACUAAACUAGAUUCAACUUGGUUGAUUUUAAGUGUCCCUUUUACAAAUUUUAUUCCAAUAAGCUCCUAGGGAAACUCCAAGUUGGUUCAUUCUUUCCAAUACCUGAGCAUCAUUAUUGAUAGAUAUUUAAUAGAGAAUGUGGUUUUCAUGAAUUGAUUAUGGAGUCCCCUGCUAACUUCCCCUAACUUAGUAGCAUAUUUUUUUUAAUUCCAAAAUCGAUAGGUUUUCAACCAAUAUAUCCUAACGACCAUUGAUUAUUUUUAUCUCUAGGGAGUUUAAAGGAAAGAAAAUUCUAAUAUUCCACUAAUAUCAUUUCACACACCAUCAAUUUCUUUUCAAUCACAUCUUUUAAGUGAGAAUUAUUUUAAGGGUGUUUACCUAGUAAGCUUUUGAUGGUGUUUGUAGCGCGAAAUGUAUUUGAUUCUCAAACAAUUCUUUGCAUAAUAGUAAAGCCAGUCAAAAGCCAGUUGUCGUCAGGUAAUACUUGGAAUGUGCAUGUUGUAAAGCCAAUGAAAAAUAUACCGGUUGGCGCCUCGCUGGGCCAUCAACCUAAAGCCAACUGUCAUCGUGUUGAGUUUGGAAUUUUCAAUUACAAUAUUAAUGCCCGGUCUACUAUUCUAGAUUACACGGUCCAAGAAGAUGGAGCUUUCGGAAAGGACAAUUGGGCGCUAGAAACGUCCAUGGACGAUUAAUAGGCAAAUUUAUCAACCAAUAUUUAUAUUUAUUUAUUUAUCUUAAUUAGCCCCAAAAAAUUAUAGAAAAAACUAUGUGCGCCAGUGGUUUUUGUAUAAAGGAAAUUCCAAUAUUGCCCUUCUAUAUCACUAUAAAUGUACCCAUACGCUAUCUUGCUAAGCAACACUCCAUCAUUGUUUUUACAAUGAAGGGGGAGUCUCCACCUCCAUGGCUAGAGCUAUUGCUUGCAACACAAUUCUUUGCAAUAUGCACAAUCCAUGUCUCCUCUAGUCGCAAUGAUUGUAACCUAUUUUGUAUUGAUUGUGAGUCACCACAGGCUGCUAUUUGCAAUUAUUGUCGAUCAUGCCAUCAUUCUUCCCAUCGUGUAAUCCAGGUAAAAUGUACUCCCUCCGUUUCCUAAAGAUUGUCAUGAUUUUGAACUAGCUCUAGUUCAAAAUCAUGCCAAUCUUUAUGAAACGGAAGAAGUACAAGGCUAUUAUUUGAUAAAUAUGGAAGCAUGCUACAGUACCCAUCAUCAUUUACCUAAUAUACUUCUUGGGAUACAUAUCUAAGUACGCUUGAUAUUAAGUCUUAACCCAUAUUUAUAGAAUUUUGUGUCAAAAUCUACCAAAAUAUAUAAUAUAGUUGAUCUUGCAAAAAAUAUUUUGAAUCCCAUAUCUGGGUAAUCAUGAGUAAGCAAACAUAUAUCAUCUUUCAUAAAAAGUGGUAAGCCUCCUUUAAGUAAUGAGAUCAGGAAGGACUAACUUUUGGAAUCUUUCAGAUAAGGCGGUCUUCCUACCAAAGUGUGGUUAAGGUUGCUGAUUUAGAGGACAUCCUUGAUAUUAGUGAUGUACAAACUUAUGUGAUCAAUAGUGCAACGGUUGUAUUUCUUCAUGAGCGCCCACAACCACGUGCUGCGGUCAGGGCAUCAUCGGCCUUGUAUAACUGUGAGAUCUGCAAACGUGGUCUGCUUGAUGGAUUUCGCUUCUGCUCUCUUAGUUGCAGUGUAAGUUAUUAAAAUAUUAUAGCAAAUUGUAAAGUUAUUGACCUAUUAAUUGUUACUUAUUUAAAUGAUUUCAAAUUCUUUCACCUGACAACUUUUUUACAGCUUAAAGGAAUCAAAGAGGAUAUGGAGACAACAGUUGGCACCAGAAACAUAUCUGAUUGUGCAAAAAAGGAUGACGAACCUGAUUGCAGUAAUGAAAUUGCAAAUACUAGAAACAAUGAAUGCAAUGGUAGCAAUGAUGACUGCUCCAAGGAAAGACCACCCCCUACCAGGGUUAUUCGUCGUCACCGACGGAAGGGGAUUCCUCGACGUGCACCGUUUUAUUGAUGGAAAUAUCAUAUGAAUAAUUUGCAUGCACCAAAGCAAAUGAAUGGUGAAAAAUGAUUUGUAUUGAAGACUAUAUGUAUGGUGCCAAAUAAAUUAAUAAAUGCACUCCAUUCUAUGGACAUUGCCCUUUUGUGCAUUAGUUGUCAAUUUAUUAGUUGUAAUGAGCCUAGAAAGUGGAUUUUUGUCAUGUACGUUCAGUGGUUUGUGCUAUCACACCGCAUGUUCCUGCAUCAAGAUGUGUGCUUGGUGGUUCCGUGGUGUAACGCGAGGGAUACCCCGUUCUCCUGCUAGCCCUACAUCCCCUACGUGCUACCCCCUCGUCUCUUGCUAGAACGGCUUGCGGCGCGUGCACGUCUUUCGCUAGCAUCCCAUCAAGUGGCCCCCGCGUGUGCUUUUUAUUGUCAUGUCUUGUAGAACCGGCCAGGAUCUGGGCCGUGGGCGCUCAAACAGUCCUAAAAAUCCACGGUGCCGGUGGCCCGAAGCCCGACGUCCCGGACCUCACUUUCCAGUUCCAAACCCGGCCCAAAAGCUCGAAAUGAUUAAAAAGGAUUUUUUUUUUUAAAUGGUAUAAAAAUCAUUUAUUUAUUUCAAAAAUAAUUAUUUUAAUGCUUAAAUGGCCUAUUUUCGGGGUUUUGGGCCGGGCCGGGCUCGGGCUUCAGGUUUGACCGUCAGGCUUUUACGAGGCCGGGCCCGGCCCGGGGUUUGCCCAGGUAUAACGGUGCCGUCUCUCUGGCUACCGCGCCGCUCCCUCACUACGGUAAGGCCGGUUGCGCUGCUCGCUGACGCGGCGCCACGACGCCCGGAGCUGCAUGUUCAUCUUUCCUUCCUGUCCCCGAUUUCUUCUCCGGCAACGCUGAUGUUGCUGUCGUGGGAGCUGCAGGUUCAUCGUUUCUUCCUGUCCCCGAUUUCUUCACCGGCAACCCUGAUCUUGCUUCCGUGGGAGCUGCAGGCCCAAUCUUCUCUUCCUGUCCCCGAUUUCUUCUCCGGCAACGCUGAUCUUCCUCCCAUUGUCGUCUCUCAGAUGGAUGUGGAGGGGGAUUGGCAUUUCCCCCCCAACUCUGGUGGAGAUGCGCCUGGUGCAGGAUCUGAGCACCGUCGCAAAGCGCACGAGGCGACCGAUCUGCUGGAUUUCGCUCUGGCAGCCGCCUGUUUGGACGGAGAAGUUCCCGUUAGCGGACAAGACGCCGGUGACCCCCAAAUCGCUGCUGUUCUGUGGAGCGAGAAGGAACCGGUCUUCGUCUCAGGCGAGGGUACGAGGGCUCAAGCAUUGCUUCAGUCUUGUCCCCUCGGCUUUCUCUCGCGUACCAGGUGCUUAUUUUCCGCCUUCUUCAGAUGACCGGGCAGGGUGAUUGGCUUCCUGGCCCGAGCUUUUCUAGCGAUGCGGUGGGAGCUGGCGAGGAGUUGCUGGCGACUCAGUUGGAUGCGUCGCCCCCAAGUGCAUCUAUCGGCUGGGGCUUGCUGCUUUGGCCCUGCAGGAGAAGCGACCGGAGGCAAGAAUACCACUGGCGUUGAGUCGUGGGACGGCGAACGAGCUAGUACAAGUUGGUUCGGAUUUGCAUCUCCGGCCCUACAUCUCUGUCUCCUCCUCUUCCUGCUCCACCUCCAGGAUCGGCGUGGCCUUGUCCCCAGUUGUCCGGCGCUGCCGCGGCAGCAGGGCGGAGCACUCGUGGGACGCCGCCGGCGACGGCGCAAUGAUGGUGGGGCGCGAAGACGUGCGCAUGGCGGUGCUGUCAGCGUCCAACACUUGCCCUUCCAGCUCCUCGACGACACGCAGAUGGGCCUCGCCACCGGCGUGCUCGGCGGCCUCCGCAAGGCUCAGAUACUCCCGCGCUGCCCCCGCAGCCGCGGCUGUUCAUCCGGCCAGUACAGGGUCGUCCACCUCGCCAUGAAGAAGGCGAAAUUGUGCGUGCCACGGCCGCCCUGCACCAAGCUUCUUUCACGGCCGCCUCUGCCACCGUCACGUUGUGCUAUCCAUAUUCAUCUUCGUUAGCCAAGAGUUUCAGACUGUAAGCUAGCACACGAGACGGAGAGUGGGCUGUUCAGUUCUUCAGUUAAUCCCUCCCAUCUCCCAGGGAUCUUUUUGGGAGGUGCUUCUCUUGAUGUAAACGUCUGUUCUUUGAUUUUUUAAAAAAUGGGAUCGAUUCUUUGCAAUCUGCGAUCGUGGUGGUGUCCAGAAAUUUUCAUGUAUUUUUUCUGAUACUCUGUUUUCUCUAAAUUAUGUGUUUUAUUAGCAGUUUUUUUUUCUCGAUUGAUUGUUACAGUUGGAAGGCACGCCAAAAAGCAUUUGUUUUCACAAUCGAUCAGGUGGCACAAUUUACAAUUACGGCGAUCGGAAAACACACGAAAUCUUCAACAGGCAUUAUCAUUGCAAAAUCCAUGAACAAGCAUAUGUGAGAACAAUGAACACAUUAGACGAAAUCUGUGAACAAGCAUAUGCAAAAUCUUGGACAAACCCAUAGUCUGUACCACCACUCCACAAAACUCAUGAACAUAUCCCUUUUUUGAUUAUGUCCAACAAGCAAAAACACACACACACACACUAUAUAUUUGAUUAACACAAGAUGGACUGGGAGAGAAACACACACACACACAGAGAAGCAGCAGCAGCAGCAAAGCAGGUGACGGGCUGGAGCAGGGAACGACUUCUUUUUUGGCGGCUUGCUCUCGAAUCCUGGUGGGGAGGCCGGAUCUUGGGGCGACGGGGUUGGGGUUGACUCGGCCACCUCGAGCUCCAGGACAACCGCCGCCAGGGAUCUGUCCACCUCGAGCUCAGCUCGGUGGCGAUGGACACUGCUUGAUCCCGCAUGCAAGUGCUAAGCGAGGCUCUGGCGGUGCGAGCAGCUCGGCACCGUUGGUGGGCGGUGGGGGUGGAGGGCGGCGGGAUGGUAUGAUGAGUGAAGAGAUUAGGGGGCUGUUUGGUUGGUCUGACUGCAGCUGUAUGGCACCCGCAAUGCACAUAUUUAGUUGUUUGGUUUCCUGGGCUGGGAUAGGUAGGUGCAGCCCACCCCCUCAGCCUGCAUCCGGGUACGUCCGAAUCGGGCAUUUUUCUCGUGCAACCGCUUCGCUCACUCUUUCUCUUGAAUCCCAAUCGAUCUCUUCUCUCUGCCUUCGGUCUCAUCCGCCACCGGCCACCAGAUCCCCGCAUUUCUUCCACCGUCGGCCGUCAUCCCUUCCUCCGCCUCCCUUCGCUCCUCCUCAUUCUCUCCCAUCGUCGGGCGCCGUCCUCCACCUCUCAUCUCCCAACCCCAGCCACCACUCCACUACCAGAGCUUGCCGCUGCCUCCUCCUCCUCCUCCUCCUCCUCCUCAUCUCCCAACGCUGACGGCCAUCCACGCGCUGCCCCUCCUCCGCCCCUUCUGACCGCGUGCCGCCCUCCUCCUUCCCUUCCUGCGAGGCAGCCUGAGGUGGAGCCAAGGAUGCCGGUGGCCUCUUCCUGCGGUUAGAGAACGACGGUAAAAUUGGUGCGGCUCCAGAUGCAAAUACGACCAAACAGGCGGCUGCAGCAACUGCUCGCACCCGCCGCGCCUGUAUCCCGCGUGCGGCAACCCUGCUGCGAUGCAGCCUGCGGCCUACAGUGAAUCCAAACAUGCACUGGGUGAGCGGUUUUGCCGGAGUGGAGUUCAUGAGACCAAAAGGGUGGGCGUGAUGUCUGGGUAUGGCAAGUUGGUCCUCGAAAUUGGGGACGGGACGUGGCCUGAGUACCGAAUUGAAACUAUGCAGACCGGGGUCUACGUAGGCAGCUUGAAAAAUGCGCCCGACUCAAUCGAGUGCGAAUCGCAGCUUGAUCGGACGUCUCUGGAUGUACAGGCCACUGAAACGUACAUGACAAAAUGCAUUUCGCAAUGAGCCUAGCUGUUUUUGAUAUUGAGGAAAUUUCUAGGAACUUGUGCAUUUCCAUUGUAAGGAUGUUGUAGUGAUAUUGUAAAGGGCAUUCAUGUAUUGAGUGUGCUAACAACACCGAUACUAUAUUCCCUUUGGGAUUCAGUCCCCAAUUGGACACCUCCUCACGCUAGGAAUGGCACCCACAGGUUAGAUCUUGUGCUUUGAUUAUUCAUCGUCGUUGUAUGUUUGAUCUUAUGAAUGUAAAGUCUCAUUAUUUUCAUUGUGUGGUUGCGAAUAAUGAUACUUUAUUUCACUAAAAUUUUCCGAUGAAAGUCGAGAAUUGAAAGUCCCACUGUUUCCAUCUUACGUCGGACUCCACGGUUUCAUAUGCACACAUUCAAAGCAAAUCUGAAUAAUUUAUAGUUUUUUGGUCACAUGCCUUUUGCAAUAUAGCUAAAUGGAAAAUAUAAGUUUGAAAAAAAGCAUUUGCAUUCAGAUUAUUUUGGGUAUAUAUGAAUCAGAUACCCUGAAAUCUGGCUAUUGAAUAGGAUGAAUUCUAAGUAUGUUAUUUCAAUAUAACCUAAAGCAUAAAAAAGAUAUGAAUAUUUUUGGAAGGUAGAAAAACAAUAAAAAAAGCAAAAAGCAAAAAACCAAAACAGCGCGAAAGCUUAUUUGGACUGCCCAGCUUGCGGGUGCUCUCAGCAGCAAGCCAACUAUGUACUUCCUCCGUCCCAAAAUAAGUGAUUUCGAUUUGUAUAUAAAUCGAAUUCACUGAAUAUGGGACAGAAGAAGUAUUCGUCAGCCCAGCCAGGUUCACCGCCUGGCGGUUCUCGAACGUCCAGUUCAGCCCAACAGCUAUUACUAUGUCUUCUCGCUGCCAGAAACCAAGCCCAAGCCCAUCAGGCUGGACCGCCGGACCGCCUCAUAGGCUCUGCCUUGCCCAUAUUGGGCGCCCUUUUCCUUUGUCGGCCGCCUCUUGCCCGGCGCUCCUCGCGUUCUUGCGGCAGGAAGAGGAGACUGGGGAGAGCGUGAGACCCCUCCGUCGCUUGUGGCGGCGACAUGGAGAGGAGCGAGAGCGUCCUAGACGCCGUCCUCGACGACGAAAACUUUGACGGCGAUGACGUUGAGAUGGCCGACGCAGAUGCGGAGGACACCUGUGUGCCUGACGUCCCCACCGCCGGAGUGCGAGGUGAGGACGGCAGUGGGGAGAAGGGAGCCCCGGCGGGCAAGAAGAAGAAGAAGAAGAGGAAGUCCGGGAAGAGGAAGAAUAGGGGGAGGCCUGAUGGGCCGCCCACCAAGAUUGCCGACAUUAAUAGGUAAAAACCCUCGCACCACUCUCCCUAGGGUUUAGGUUGCGCCCGAGACGGAAAUCCGAAAUUAAAAUUUGGGUAGAUGUCACCUGCUAUGUGUUUAUAUGUUUUCCCUUUCACAGUCGUGCUGAAAUUGAAUAAUACUCCAACCUACUGAAAUCGGAGUAAUCGUCAGAACAGAGCUAUCAUUUGUGGUACAAUUGUUCUGAUCAUCGAUUUGAAAUGAUAGUAUCUUUUGUGUGAAAUUAUUAUAUGGAAGUAAAGGCUCAAAACCAUUGUACGUGUAUCAGUAUAUGGUCAAAUCCCCUUGCAUUUUUUUAGCGUAAAAUCGAUGUACAUUUUAACAGAACUUCAAUUGAUACUUAGAUUUUUUUGAUUAAUUGAUAUCGUGUUAAUAAGAAGGUUAAUACAAUAUCUGUAGAUAUUUCCAUGGAAUAGUGUUGUGGCAAGACGGUUUUAUUCUUGUAUAAAACUAGCACAGUGGUUAAGGCAAAUUAUUUAUGCUUCUUUAUGUUAUUCAUUUUAGGUUGCCAACUGACUAAUCAUUUAUAUUUAUUUUGCAGGUUUGUCCUUGACACUUGCAGGCGCUUGAAGGAGAAGAAGUCAUACCUUGUUUGGAAUGCUGUUGGCUGCCUGGGUGUUUCUGCUGUCAGUGAUCUUGUCAGAGAGGUAAACAACUCUUAUGUAACAGUACUAAAAGAGGAUCAGUUCAUCCAUUGAGAGACUUCUUAAUAAUCUGGUGUUUCACUGUAGAUGGAUCUAUUUUACUAAAGCACAAAAAAGGCAUAAAUUGUUAGUGUAAGCUAUUGUCCUCGACCUCUCUGUGUUCCCUCGUGUCUCAUUUGUGGGCUGGUUGGUAUUUGCCAAAUGGACUUGCAUAACUUCAUAGGAGGAAUCUGUUGCCUACUGCUCUUACAGAUAUUACUACCUUGAUUCUUUGCAGUUCCAUGGAUUAGUUUGUUUUAAGUAAUUGAGAAGUUUGGAGUUUUUCAGAAGAGUCACUGAAUAGUAUUUCCAUCUACAUACUUGAUUGGUGACAAAUCCAAUUGCAGUUAAGUUUCUAAUUCAUACCUAUACGUUGCAUAAUUCAUGCUUUGUAUAUAAGCAGAUAGUAAUAUCAUAGGACCUAUAUCUUCAAUAAUUAACUCCAAAGGUGAGCAAUAUUUGUACGCAGUAUUUUAAAAGAAUAUUGUCAAUUAGUAGUGUACGUGUAAUUUUCUAAAUUCCAAUACUCGGGAAUUGGAGUUGUUAUCAAUUACUAACUAAAUACAUUCUGUUCCAGGUUGAGGCCAUUCAGAAGUGUGGUGGGCAGACGAUUGCUGAUGGAAGUCGUUUCCGGACAGGUGGUGGAGUCCUCUGGAACAUCUUGAAGUCACGAGAGCCAAAGGCGUACAAGGAAAUUAUGUUGAAGGGAAGGGAACUUGAGGUAUGACAUUACUGGGACUUAAGUGUGCUAGUUUUUUGUAAUUCUGUUCUUCAUAUUUGGUAAAUUAGUCACUAUGUACAAUAGAAAGUUAGCAACACGCAGUAGGUUCUUUAUCAAAAUCAAUUAUGUUGAAUACUACCUCUCAUCCUACAUGUAAGUUGUUUUAGAGAUUUACCUGUCAAACAUUGUAAUAUUGACCAUCUAUAAAGAAAGAACUACUAGCAUCCAAAACACCAAACUCAUAUUGUUAGAUUUAUCAUCAAAUAAACUUGUAUACCGUAUAAUCUUUUUCACGAGGCAACUUGUUUGCCCAGAAAUUGAUUACCAAAGUAUCAUCUUGAAGACUGUGUUAUCCGAAAAGACUUGCAUCUUGGACUGGUGGGCGUAUGUGUAUUUUGUAAAUCUCCAUUCUCCUACAAGAAAAGAACAUUGAAUCAUGUACAUGCCACAUCAUUAUCAUUUAUCACUAGAAGCAGUCAAUAAUAAGGGAACUGGUUUUUUUUUAAAAGGCUCGAUUUAAUAUUUUACCUAGAUGAGGCAAGCUUAUUCCACUAGUAUUAGUGGAAACAAGUUACAAAAAUAAUAAUGGAAUAGGGAGCACCAAAAUGAAUCUGGGACUGGUGAUAUUGUACAUGAAAUUUAGAAUUGACCUCUUUCGUGGAUCAAGUAACCAUGCCUGUCACUUCGACACUAGACAAUGGAUGGAUGUGCAUGUGCUACUAGUGUCAUACCAUCAAAAUAACUGAUGGUGCUCGUUGGCAUUAUCAACUGUUAUUUUGCUACAAUUCUACUGGACCUCAGCGGUCUUGCUGUUUAUUUUUUAUUUUUUGUUGGGAUACUACUGUUUAAUUAUGUCUGAUUGAUAUCGCGACUUCCUCCUUUCAGAAGCAGUUUAUGUAUACCAAAGGCAGAUCACAGAUGAGCAGAAAUGAAGACGCAAGCUCACAGGGCAGUGCGUUAGUUGAUGAGGAAAUCGAAGCACAUGAUGAUCCUGAGCACUUGGUCGAUGUGGAGGAAGCACCUCCUGAUAACAAAGCUGAACCUCGUAAACCAGUAGCAGACAGAAUUCGUGUGCCUGUUGCUUAUGAUGAUCUUUUCGAGGAGGGAGAGAUACAUGAAGAACAAUAAAAUUAGUAUUUGGAAUUGGAAGGAUUUGCCCUGUUAUGAUCUGCGAGCCUUAAUUCUGCAAAGAAAGCAAGAUGCAGAAUGUAAUCAAGAUUGCGGGAAUGUAUGUAUGAACCUUGCCGUGGAGCAUCUUUUUUAUUUUUCUUCCAGGGAUUCCAAAAUUUUCCCACUUGUGAGUGUGAAAAAGCAGUAAGGCAUGCAAUUAUGCAACGGUUAGAUCUCUUGUUACGAGGAGUGGAAGUCGUAGGAACAACAUUGAUACUAAAGUCAAUACUGAAUGGAAACUAUGAUUUUGCAGUCGACUAAAUUCAGUUUAUUAGAGAUAAUAUUACUGGAGAAAGCAUCUUCGCUGCCUCUUGAGAUUGAUAUUAAAUUCAAUACUGAAUGAGAACCGGAAAGCAAAACGGCAUGGCGACCAGCAGUGGAGCUCGCCGCGUGCCAUGAUAAUGCAGCACUCUUGGCCUCCUCAUCCUCCUUCAAUUACGGUAGUAGCGAUAGACAAUAGCGGCGGCAUGGCAACGCUGUCGCCGGGGGCAGGGGCGAGCAGCCGCUGGAGCGUGUGUACACCAACGCCCCAAGCCCAGCUCGCUCCACAGGCAGCAGAUCAUCAGAGACUGCCCAAUCCUAUCAUCCUACGGCAACAUACUGGCAUACAGCCGCCUUCUCUAUCUGCUUUCGUUCUGUUCUUGGAGUAGGAUUUCUUUUCUGUGCGUUUUGGUUUUAGGUGAUUUCUUUUUUGUGCAUCUGAUGCCGCUCAUUCGACGGUUUCCUACCAUUUUGUUUAAGAUUUUUCUGGCGAUGCUCUAACGGUUGAUGGUAUUAUUAAUACUUCAUACUAAGAUAUGUUCAAAAAAGUUACAAACAAAUAUAAGCUAAGUUAAAUCCAGCGAAAGAUUGGUCAUCUACAGCAAAAUUAGCUCUCAAGUGACUUGUUUACCAUUAAAAAUGAUACGGUUAACAUUUAAACACAAUCUGCGGGAGUACAAGAUCAUUUCAGUAUUUUUCACCAGUUGCCGAAACAAACACAUGCCAGAUAUUUUGGAUCUUCCAUCCCCAGUCGGCAGGCAUAGCCGAUUUUGAGAGGUGCAGUCGUGAAGCUCCAACAAAAGCAAACACAACCUUAGAAAAACUGACUGCCACUGGGGACGAGGUCAUCGGCGUCGUCACUGUCCACAAGCAGAAUUAUGGGGAUUAAAACUAACCGCCAAUGGGAUACUUUAAGUUUAACUUCUAGAACUAUUAAUUAGUGUUUUGAUCCUGCAACAAAAGUAAACGUUUUGAAACAACAAACAAAUUCUCUAUAUGAUUUUUGUCUAGUCUACACAUAUUUAAAUUUACCUUUUGAAAUAGUAUUUGUAAAAAAAUACUUUUUAAAACAAUAUAUAAAGAUAUUAGCAGCCCAGAAUUUGAAAAGUAUCUUCACUUCGACGGGUUUCGUACUAUUCGACCAAAAUCCACAUUCCAAGUCGAAGGCGUGCGCGCAGCGCGGUGCGCCCCCGUACUCUGCACUGAUUUCAGGUCAGAGCAUGAUGACGACGGCGACGAGGAGGUGGUGGAAGCGGCGCGAUGGCAGCGACGACGCCGACGACCUCGUCCCCAUGGACACCCAAGGUAUGGACCAUCAAGUGCGCACCUCGUUUCCCCUCACCCUUUUGCCUGGGGUCCAGCUAUCUCCGGUUCCCUGAAACUUUUUGUCGCUCGUCGGCGUGAUCUGCACGCAGAGCAGGAGGAACUGGUCCGGUCGCUGGAGCAGAAGCAGACGCACGAGAGCCGCCGUUGGAGGGUGCGUGCCGCCGCCAACUCCCGACCCAUUCGGCUUAGGGUUUGGAGAUCUUGCUAUGGGAGAUGAUUCAAUUCAAUUCGAUUUUGGUGCUCACGCUCGAUGGUUAUCUCUUGCCUGUGCAGCGCGUGUUUGCGGGGUUCCUCCUUGGUUAUGCGGCCUUUCUCGUGUACUCCAGCUUCCACCAUGCCUGGUCUCCCUGGGAGCUGGUUAGUUGCUUGUAGCUUUCUUUUUUACUUCCUUACAUUGUGUUUUGCUAGCCAUAUUGAUCGCCUAAGAUGUUCGAUGCUGGCUUUUGAAUGGUGUAUGACUUGGAUUGGCCUUUGGUAAAUCCGUUUUGGGUGGAUUGGGACAUAGGUACUAGUUGAGUUUUGCCCAUUGAAAAGUAACAUAUAAUUACCAUGUAAUUUUUAUCUGUGCUCUGAAACAUUCAUCAGUACAGCUCAAGUAUUUAACCAUCAUAAAUUCCAAAAUAGUGGUGUAUGGCUGUAUGCUACAUGCUUUGGUGAAUCUAUAUGAAAUGAUUAUGUCUUGCAAGCUUGUUUCUCUGAACCACUGCUUGGUGCCUGACUCACGGUUCACCAUUGAACAGCGAUAUCAUGCUUACUUUAUGGAAGAUAUGCCUGCGCCGAUGGUCAUAAUUGCAGGUAAUGGUGGUUACUUGAUAUUUACAAUUGGCAACAUAAGGAAGUCAUUGUUACAACUUGCAAGGCAUAAUUUUGUAUCACACAUUCAAAACAUCUUGCUUAGUUUCUGAAUGUUAUCUCGACUCAACUUGUGGACACUGAGACAGUGGCAAUGUUCAUACUCACCCAAGGUGCUAACUUUAUGACUUAGUUUUUUAAUACAUAUGGAAAGCUUUCUAGAAUCAUAUGUCCUAUAAUAGGUCCCUGCAUCACCAGGGGCUUCUCUGGUCAUUGUCACCAAUAGACAUUUUCUUACUAAAAGUUUUAGUAAUAAGUUGAUUCUGAGACAAUGAUAUCAGGGAAUAUUUUGUUAGGCAUGCACAUUAGGACUAUCAUCAUUAGUUUAUUCCUUUCGUCUUCCUUAGUAUAUUUCUGAACAUACCCAAGAAUAUGCCACGGCCCACAGUGUACAAAACAUUUUUUUGUUUCUCUUUGAUUUCAUUCAUACCUGACGUUUUAUUGCAGAUUGGGUAGCUGCCAUUGCAUGUUUAUUUGCAGUUAAGGGUCUAGUACUAUCAUCAAGCUCCUCCAGGAAGUGGAUGUGGUAUUCAUUCUAUGUAGGCAUGGCAGUUGCUGUCUUCUGGACAUACUACCUCUUGAAGUAUGUUAUCUACAGACAAUUCACGUACCCUUUCCUGUGUCAAAAUGCAGCAUCAGAAAGAAGACAUUUUAUGCUAACCACUAAUCCUACACUGCACAUGACCAACACUCACAAACAUCAAGAUCUUGUUUUUCAGUAAUUGCGAUUGUUGUUUCUUUUGCACUGCAGAUUACCAAGAAUACGAUGGGAUGCGGUGUGGCUUCCCUUUGGCCCUUUAAUGUAUGCUUACUUACUCCUUUGACCUGCUUUUUUGCUGGCCAUUGUUGAAUAAUAAUAACAUUGCUAUCUUUUACAUGUACUGUUGGUCAGUGCUUCUACAUUGAGCCUCUAUAUUGACCAUACGCUUCUAAAGUCAAUGCAAGAUAUCAGUACAUUGAGGAGCUAUAUGUACAACUUCAAGUCCCUGUAAUGUCGAGCAUAUGAUUGUUCUUGAUCUUGCAGUUAGCUCUUUUUGGAAAUGGGAAGAUCUUGCUCUUAGCUCUACAUGGGCGGUUGAAACUUAUGUUCUGUCACUUUCUUUAUCAUCUCCUGUUCUCUCCCUCCCAAAACCAUCAUGUCAAAAUUCUAAUAUACUCAAAUUGCAUCAGUUUACCAGAGUAGUUUGUGUACUUGAGAAUUGUCAGGUCUCCUAACAUACGGAAUGCUGAUAUGAAUCAGAUACCUUUGUAUUUGUAUGGCUAUACUCUUAUCAUUGUCACUUGCGUACUUUUCAUAUGACACUCGGUAUUGAAGAUCUUUUUUGCUGAAAUGAAGGCAAGAUUUGGCUCCUUUCGAACAUUGCGAAUUUUCUCUUUGAGGAUGGGACAGUGCUGUAUUGCUAGUGGAACUUUGUCGGUAGUGGAUUCAUCCAUAUAAAGUCAUGGCCUAACAUUGCUCAAUCUAGUCCACUCGUCUCAAAAUCAAUGGUGCUAGUAUAAGUCUCACCAAUUAAAAAGAAUAAAAUACACCACUGGUUCAUAAACUUGAAAGAAAUGAACACCUUAGUUCACAAACUCACAAAAAGCACAUAUAAAUAUCUAAACUCAGAUUAGUGAUACGGUUUACUUUGAAAAGGCAAAAAACAGACAUGUGGCUGCCACGUCUAACCAAGCAUGGAACAUGGCAUGUUGAUAGAUUAUCACGCAAAGAUUGCUUGAGAAAUUGAGGAGGCGCGAGCCCGAGCCCAGCGCCCCUCCCCCCAUCUCUCCUCUCUCUUUAUGCCGUCAACGAGACGAUUAGGACUCCGGUGAUCGGUGGCGACGGCCGGCAAAUCGACCUAAAGUGAAUCUGGACCUCCUCCUCCCAUUGUCCAGUUCUCUGUCAUUCAGUUGUCUUAAGGGUGGGCCGGAAGUAUUCACAUCAGAAAUGCAGCCCAUUCACAAGUUCAGGGGAUAGUGCCGUGGCCGGUGGCCCAAGACUCAAAUUCUUCAGCGUACGAGGCGACACUCUCCCAUCCCGUAUCUCCCAACCACGGAGCGGCAGCGCACGGACGAGUUGGAUUGAUUCACUGCAAAAUGGAAGCCGCGUCCUUGCCGCUCGCCGCGCCCCGCUCCCUCUCCCCGCCAGCGACUGCGCCGUCCUGCUCGCGGCCGAAGAACCUCCCCUUCGUUCGCGCAGCCCCGCAGACGCUGGAAGCACGUGCCGCACCCAAAACCCAGCGGCCGUCCCCCCGGCGCAACGCCGUCGCCGAUGUCAAGGCUGCCGCCGACCCUGUCGCUGCGCUCACCAGGUAUGCUCCACCGCUGCUAUAUUGCUCUAGUACUUUGGUUAGUCCCAAGCAUUCGUUUCCUGUCGUUGUGGUAAUUCCGCGAAGCAAAGCUCAACUGCUGUGGCCUGUGAAUUAUGCCACUUGCGUACAAUGAACAGUAGAAGUGCUGUGAUGCCGAAAAAAAGGGUUGGUAGAAAUGGGAUGUUAGGAUAGGCUCAGCACUGCUCAUGUUUGAAAUCAAACCCUGAGGAUUCUGCCCUUUACCUACAGGCUGGAAGAUGUUCUGCAGACACAGGACUGCAACAUAAUCUUGCGCCACUAUGGGGACAUCAGGAAAUGGGAUGCCCUUUCUAAGGUACUCCCUCCGUCCCAUAUUAAGUGACUUUCUAUUACAUGUAUCUAGACGCUUUUUGGGUAUAGAUACAUUCAUAUUUGUGCAAAUUUGUGUCACUUAAUAUGGGACGGAGGGAGUAGUUCUCAGCAAUGGUUUUCAUGGUCAGUUAGGGUGUGUUUGGGUGGUGGGAAUUGAUGAGUUUGGUGUGGAGCUUUGCCAGUGCCAAUAGACAUGAGUUGCUGAACUUUGUUUCAGGUCUUUCGGUGGAUGCAGGAGCAUGAAAUGCUCAAUGUUGCGUCCUACAGCAGCUAUUUCAAGUACCUGGGGUUGAGCCGUAACGCUGCAAGAGCGCUGCAAGUGUAUGGUUCUAUCCAGGACCAGUCAAUCAGAGUUCAUGUCUCUGUUUGUAAUUCGGUUCUAGGGUGCUUGGUGAAGAAUGGGAGGUAUGACAGCACCUUCAAGCUCUAUGAUGAGAUGAUACGAGGAGGUCUAUCACCUGAUCUGUUCACCUACAGUACUGUACGGGACUUUGACCCUCAUUGUUUCAUAUUAGCACUUGCUAUAGGCAUUAUGCAACCUGUUUUGAGUUCUUUUUUCCCCAACCUCCAGCUUCUGUCAGGGUGCAUUAAGUUGAAGCAGGGCUAUGCUAAGGCAAUGGAGUUGAUCAAUGAGCUGAACUACCGCGGUCUUCAGAUGGAUAGUGUAAUAUACGGUACUCUCUUGGCGAUAUGUGCAUCUCAUAACUACUGCGAGGAGGCUGAGGUAUACUUCCAGAAAUUGAAGGAUGAGGGCCAUAACCCUAAUCUGUUCCACUACAGCUCCCUGUUGAAUGCAUAUUCGGAAAAUUCUAAUUAUGAAAAAGCUGAGCUGCUGAUGAAAGAUUUGAGGUCUUCCAAGUUAAUACCAAACAAGGUCUAUUUUCAUUACUUGUCCUUUAUUAAUUAGUUCUAUGAUCUAUGCUUUCUGGUUUGCUGAAGUCCACAGUUCUGUCAGUUCCAUUUUUGUAUUUGCCACGGUUCAAGUUUCUUGAGGUCAUUUCUCAAUAUAUGGCUUAUCCAUGGGACAAGUUGGACAAUAUCUUUUCUUUUUACUGAAAACUGCAGGAAAGAUUCCGACACUACAUAUAUAUUAAAGUUCAAUAAUAUUUACAAGGAAAAAAGGGUUGGGGGGGGGAGCAACUUGAGUUUUUCGAGCCGCACCAUUUAUGUUUAUUUGUUAAAGGUAGCAUAUCAGUGAAUAUUAAUUGUCAAUGUGCCUGGAAAGGAAACAAGUACUGUGCUAGGCAGCAACAUGCAUGUAACUAAACACUGUUUGAAAAGCAUAUCUUCAAAUCACUAGAUAUUGCCUACCGCAUAUCCUACCCAGACACUGAAGUUUUUGCUUGUUGCUUUACACGCGGUGUAUUGAAAUGAGCUUGUAGUUGAAUGGCCUGGGUUGAAAGUGAGGGCACCCUACCUAGGUGCUGGAAUGGUUUCUUGCUGCUUUCCGCAUAAUCUGUUUAGUAGGGCUUGCUUGUAGUUGAAUUGAGGGCACUGGUGCUUCUGGAUGUUUCAAAAAUAGCCUUUCCAUAAUCAAAUAUUAUUUCCUCAUGUUCACACAAUGCUAUUGUUUGGACAUUGACAGUCUCCAAACUGUUAACUAUAUCACUAAUUUAUACAUAACCCAACGAAAUUAUUAUAUUAUGAAAGUACCGAAACUGUCUACACAUAUCAUUUCCAUGUAUCCAAUGUAUACUUAUAAAGAUAUCUAUAGUCAAAGAUAUGUCCAAAGAGAUAGCUUUUUUUGAACCGGAGGGAGUAACUGUUGUCCUAUUCUUUGCUCAAAUGCUAUAGUCAUGCAAUUGAACUUAUAUACAUUUAGAAUUAUCGCAAAAUGGUGCUGCUAAUAAUAUCAUUCUGGCAUCUCAACUAAAUUUCCUUUGCAGGUAAUACUGACUACUUUAUUGAAGGUAUACUCUAAAGGUGGUCUUUUUGAGAAGGCUAAGGAGCUACUCACUGAAUUGGAAGCCUCAGGGUUUGCUCAGGAUGAGGUAAAAGUCUAACACACAACACUUCUUCAUGUGCACACUUCCAUUCCACAAUCUCAUAAAUUGACCUAACUUUAGUGCAGUUGUAAUCCCUUAAUCCUUAUACUGUGUACAGAUGCCAUAUUGCAUAUUGAUUGAUGCCCUUGCCAAAGGAGGAAAGAUAUGGGAAGCAACAAUGCUGUUUAAUGAAAUGAAAGAAAAAGGAGUUAAAUCUGGUACAACAUCCAACCAUACAACUAAUCUAUCACCAUGCUAGUUUCUCAUUCCUGAUUACUAUACCGUAUUUAGGAUCUGAUCUUCAUUUGUCUGGAUCCUACAUAUAUGUUAUUCAUUUUGUUGGAUGGAUCACUGUUCUUAUAUGUAAUGAUUACCUGCAAAUUAUGAUACCGAAUUCUAGUGUAACCUUUUGAGGAAGUACGGUAUGGUUUUUUUUCAUGCGCUGGUAAUGUUAUUCAGUAUACUAGCUUUUGAUAGUACUAUAAUAAUUUUGUAGAGCAUUGCCUGCGUGUUGCCAUGCAAAUGCCUUAGUAGGGUGCUAUUACAAUUGUGUCUUCUUCAUCUUUCUUGAUGUGCUUAUCUUCUGUUUCUGCAGAUGGCUAUGCAUUUAGUAUUAUGAUUUCAGCACUACAUCGAGCUGGUUAUCGUGAAGAAGCAAAACAACUUGCAAAAGAAUUUGAGGACCAGAAUACAACAUAUGACCUUGUUAUACUUAAUACAUCACUUCGUGCUUACUGCAACACAAAUGAUACAGAAAGUGUAAUGCGAAUGCUCAAGAAAAUGGAUGAAUUGAACAUAUCACCUGAUCAUAUUACAUUCAAUACCUUAAUAAGGUACUUCUGCAAGGGAAAGGUCUAUCACCUAGUAUACAAGACAAUUGAAGAUAUGCAUACAAAGGGUCAUCAAUUGAAUGAGGUAUGUUGAUUCUGCUGUCUUUGGUCUAUUUAUUAUGUUUCUAUUAAGUUUUGUGCUGGAUAAAAUAAUAACUAAUUCUUGUUAAAUUCUGUUCACUGGAAGUAGGGCUAUCUGCCUAAAGGGGUAAGGCUGAUUGAUGACCCUAGAUACUUGUAGUACUCCAAAAUUCAUAAAAAACUUUAUGGUAUCAGUACAUGUACAUGCAAGACUACACACAGAAAAUCUGUGCAAAAAUAACUUGUACUUUGUACUGUACAAAAAAGUACUGUUUUUCAGGUAAAGAUAGGUAGUUUAUGGUAUUGAAAUCCAGUACGUACUUGAUUUGUCUUUAUGUAUAGUACAAGGUAUGUGUUAAAAUUACACCAAUUAUGCAUGUACUCUUGUAUUUACAUACACUAAUAAUAUCUUUCAGAAAAAAAAAUUGGGGCGUACAUAGUACCUACACCCUUCAUGGGUAGUUGGGUACCGCUGGUGGUGUCCCAUCCGCUUACGGGCUAUCUAUGACAUGCUUGUAGAAUAGAGUGUGGCCAUCGCAUUUUUUCUUGCAACAUGAUUUUAAUCAGCUUUUGUUGCGACAGCAUGUAUGUUAACCUAAAUUUCUAUUCAUCUUCUCCAGGAGCUUUGCUCUGAGGUGAUGUUACAGUUAGGAGAAGCAGGUUUUCCUUCUGAAGCAUUAUCUGUAUAUAAUAUGAUGAGAUACAGUAAAAGAACAGUUUGUAAAUCUCUUCAUGAGAAGGUCUUAAGCAUCUUAGUUCCAGCAGGACUUCUCAAGGAUGCAUAUAUAGUCAUUAAGGUACAAUGCUUUGGCGUUUUCUGCUGGUAUCUCUAUUGUUUAUUUUUGUGUAUCUUCACUAAGCAAAUGCUAAUUUAACAGGACAAUGCUGAGCUGAUAUCUCCACGUUCCUUGGAGAAAUUUGCUAUACAGUUCAUGACAUCGGGAAACAUAAAUUUGAUUAAUGAUGUUAUGAAGGCACUGAACCAUUCAGGAUGGCGUAUAAGCCAGGUGAUGAUUUUGUACCUGUACUCUAUAAGUAUAGUUUGGAGUUGAACCCUGGAGGGCUGGACAUUGGAAACUUAUUAAAUCUUAGCUGCCUAGGACAGAGCAUGCUCCAGAAAAUCACAGAACAGCAUUACCAAGACUAACCUUAAUCUAAGCAUUUAAGGACCACAUCUUGCGUCCUAACUUGCUAUUUCUUUUAAGAGUUAAUAACACCCGCAAUACAUAAACUUGAAGCGCGCGAGCAAUUUCAUACAAGAACUUGAAAAAUGGGGCCAAGUGAUCCAAAACUUGUUUAGGCGGGUGAUUAGUGCCCAGAUUAGUCCGAAUUAGCCACGCUGGUUGUUUAGGCGGUUUGCAUUUUUUUCAUUUAGCCCCUGCGAUCAAAAUACAAUUUCUUUCUCAUCCCCAGACAAUGCAAUGCGAAUGAAAUUUUGCAAAAAUAUCUCUGUUUUCUUCCCAUUUUCCAUCAUCGCGGCCUCUCCCUCGCCGCCCUAUACCUCGCCGUGUCGGGGACUCGUGGAUUUAGGGUUAGGCCGCAGGGGUUUCGGGGGAAGAAAAGGAAGAAUCAUGUGUGGAGGGUUUUCGCAAGAGCGUAGGGAAACGAGGGUUUUUCUGUAAAAAUUAUCGAGCCCUCAGUGCGCAACUUUGCCACGCUGACAAGGCACGUGGCGGCUCCGGAGCGCAUCUGACCAAAAAUGAAUCUGCAACACAAGUUUUGGACCAACUGACCCCAUUUUUCAAGUUGUAUGAAAAUGCUCGCAUGCAGUUCUUGUACUGCGGGUGUUAUUACCUCUUCUUUUAAUGGUGAACAUGACCGUUUCUGUUUCACAUGCAGGAUACCUUUGGGAGAGCAAUUCAGCGGUACAUCCAAAAACCUGAUAAGAAGCAGCUAUUGUUAUCCCUCUUAGACUGGAUGACUGGUCAAGGCUAUUCCGUAGACUCAUCAUCAAGGAACUUGCUUUUGAAAAAUGCACAGCUCUUUGGCGAAAAACAACUGAUAGCAGAAAUCCUUUCUAAGCAGCAAGCAGCAUCAAGGGCCUCAGGCCAAAGAACAAAAAGAAUCAGUGAUUGAGGCACGAUUCAAUACUAUCUGAAUAGUUCAGUUCCACCAAAGAAUGUUCAGAGUAGUCAUGGUUGUUUGAUGAUCAACAAAUACCAUGCUCACAAGGGUCUGUCAGAUACAUGUUAUCACCUGUAUGUUCCCAGGGCACAAUCAAGGCUUGCCAGGAUUUCAGAUUAUGGUACGCGGUGUAUGUCUGCAUGUAGUUUAAAUUGCUCUAUUACAUUUAUGUGUGUAGUGUCUGAGAUGUGUCCAUUUUAACCAGGUUGCUCAAUUCACUGAGAUAUACACUUCAUCCAUUAGAGCUGCAACUGGGUCUGGGAGUGAAGAUAGAAGCCAAGGAUUGCAGUGAUGAGAAUAUUGGAUUCUGGGUUGUCUAAGAGGCAUACAAGUAAGUUAGAAUUCCAUUUUCUGUCAUCUUAACAGAGAAAGUUGCUCAAAUUUGUUGGUUGUGCAAUUUGCAUUAUGUUGUUGCAGGAAUCUAGUAUAUAUCUCUGGAUAGCUGAACACAUAUUUAAAACUUCUGUUCAGAGUUGACUGUACAUGAUUAUUGUAAAAGCAUAUUGAAACAUGGUAAAGAGUAGUUUCCUGGCGCAAUAAAUGUAAGACAGGUCAGUAAACAUGUCAGCGGGGCGCGCAGGGAUUAUGGUUAUGUGAUACUGUAUUAGAUUCCGAACAAGACCUCAUGGCUCCCAACUUCUCUUGUUACAUUUGGGUCAAGGAAUUCCCAGAGAUACUAGUUACUGAAAAAGGUUGCGAAAGAUUUUUGUUGUAAAAACUGCAAUAAAACCAUGGCAAAAAGAUUAGGGGAAUGGCAUAAUAGCAUCAGAAACGAAAUAUCUGUAUUAAAAACUAAACAUGUGUAGCGCAGUGCCGCAGUAGCAUUAUAAGUCCUCAGGGUUUUGCCUAGUAAAAGACCAUAACAGUACACAUUCCUAAAGUAUAGCAACAUUGCUAGCUACUACGGAUCUGUAAAAUGGCUUAUUUUUCUUAGGAGAUAACAUGUUGUUUUGAACGUUUUCUUUAUCCUAUAGAUACAUGCAGAAUGAAGUAGGGAUGCAAGCGGGAUCCCUCUUAUAUCCCAUUUCUAAGUCAAAUUUCAGAUCCGUUAGUCAAAUAUAGUAUACUAAAAUUGCUCGUUUUUCUUAGGAGAUAACAUGUGUUUUGAAUGUUUUCUUUAUCCUAUAGAUACAGAAUGAAGUAGGGAUGCAGACGGGAUCCUGCUUAUAUCCCACCUCUAAGUCACCCCAAAUUCACAAGUCAAAUAUAGUGCUCAUAUUUGACUAGCGGGUUUGAAACCUGUACCACUGCAAUUUUGGCGAAUUCGAAAAACACUACUGCAAUUCUCAUCUUUUGAAAAAUACCAUUACAAAAUCUGCAGAUUCUUCGAAAAGUGCCACCAUAAUGGGUUGAAAGGUGCCACUGCAGUGGCAUUUUUCAAAGGAUGAAAAUUAUAGUUGCAUUUUUCGAAGUUGCCAGAAUUCAAGUGGCAUAUAUCAAAUUAACCCCAACUAAAAUAUUUGAGUAAAUAUCACAAAACCCAUGGUUUCCGAUGAACCUUAUCGCACAACUACACAUUUUCGGUUUUUUUAUAACAUAACCCGCAUUCUUGGACAAAACUGUAUCGGUAAACCCAUAAUCUUGCUGUCAACGCGGCUAACAGCGAAAUUGACAUCGGGGCCCACCUGCCGGCCUCAGAAACGAAAACUGUGUUAACUUAGUCUGGUCUGGUUUGGUUUUCUGCCGGUUCGGGCUGGUUCGGGCCAUAGAGAUUGAGGGUAUGAGCGCGCCCGCAACAAAGCCCCUCCGCCACCCGCGAGCUCCUCGUCGCUGGCCUCUGCCAGAAUUCCGGCGAGGCUGCUGCCAUCAACUGUGCUACACCGCCGUGCCGAACAUGGCGGUGCUCAGUGCGCGCGACGCCGCGCCGCAAGCGACAUGGCCGCGCCCCGAAUGCCAGAGGCGUUCCCGCCCCCUCCAUCUCCUUGGCCCGAAUCAGCAGAAAACCGAAACAGACCGGGCUAACUUAACACAGUUUUCAUUUCUGAGGCCGAUAGGUGGGCUCUGAUGUCAGUUUCGCUGUUACGCGUGUUGACAGCGAGAUUAUGGGUUUAACGAUACAGUUUUGUUCAAGAAUGCUGGUUAUGUGAUAAAAAACCCGAAAAGGUGUAGUUUUGCGAUAAGGUUUGUCAGAAACCAAGGGUUUUGUGAUAUUUACCCAAAAUAAUUUGACUUAGAAAAGGGAUAUAAGAGGGAUCCUGCUUGCAUCCCUAGAAUGAAGUGGUUGAACAAGGAGAAAACUGCUUAGCACUGACUAGAUGCAGCCAGUUCAGUUGUCUUUGGUUAGGAUUUAGCUAAUUUAAUUCCUCUAAAUAAUGAAUAAAUGUAGAGAAAUUAAGUGAUAUCUGUUUCUUGAAAGGAGUAAAGGAAAAUAAGUUUGUAAUGUGAUAUUUUUUAUAGGAAAAACAAGAGGAUAACCAGUAAAUCUGCCCUUUUUUGUUCCAACAAGUCGGUUUACUUUGAUGAGGAUUCAGAAUAGACUGGUGAAAAGGAACUGUUCCUUGCCAAAAACACAGGAUAUUACCUUGGAAUUGCUCUCGCAGUGUCAACGGAAAGCAAGUUUGGAACAUUAUUUGAACCACUUCUAGAGGAUCAAUUGUCAUACCCUUGCUAUCGUUGGAUUUUUCAUGUAAAAUUAUCGUCUCCUAAUGCUGUUUCUUGUGUGGCCUCAGUAUAUUCCUUUUAACUUUUGAGAGGGUGGUCUCAGUAGAUUCUAGUGGUAUUGAGACUAGUUCUCGUUGGAGAGGUUCAAACUUCUUUGUCACUUUAUGGGGGAUGCGCAUCUGUUUUGGCAAACUUAAUUCUGGCCAAUGGAUACUUUAGAUGUCAUUUUUGAAGAUACGUCCAUGGCACGGACUGAUAACAGCACCAUGUAUAUAAAGUAAUAACCAGAAUUUCUUCAACUAUAAAGAUUGAGACAGAAUGAAUUCUCUAUCCAGGCGUCCCUUUUCACUGGAGAUAUUGUAUUCAUGGCUAGCUGAAUGGAGGGUACUCUAUUAUUGAAGUACUGACCCUUUUUUUUUCUAGAAUAGUUCAAGCACUGACCUUAAACUACCAUGAUAAGUUGGAGAGGUAAAAUUAGUGGUUCCAGGGAGCACAUGCUCCUGGGAAGCAAAAUAUUUAGGUGUCAAAAACUCUGAAAAGAUUACACAUGUAAAUGUUCGAGUCUUCCAUAUCUUUACUCCUAUAAAGAUCUCAAUUAGUGACGGUGGUCCGUCACCUUCAGGCCGUGUCGCCUGUUGAUUUUGGCACACUGUUGUGAAUAUGAAAUUAUUUGAUGUAAGAAAAUAAAUAAUAGAACAGCAUAGAGUUUUUUUUGUUAGUCUGUAGCAGCAUACAUGUACCGUGCUACUAGUAAAAUUUCAUGGAGAAAUGAACUUUUUUUGUGUCCUAGGUGAGAAGAACAAUAUUAAGUGCUUUAGAGAAGUAAACUGUUAACUAAAUGUGUUUUCACACAGAGCGCAAACUCCCUUUUUUCAUGAAAAAUUAUAAGCACUUACGCUACCGGCUACUCAUGGAUUUGAGUGACUUGCCACCCUCCUAUCCAGGGAGUUCGCCUCCCGGCCUGGUGGCACCUUUCCCAUCCCCCAAAACCCAUCCGCAAGGGCCUCGACUCUUUUCGUUCUGCUGAUAGACUGGAUGAUGAUUUGGAAACAGCGCAACAAGUGCACCUUCGAGAAUAACCGUCCCUGCUGUUUCACCAUCCACAACAGGCUCAAGGAGGAAGCGAAGGCUAGAGCAGGCGCUUUAGGACUCCAUGUGUUGCUACCUGAAUUCUGGGAUGUGAACUAACGGUUUUGCUAUUUCUUAUUUCUUAGGCGAAAUAGACACUCCCGUGAACUAAUUGUGUCUUGCAGCCUAUCUAUGCCUUUAAAUGCACUUUCGUCUUGCAGCCUAUCUAUGCCUAUCCAUGCUUUUGCGUUUUCUAGAAGAAAAAAAGUACUCACAUGUGUAACUUUCUGUAAAGAAUUGCGAUCUGGAAAAUAGUUUUUUCUUUCAUGUGCUCCCAGAGUCCCAGUGCACCAUUGAGCUCCUGGAUGUUUGGUAAUAAAAUAACUGCCAUAUCAAUCUGAGUCCACAUAUAUUUGGUCAUAAGAUUCUGUUAUAAUUCGAUCUAGCUUAACAGAAUUUGGCUGCUUACCUGGGCUUUAGAAAUUUGGGGUGUACAUUUGGUUGCCACUCUGAUAUGACCAUCACAUCUUAGUGAGUAGUAACCGGUGGUCCCCUGUGCUUCUCUGCUUGUAGCACCAAAAAUCAAGUUCAUUGCACCUAGACAGUGCAGAGUAAUUUGCAAGUUUACUCCAUGUUUCUUCUGCUUUUUCACUUAUGCUGUCCGAUUUUCGCAUUGAUUAUCUUAGGAUGGUGACAAAUAAACCUGAUGACUUUAAUGAAAAGGAUCAAAAUCUGUUUGUGAUGUUGUGUCGAAGUUUUCACAAAAUUAUCCUGUUAAAUUGAAGAACGAACUGCUUUGUUGUGCCUUGCUGACAUUUUUAUUUCGGCGACUAUGCCUUCAUCUGCUUGCUCCUGAGUUUAACACUACCUUAAAACAUUUCUUCUUAAUUGGCCAGUGGCGGCUUUCCCGUCAUGAUAAGACAAAUUAAGCAGCAGGUCAUUUUCAUAGUUCACAAAUCAGCAAAAGGAAGUAGAAUACAUGACGGAAGGGAGAAGAUUAGUAUCCGUUAGGGUACCUCAAUUCGUAGCGCUCAGUUUAGCAUUGCUGAACUGUGCUGCGCUGAACUUAUUUUAUAAUAUGAUGUGAAAAAAUACACACGAAAACAGUUAAAAGUUGGUUAGCCAAACACAAAAAUAAACAGAAGCUGGUUGGAAAAACUGGAUCAUCAUAAUCCACCUCAAUGCCAAACUCACCAUAAAUAUAAAGUGUUCUACUUUCAUAUUAGCUCAAAAAAUUUAAAGUUUGAUCAACUUCAUAAAAAAAGAUGUAGUACUAAGAUAUAUGUCAUGACGAAUUUAAUAAAACUGAUAUACACUUAUAGAUAUUGAGAGGUCAGGCUUUUUUCCUUUUCAACAAAGAUUGUAGAUGUUAAUUUUUUUUAGAAAUUUGGUUAAACUUUAAAAAGUUUGACUUAGACUAAGGCUAUAAGAGCAUCUCCAAGAGCUUCACCAUCCCAUGCCCAAUAAUUAAAUUUAGGGAUUUUGUCCAAAAAUAGCCCUCCAACAGAUGCCCAUAUCAUUCUCCAUUUCUAGCCAUCCCCCAAAUCGAACUCGGGAUUUCCCAUAUUGAGGAGUGAAAUGGGGAUUACUCAUAUCUAUCGGAGUUAAGAGAAAGAAAGAAAAUGGUGAGAGAGAGACAGAUCAGUCCUUAGUUUGUCUUUUCCGAAUCUUGAUGAGAUAUCGGAAAUGAAAUAUGAGAAAUUUGUUGGGGAGGCAUAGGAUUUGGGGAGGGUAUAUUUUAUAAAAAAUUCCUAAAUACAGGUUUUGAGAAAGCAAAUAUGAGGAACCUCUUGGAGAUUGGAGAUGCUCUAACAUUUUUACGAACGUAGUGAGCAAUCGAAGAGGCCAAGGAGUGGGUCCACCAUGACAGCUCCUCCAGUUCUGAUUUUUCAGAAGACGGCUUCCCCUUACGCCACCAUUGCUACUGCCAUUUAUUUUUUCUUGUUAGUUUUUCCCCCCACUAUCUCACUGUCAAAUUGCUUUCGUAUGUGUAUUCCUGAGUCCUGACCCAGCCGCUGCCGUCAAGUGGAGGAAUCUGAUAAGCAAUCCACAUCCAUGAAGAGGACAUACUUCUGCAACGUACAUACUUGUGCUACCUGAAUCUGGCUCCGAUCCCAUCGAUUCUCUUUUUAUUUUGACAUAUGUGUCUUGUGGAAAAUUUUGAGCUCAGUGACUGGUGAGCUAGAUAGGCCUUUCGAUCGAGAUUCACUUUGGUCAAACUAGUGAGGUUUCAAUCCUUAUCCUCUCACUUGCCCUACUGAAAAUCAUGAUUCUUGAUGUGAACUUUGUAUAUUUCAAUUGAUUUUUUGUAGUCUUGGUCAAAUUCCUGGGUGUUUCGGAUAUCGAUCCAACCCUCUCCUGAGUAGUGCUCAUGUCAACGGAACCAAGGCUUUGCACCUUCUUGCCUUCACGUCUCAGCAGUCGCCUCAGUUUCUAUUGCAGUUGCAGCUAAAGCCAUCCAGGUAUAGGAUUAUAGUUCAUCAGAGAUUGAGGGAGGAAAGUCAUAGACUCAUGAACGCCAAGUGGAUGGUGAUUGCCGAUUGGGAACUGGUCGACGGAGGUUGUAGUCAUAGUUUAUUCCCAGCCCUUAUCUCGAAACUGAGUGCUCUAAGUACCGAGAUUUAAUUUUACUUUCGGAAAUAGUUUUGGCUCAUGCCAAAAUAAUCCAAUUAAAAAGAUUCAUUGUUGAUUUAGACUCUGAGUAAAGCUUUCAAUCUUUCAUCAUCAUAAACAUUUCACAAAAAAGUUAAAUCGAAUCCACUGACUUCUAAAAAAAGGAUUCUGAUGCCUGAGAAGUUCAUGCUUACUGCUCUAAACAACAUGCUCAUGACUAGUCCCUUGCAAGAAACAAAACAUCAGUGAUACAUUAGAAUCCCCUUAUUCAACGGGGACAAAAAAACGGAAGAAGAAAAUCUCAAACCGCACUCAGUACUCAACAGUGACAGCUGCAGAAAAGGAAGCGGUCCCGUGUCAUCGUCGUCAAAAGCCAAGAUCGACGGGAUGAUGUCGCGGGUGACGUUUUGGGGAUCCGAUGGCUGAUCGAGAUUCUUCAGCUGAUCCAUUCGUUCGUAGCGUGGAAAAGUUGAGCGGAAUCUCAGCCGCAGCCCUGGAAUAUGUGAUGCCGACACCGCUGCACCCAGAGAGCGACGGUGUCAUACUACAAUCUGUUAGGUAGGGCCAACCUGGCCCCCACAUGUCAACGGCGGCAUAGUCCUAUGCCCGUCUGCAUUCCGUUGUGUAGAUGCACACAGUACUACAGCAGGGCAUACGAACUAUGGCGUGUGUGUCUGUUGAUCGACGAUUAUAUGUUGUAUCCUCCGUAUCAUAUAUUAAGUGACUCAUGUUUCGAUGUUGUCUCAAAUAUUACAUGUACCAUACUAAAAUACAUUUAGAUACAUGUAAUAUUUUGGCACUUAAUAUGAGGCGGAAAGAGUAUUAUCUUGUAUAAAAUCAUGUGAAAAUAAAACAUCGAAAUGUAAUAUCAGCAUGGCCAAGAACACACGUGUUAUAUCUAGUUCUAAAAUGAACAUUCAUCGGAAGAAGGUUCCUUCAACAUUAAACAAAAGGACUAAGAGGAGAGUAAUUGAGUGUACGAGUAGCUGUCAAAAAAAAUUUGAGUAUGAUUAUAAGUUUGUAACUACAGAUGGAAAUAACAACAUAAACAGAACAUAGCAACAAUUGUCCACUUAUAUUAUUUCAUCUGUCAAUUUCUUUGAAAAAAAGGAAGACUCUAAUAACUUUUCCCCACUUGCACUAGAACCUCCAUCCCUUUCUUCCAAUGUAGCACUAGUAGAAAUGUUUUGGCACAGCUAGCUAGUUAUAGCUACAUGGGAAGAUCAACCCUGCAUGUUUUUCUUCUUUGCUUUGCUAUGGUGACUCAUGUGACCACCAUAUGCUUGAGAGGAGUUGAAAGUGGCAUUACACAACUUGCAUCUGUAGCCUGAGCUCAUGGAACCUUGCAUGACAUCACCACCAAAAUUUUCAUUUGGGCCACCUACUGGGUCCUCGCCUUCUCUUGGGGAACUUGGGAAUGUAGCAAAUGGACCAGAGGGGGUAGGAAUACCAUAAGGAUCUUCAUUACAAAGCGCCCCAUGUUGUAUGUGCUGUUGAAGUAUAGUAUUUGAAGUGAGGGGAUACUGGUUCAGAGGAGAAAAAAGAGAGCCCAAUGGCAGUGAGUUUAAUUACCUUGGUGAAUAGCCUUGUUGGGUUCUCAAAUAUCGGACCAGCAUCCAACGCUCCAAUUGUGUUAAGGUGGGCAUGUACACUGGCAAUGGGAUCUCCUUGGAGUAGGGAUGUGAUAGAUGGAGAUUCCAUAGACAAGAUCUGCAUUUGCUGCGAUGGGUUGAAGUAGUUCUCAAUAGGGGUUGUAACAAAGUCUUGUUGUGAGAAUAUUUCUUGAUUAUUUUGAGAGCUUUCCAUGAUAAUUGGUUGUGAUGUAAUGGUUCUGCCAAGAGAUAUAUUGUAACUAUUUGUAUGGGGUAACACGUGGAGCGGUGCUAAUGGAACAUUUGUUUGGUUUUGCAGCUUGGACUCGUUUUUGGCUGGCAUCAUGGUAGGUACUUGUGAUGCAUGUGAAUACGGUGGCUGGGUCAUAAGGGCUAAAAACUCAUUCAACGUUGGCUUGACUAGGGGGCAUCUCAGUGCUUCAUGCAAGGGGGAAAUAUUGGACUCACUUUCACUAGAUCUAGCAUCUUUACGGUAGGAGCCAUUAGGAUCCAUGGCUCCUAGACUAAGGAUUUCUGAUGGAAAGCUUGCAAAAGGGAUGAAUUAUCUGCCACGGUAAUGUAAACUACUUCGAUUGGGGCUAUUUUUUAGAAAGAAUAUUGCACUAUUUAUAGGGAUAUGAAAUUAUGAACGUGCUUGGUCUCAUGCAUGCAAUCUUUAAUUAUGACAUUAUUGAAAAGAUUUGACAUUUAUUCAUUACAUUUAUACAAUAUAUUGAAAUAUGAGUAAUUAAGGUAUCUAAUAAAUAAUAUAAUCAUGUAGGAUAUCACUUUGGAAAAUCCAAUCUUACCAUUGUUUGGCAUAAAUUUGUCUAAUAAAUGAUGUAAUCUUGAGGAUCUCACUUUGAAAAAUCCAAUCCUACCAUUGUAUGGCAUAAAUGUUGGCAACCACUUGUAAUUUCAUAGGAAAAAAAUUCAAGACUCUAUGAACGAAAUUUCCCAACAUAGUAUGGUGUCCCUGUAAUGUCUAUACCCUUCAGUUCCCUUCGUUGCAUUGGAUUGGUUCUAGAAAUUUUGCAUACCCCUCUCCGAAUUUGUGUGUUCUCCUUAUGACGAUCCUCGUAUGUUCGAAAAUACACCCUCAACUUAAUUGAGAUUGGAGAAAAAUUGUACAUAUUAUUAAAAAAAACAUAUAUGUAUAUUCCAAAACAUAAAAAAUCAUGAGUUCUGCUGUUUUGGAUUACAAACCGAAUUGAAUCAUAUUCCACCAUCAACAUGAACAAAAUAAUUAUGACAUUAUCUAAAAGAUUUGACAUUUAUUCAUUACAUUUAUACAAUAUAUUAAAAUAUGAGUCAUUAAUGUAUCUAAUAAAUAAUAUAAUCAUGUCAGAUAUCACUUUGGAAAAUCCAAUCUUAAUAUUGUUUUGCAUAAAUUUGUCUAAUAAAUGAUGUAAUCUUGCAAGAUCUCACUUUGAAAAAUCCAAUCCUACCAUUGUUUGGCAUAAAUGUUGGCAGCCUCUAUGAACGAAAUUUCCCAACAUAGUAUGGUGUCCCUGUAAUAUCUAUACCCUUCAGUUCCCUUCAUUACAUUGAGACUGGUUCUAGAAAUUUUGCAUACCCCUCUCCGAAUCUCUGUGUUCUCCUUAUGACGACCCUCAUAUUUUCGAAAAUAUGCCCUCAACUUAAUUUAAAUUGGAGAAAAAUUACACAUAUAAUUCAAAAAAACAUAUAUUUAUAUUCCAAAACAUAAAAAGCAUGAUUUCUGCUGUUUUGGAUUACAAAACAAAUUGAAUCAUAUUUUCCACCAUGAAUAUGAACAAAAUAAGCUUCUUCUCACGCAAUAGCUUUAUAAAAAGUUUCACACUUUGGGCACAAUUCUACAUUUUGCAAGAUCUAAAUAUGAUACGAAUUUAUAUUUCUGAAGAUAUGGAUUUUUUUUACCAAACUAACAAUUUCUUCAUACAUGGAUCAUAAAAUAAUUUUUCAGAUCAGAAAAUCACAAAUUAAAUACCAUAUGUAGCAAUAUUUGUUAUGAAGAACAUGUCAUAUUUUUUUUAUCGGGUACAUGCCAUAAAUAUUUUUGGACCAAGAACAUGUCAUAUAAAUUUUCUCAUCAAGAACAUGUCAUACACAUUUUUCUGGUCAAGAAUCUAUUUGUGCAUCUCCCUUGUUUCGGAACAUAGAACAUGUCAUAUGCAUUUUUCUAAUCAAGAAGGGACACAUGAGAAAUCAUAAAUGUCACGUUUUUUAUCCGAGAAAUGUUUUUUAACCUUAUUAUUUAUGAAGAAGAAAUGCACACAUAUAAUUCAAGACACGUCACAUGAGCACAUACGGAUCAUAAAUGAACAUGAUCACAUCACAAGAAAAAAAGAUCAUUUGGGGGGGGGGGGGGGGGUUAGCCGAUGUUUUUUAGAUCUGGAUAUGUACCUUGGACAAAUUUCAGUAGAGGGCCCCAGAUCCGGGUCACUAACUCGCUGGCUUCGAGCCUCAUAGGGGAACAUGUUGUAGCAGGGCCGGUCCAGGAAUACUUGAUGGCGUCCGGUGAGGCCACCCUUGCCACAGUGCCCGUCCCACUAGUGACGUCAACCAUCAAGUCGGCUCCCUCCAACACCUCGAGCGAGUGGGAGGCGGCAACGGCUAAGACGGGACCGGCCAGAGUGAGGCCGAGGCUCCAACACAUUGUAGAGGCCUGCGGGAACAGGAGGUUGGUGGUGGCGGUGACGAACCAGGUGUUUGGGCAAGAUGUCUGCUGGCUGGCGGGGACGAGACCAAUGGUGGCUCCGCUCGAGGAGACGGGAUUCGGUGGGCAAAAAUGAAUCGGUGGGGAUGAGGAUAAGGAGGACGGAGGAGAUGGGAGAACCAAAAUAUUGCAGAUAUUAUGUUUUCUAGGGCUAAGAAAAGCAAGAUGUGUGCACGAAUCUUGAAACAUUGAGGGCCAUUGGAUAUGCACAUCCUUCUAUGCUAGGCAAAACUUCGUUGGCUCUAUGAAUAGACUAUAGAAGUUUCCAGUUGCUUGGACUGAAAAGAUCUCUAUGCUUUGAUACAAGAAAAAAAAUACAUCAUUGCAUCUUCUUAAGAUGCAAUCCCAUGCAUUUCAUGGUGAACAAGGAAGGCUCCAUGAGCAGACCAUAUUAAUAUGGGACAACUGCAUAUUCUAUUCCUUGGUGGGAAAAAACAUCUUUAGGCUUUAAUAAAAAAAACAGAUUACAACUUCUAAAGAUGUAAAAAGGUGAAUGUUGCCUCAAUCUACUCUCCCAACUUUCAAAAUUAGUUACCUAUUUCAGUCUAACUUUCUUUUGACGAUGUGUACGUAGUGGAAAAACUAAUGGUUACCAUACACGAUGAGGUGUGAUGAUGUAUACGACCCUGUGGCCCAUCGCCUUUCCAUGCAAGGACUGGGUCCGACAUGAGAAGGAAAGUACCAUGUGACAUGCAAUCUAGUAUGAAUAGUAGUUAUGGACAAUCCCCCCUUAUCACAAUCAUAGUCCACGACUCUAGCGGACAGUUUCUUGGAUAAAAAAAAGACUCGGAGGACAACAUGAUGACUAGGCAGCGGCAAUUGGCGCAUCACAUGGCGGCGGCGGCGUGGACCGGGAGUGCCGCACCCCAUGACCCGCUGUGGCAAUCUACAAGAUCCAGAGAAAGUGUGUGAUUGGGAAACUGGAUACAGAGGAAGAAUGACAGAGAAAGAGGAUUGAAAAUGCCUUACCGUGGGCGGGAGAGAGGAAGAAGCCCUUCUUGGCCGACAGGAUCUCGGCCGCGGCGACCGGAUCCGCCGGCAUGCCGUGGCGGCCGGAUCCAGGCCGGCGGUGGCCAGAUCCACGGGCCGUGGCUGCCGUCAUGCGGGGGCAGGGAGGAAGCGGCCCCGGCAGCAUUGGGCAGGAGGAGCACCAUUGCGCGGGGCAGGGAGGAGGCGAUGGCUACCGUCAUGCGGGGCAAGUAGGAGGAGGCGCGCGGCCGGUAGGAGGAGAGAAGGGGGAGGGAGAUGGCAUGGUGGGGAAGGGAGGAAGAUGAGGAGAUCGAGGGGGAGAGGAGAUCGAGGAGGAGAGAGAAGAGAUAAGGCAGGGCUGCAGAGGAGACGGAGUCACAGACUCAAGGGGUGGGCACUAGGCAGGGGAAAGGAAACACAAAACAGCCACAUCAACGAUACGGUCCUCCAUUCCUCAACCAAUCAAGAACCAACAACAACUAGCAUUCGGGUUGUGCUUUUCUGACUGUGACCUCCAAUGGCGGGCUAAUUCAUUUUAUUUUUUAUUUUUAGUAUAAUAUAAUUGUAUUUUGGAUUAUAAUUGAAUUGCUUUAUAAGUUUAUCAAUAUGAUCUUUUUUGUGUGCAAAUUGGGCAUGAUUUUGAACCAUAUUAAUAGUACUUGCUUCACAAAAUACAAUUUUUUGCGUUAAAAAAAUGGGAAAACAUUUUUUGGAACGAAAACGUUGUAAAUUUCUUUAACAAUAUUGUUUGUCAUGAAAAGACAACACACGUCUGUGCAAAAAAUGGAUACAAUAUCAUGAAAUAUGUCAUAGAAAUGGCUGUGACUUUGGUCAUUUGGCUUGAAAGCCAUAAACAUUCAUACUCGAUAGUCCAUUUUGUGAAAGAAUUUUUUUAACAUUUGCAAAAUUUUAAGUUUACCAUUUCUCAUAGCAACUAGUACACAUAAAAGGACUCCAUGUCAAGAAUUGUCUUUUUUGACAUUUUCUUCACAUUAUUAGAAUUUUCACAAGAUGGGGUGAAAAUUGUCAACACAUCUUUCCAUACAAGGUGUUUAAUAUUUCAAUACCCUAUAUGAAUCUUACAUAAUUCUUACUUGGGUACCUUAAAUGAUUUUUUGAAAUUUGUAGGAAAAACUAUCACACACUUGUAGUUCAAAUUUUAAUUAAUUUUGGGAAAUCACUAAAUUCAUUUAAAUGGAAAAAUUAUAAAUAAAGCUAGAAACUUCAAAACCUUUGGACACAACCAAUUAAAUAUGUUCUAGUUUGUGUGAAAAUUGUAUACGUGCCAUUUUGAACCAUAAAAAUUGUACUUGCUUCACAAAAUAAUUCAUUUUUUGUAUUGAAAAAAGACGGAAAAUCGUAUUUUAGGAGAACGAUCAUGUGAUGUUAUUGUUCAAACGUGUUAAUAAGUAGAAAGAAGACUUCAGCAAAAAGAAUCGCAUUGUUUAGAUUUUUUUUGAAUUAGUCAUGAUUUUUGCAAGUCUCAGUAGUGGCGGGUUUGAGCUUGGAACAACCACUGGUAGGUGGAGGGUCACCAGCAGCGUUUGUGAGCUUAGAACAGCCACUGGUAGGUGAUAGGUGAUAAUUGAGAUUUUGGCCGAGCUCAGGAAGUGGCUGUGUGUAAUGAUUGCCGGUGACUUGUUUGGAAUGAGAAUGACCGCCACUGGUGGGGUCCACCAGUGGUCGUUCCUGCUGUUCCCAAGGACGGCCACUGGGCUUCUGGGAACGACCACUGGCGAGAGUUCAUGUAAGGGGUAUUUUGUAGUAGUGUUAUGACUCUAUUCACAAAUUCAUUCGGAUCGAACCUGAUUAAGUUCCUAUCCCUUAAGUGUGGUGUGGGAUCCUUUAGGUUCACGUCCACUCAGACACGACUUCGAAUUCCUCCUAAGGGCAACUCCUUCGGGGAUACCCAAUGCGUCCGUUUUGGUCCAUUUGUGUAGCGGACCGGACAGAAAAAGGCCGAGUCUAGCCUGAGUCCAUUCGGGUCAGGCAGCACGUCCAACGAGGUGACCCAUGUGGGAACCAAUUGGCAAAAAAAAUUUGGAUGAACACAACUCAUUAAUAAACUUGGUAAAUUUCAUUUACAAACAUGAUCCACAUACAAUAUUUACCACUGGAUUUGGGGACCGGGGAGAGGAAAGAGCUGAGGGAUCAGUUUUGCCAUCAGAUUUAGGAACUAUGUGGCGGCUACUAAUCGUCCUCUUCGACGCGGGGGGGGGGGGGGUUCUGCAGGCUCGUCGGCGAAAUAACAGAGGAGCGGCAAGCUGCGCAUCCACUUGCCACUCCCGCCUCUUCGUCUCGUGCUUCGAUUCCAUUUCAAAUCCCCGCGAGCUCCUCCUCCAAUUCCUGCUGGCGAGCGUCGUCCUUGACGUCGUGCUCCAAUGAGGCUUGGCAAGCAAAGAAGCACACCUGCUCCUUCUCUUCCUCGUCGGUCCGAGUAGCAGAGAUCCGGACGCAUGAGGGACUGACGCCGCCUCCUCGAUCGCCAUCAUCUCCACCUCCAACGCCGCUGCUUCAUCCUCAAUCUUGGGCACCCAGCGCGAGCCGCCGCCGCUCGGCUAGUCAAGGGCGACGGAUGCCUACUCCUAGCCGGGAUGAUUGCCUCCACCGCGGCCGACGUGCACGUUCGUUGAGAACGCGGAGGGAGGAGACGCCGAUGGAUCCAUGUUGUCGGCGAACCCUAGAUUUGGGAGCGAGUGGAGUGUGUGGGGGUGGGGAAAUGGGAUAGACGUGGUCCCCAUUAAAAUGGACGGAGGGGGGGGGGAGGUCGUGGGGUCGCUGGCAGGUGGGGCCGGGAAUGAGAAAGCGUUUGACGGGUUCUAACCUAGGUGGACGCAUGGACUGAGUGACCAUACAUUUCUCGGUCCGUGGGGACGCAAACCCGGCUCAGAUUUUGGGCCGGACUGCCUCUCCACGGACCGAAAAGCGGACGCAUGACCAAAUGUGUCGCCGCGUUUGGUCCGUUCGGGCCAAACGGAUUGGUCUGCCUCAUUUGUGUCGUCCCGCUGGAGUUGCCCUAAGUUCUCACCUCUGUCCUCGAGAACGACUACACAUCCCCUUAUCGACUCUUACUCGCCCAUGAGUUCUCAUACUCAAGUCGAUAGUCGGCAGUGGCUCGUAGCAGAACGUGUUUUGAAUGAUCAGUGAGCCUAAUCUUCUAUAUCUAACUAGAAGCAACCCACUACUUGAUUUUUCUAAACAUGCAAGCAUGCCACAUCAUCACAUAAUUAAUUUGUUCACACCUUAUUUAGUGAAAAACUCAUACUUUUGCACAUGCAUGCAUGCUACUUCCAUCAAGUUAUUCCCACUAAGUGAAGAAUGUACAAUUUUAUUAUAUGUUUUCAAUUUUGAAUAUCUUUAUGUUAACUAAAAAAUUUCCGCAACAACGUGCGGGACAUCGUCUAGUGUAACUAAGUGAAAGCAGCAUAUAUGAUAAUACAACAAUCUCAAGCACGAAGGCGAUCACAAAGAUAACAACGACACCAAUGAAACUCGGAUAGAAAUAACCGAAGCACACAGAGACGAAGAUUUAUCCUGAUGUUUACUCUCUUGGGAGAGAGCUAGUCAACGUUGGAGACGUGUGGGUUAUCAUGAAUGACCACCAAUGCCACUGAGGACUCGUCUUGUUCUCCUCUCGCCUCCUUCACGAAGUAGGAGCUCAAUCACUAGUGGUAGGUCUUGAGGUGACAUCCAAACCCUCACAAACUUCCCCAGGGCAAAUUCACAUCUUGGAAGUUUCCGGAAUGGGCUCCAAGUGUCUAGGAGUACUCGGAACUCUAAGAGUAAUAAAUCACUUGAUGGACUUGAAGAGGAACAAAUCUCUUUGGUGAGACGUAGAUCUAGCCUCUAGGGCUGUCCUAGCUCACACUGGCUCUCGUGACAAACAUCGUCACAUUUCUUUCCUUAUCAUUAGUAGUAAUAGAAAGACAUUUAUUUGACGAUCUAGACCGUGGAAGGACCACCAUAGCAAAGUAGCAAACAUAUCUCGCUUGUGAAACUAAUUAAGAAGACCGACGUGUAUAUGGAAAUGCCGUCGUGGGAGUAGCUAGCGUGCUAGGUCGACAUGAUACUGUAGCCGAGGUGCAGCACGGCACUCAAUCGAAGAGUCUCCACGCGACACCUGGUUAGCAAUAUUCGAUCAGGCCAGCGGGUGCAGUAUACCUACCUGGAGUUUGCUCAACGUAGAGCGUGUAGAAUUAAUGUGCCGAACUCAACUCCCUUGAUCUGUCCAAAUUAUUUUAACAUGUAUGCAAUGUCACGUCCCCGCAAAAAAAGAAAAGAAAAAGAAAACUAUGCACUGUUACGGACGAUGAUUCAUACGGCCGGACGUACAGGUGGUUAAUCAUCGUGUUAAUUAAUUUGUUCCCUGCUUUAACACGCUCGCAAAAAAACAAAUGUAGGCACUAUAUUCCGAAGCUUCGAAGCGCAACGGAGAUUGGCUGUUCCGUUCUCCGUGGCCAAGCAGAAGGGACGGCUGAUUUUUCUCCAACGCAGCUGGCGGCACCUACAGGUCGGCCAAAACCGGAACAACCAGCUGGUGGUGUUGCAACCUGAGCUUCUUCUGGUGAUUGGUGAUUUGGCAUCGUACGUACGGUGGUGUUGCAACGGCGACCACCACCUGAGCUACCUGGCCCCACAUUCAGGUUUCAGCUACCCUCCACGGCCAACUGGGUUGUGGACUUGUGGUCCCUCACCGGCGGUCGCAUGGAGACAGAGAGGUGGUCCUGUGGGCCUACACACAGACACACGGACGGCAGAUGAAAGAGCAAGAAAAAAUCUAGGAGGAACAAACGAUUAUUAGUUCUUCUGAAGAAGCCAAAACAGACGAUUAGCUUAGCCAUCAAAGGACACAGCCCAACGCUGCACACACAACAUGUAAAAGUACUCAAACAUGUACUUCCACAAGAAUAAACUGAGAACCAAGUUAUGGAUUUAAAUCUACCCAAACCAUAGAGUAACAAAUUAUGUUCAGAGAGAAUGAAAAUAAACCUCGGUUGCUUUUGUAAGGUGUUCAUGUAAUCUCCACUUGGAAAAAGCGCUUUGCCUCUUAUACAAAAGUACUCCAUCCGUUUCAUAAUUUUUGUCUCAAAUUUGUCCAAAAUUAAAUGUAUUUUUUUUAAAAUGUCUAGAUACGUCAUCGUGUAAGAUUUCGACAAGAAUUAUGAAACGGAAUGAGUACAAGCCCCGAUUACUGCCACCGGGUCCCACCAAACGUGGGCCCCAGCGACGAGCCACUCAUUAAAUAAAGAUCUCGUGGGCGCCGGCGCGUAAUAAAAGGAGACGUUGGAGGCUUUCCCUUCCUCCAGCCCGAAUUAAACCCCUCUCUCUUCUUCCUCCGCUCCAUUCCCUUCUUCGUCUCCACGGAACCCAAAAUCGGAACCAAACGCCAUCCCAUGGCGUCCUUCCGACUCCUUCCCCUCGCGCUGCUGCUCUGCGCCUGCCUCUCGGCGCACGCGCGGACCUCGCUCCUGGAGCAGACCAUUCGGCUCCCGUCGCAGCGCGGCGCGGCGGGGCAGCAGGAGGUCGACGAUGACUCCGUCGGGACCAGGUGGGCCGUCCUCAUCGCCGGCUCCAACGGGUACUACAACUACCGCCACCAGGUGAGCGCGAGCUUAGGUGCCAGCAUGAUACAGUUUAAUUGCCUAAUUGGUAGCAGUUACUAGUGAAGUACUCGUUUAUUGUAUCUGCGAUCCUCGAUGUUCCUUCCUGUUGGUUAAUUCCUUGCGUGCAUCGCCGUAGAAAUAGAGACUCGAAGAUAUUCUGUUCCGUUUGGCGUUACGGUGCAUUCCGGAAAUCUAUCUCUUGCCCCGUAUGGUUCACAUGUCGAGUAAUCCCACCAUAAUUGGGUAAGGUUUUGCGCACCCGGUUAAUUAUUCACGAACGAUUUCAUGGGGGGCUCAUUCUGCUUAUCAACUGGUUGCCGUCCUUUUUCGUCCACUCUUGUAUUUAGUACUGUUGUUUUGGCGGAGUGGGAAAAAUAAAAUGAAAUGAAAUAAAAUAAAGGCGGCGAUAUGAGUGGGCUGGAAGUAGUACUUCUUUGAAAUAAUAAACCUAGUAAUUACGGCUCAUGCAUCAUGCUAGUAUCUUGUUUAUUGCUAGUGAAAAUUUAAUAAUUUAAAUUAAUUGCACUAGUCAGCUAAAUGAUUUUAUUGGUGCGACAUACUGGCAGCUCUAUUGACACGAUUUCAGCUGUGCUUUUUUGUACUUUUGCACCGUCCCUUUGUCAGUGUUCCAAAUUACCAGUAGAGUACUCCCUCCGAUUCAUAAAAAGUGUCGCCCACUUAGUACAAAAUGGACGACACUUUAUGGAUCGGAGGGAGCACUAUACUUCUAUCCUAGUGCUUAAAUUUGGCGUGAUUAAUGGUGACUACGAAGUGUCGUGUUUAAUUUAGGGAUUGGAUUUUGCAGGCAGAUAUCUGCCACGCCUACCAGAUUAUGAAGAAGGGCGGCCUCAAGGACGAGAACAUCAUUGUCUUCAUGUAUGAUGAUAUUGCACACAACCCGGAGAAUCCAAGGCCCGGUGUCAUCAUCAAUCACCCCCAGGGUGGAGAUGUCUAUGCUGGAGUCCCAAAGGUAGUCAAUAGCCAUGCGUAUUAAUCCGAAAGUUUUUAUAGUUGUUAUAGUUGCUUCACAAGGGUGUGAUGGUUGCAGAAAAAUAUGACACGAUAACUUAGAAAUUGCAUAAAAGAAAUUUCAAUAGCAGUUUGUACCUCAUUGAAGAUGACUGAAUUGCUAAAUAUUCGUCAGUCUUGACGCCUUCUGCCAAUUUGUUGUGAAUAAGAACAAGCACCACUGGCCCAUCUUCUCCUGAAUUGGGACUUGGGAGGUGACGGGGCAAGAGUAGACUUAAUCAAUAGAGUGCCAACUUUUUCUAUGAUAAUGUUAACAUCUCAUUUGAACGAACCAAUUCCAAUCAUCAUACAUUGCUAUCCAUAAUUUACCAUCUGUUUGACUUAAUUUUCUCUAUUUUCACUUUCACUGUAGGACUAUACGGGGAAGGAGGUUAAUGUCAAGAACUUCUUUGCUGUCCUGCUCGGCAAUAAAGCUGCUGUGAGUGGUGGGAGUGGCAAAGUUGUGGACAGUGGCCCUAACGAUCACAUUUUCGUUUUUUACAGUGACCAUGGGGGUCCUGGUGUCCUUGGUCAGUAUUCAGAACCAACCAUUUUUUGCACUUUCUGUCUUUUGAUGUCCUUGGAAUUUAAUGUCUGAAACCAAUCAGAAUAGAUAUAUUAUGUAUAUACAUACAAAUCUCGAUAUGUAAUUAACUUAUUCCAUAUAUCAUUGUUUUUUGUUCUAUGAAAUUUUCAGGCAUGCCUACCUACCCAUACCUUUAUGGUGAUGAUCUUGUAGAUGUGCUGAAGAAGAAACACGCUGCUGGAACCUACAAAAGCUUGGUACCGAUCAGUAGUUUGGUUGUUGUUAGCUCUGCGUCUGGGUGAUCUGCUGCUUGAAGCAAUGACUGGAGAAGUAUUCAUGAUUCUCUUAUUUUGCAGGUAUUUUACCUUGAAGCCUGCGAAUCCGGGAGUAUCUUUGAGGGGCUUCUGCCGAAUGACAUCGGCAUCUACGCGACCACUGCGUCGAACGCAGAGGAGAGCAGCUGGGGGACGUACUGCCCUGGAGAGUACCCGAGCCCUCCGCCAGAAUACGACACCUGCUUGGGCGACUUGUACAGCAUUGCUUGGAUGGAAGACAGGUACUUGAUUCCUCAUCCCUCACACAUUUUUGCACUCACGUCGGUUAGUACUUUCGGGCAUCGUAAGGUAUAUUAUGUCGAAGUGAUGAACCAACUAGUACGGCACUACCUGCUAUGUUUCCUGAUUUAACUAAGAUGCUAGUGAGGCGCAUGUGUUUUCUGAAGGAAGGUGAUAUACAUGUUUUGAUUACUUUUAGGUGCACAAGCAUGACAAAUGUUAUGUGUAUAGCAUGUGGCCCCGUCUUACUGUGCCUUUUUCAAAGCAUGUGACUAUGUCGUCGUCGUCGUCGUUGUUAAGUCCCUUAACUACACAAAAUAAAUCUACUAUUCAGCUGUGCCUGCCCAGCUUAUAGUCAACUCUUUGAGCUGGAGCAAACCGUGUAAGUAGACACCCAAAAAUAGCCCAUGUGCUGUUGCUGCAGGCUGCAGGCUGCAGUCAGCUGAAUGCCAUGCAUGUAACUGCCCGACUUGGAGCUGUUCUGUUGGCUGUAGGUAGUCUGUCCAAUAAACAAGGAUUGCAAGUACAUAUGAUGGCCAUGCAGCUGCGGGCUUCAUUAGUGCUGUAGCAUACAUGUUAAUGUUGCAUACAAUCACAUUCUGUGAAAUUGAAACAGAAGAUCACUAAUAUAUUCUCCUGUCCGCUGUUAUGGUAAUGCUUGUAGCAUUUCCUCAUGUUAAGAGCCGAACUCUGAGUCAAAAUCCUUGAGUCAUUUGUUUGAAGGGAGAUGCCAUUUUAGUUCUACUCUAAUAGUAUGAAUUUCUAAUUUUGACAGCGAUGUCCACAACCUGCGAACUGAAUCUCUUAAGCAGCAGUAUGACCUGGUAAGUGCCUCCCAUUGUGUUUUGUUUUACCUUAACCUUGCAUCAAUUCUUGCCUAAUAUGAUGUAAUGGUUGAUCAGGUCAAGAAGAGGACGGCGCCUGAGAACUCAUACAGUUAUGGAUCCCAUGUGAUGCAAUACGGUUCUUUGGACCUGAAUGCUGAACAUCUUUUCUUGUACAUUGGGUCAAAUCCUGCUAACGACAACACCACCUUUGUGGAAGGAAACUCACUGCCGUCAUUCUCAAGAGCUGUUAAUCAGAGGGAUGCUGAUCUUGUUUACUUCUGGCAGAAGGUUCGCAAUUACAUGAGAAAUCUUCUGAUCUUGAUUUUACUGUCACAAGAUCUGUUGAUCUUGCCAUGCGUUGCCCAUAACAAUGGCAUCAUUUUGAUGGAUAAACUAACUGGGUGCUUUCUUUUAUUUUUCAUGUAGUACCGGAAAUUGGCUGAGAGCUCCCCUGCCAAAAACGAUGCUCGGAAGGAAUUGCUUGAAAUGAUGGCCCACAGAUCUCAUGUUGACAACAGUGUCGAGCUGACUGGAAACCUUCUGUUUGGUUCUGAGGAUGGUCCCAUGGUGUUGAAGACUGUUCGCACAGCUGGUGAACCUCUUGUUGAUGACUGGGGCUGUCUCAAGUCUACGGUAAGGCCUCACUUUACUUUGGUCGGUUAUGUAUCAGCAUCUAUGUUAUGUUUCUGCCAUGUUUUUCUAUUGUUUAAGUGUUGAGUCUGGGACUUGGGUCAAAUUUUGAAAAUUCGCUUGCAGCUGUUAUUGGUUCAAAAUUCUAAUCACUUAGAUUAGAGCAGUAAUUCGAUUCUUGCUGAUUUUUUUUAUUGAUUGACUCAUAAGUAGAAUUGCCUUAAUCUACUCCCUCCAUUUCACCAUAACUAUCUACAACCUUGAGAGUCCCUGUUCUGAAAUAUUUGUCAAUUGAGGGAAUUAGUAUAAUAAAAAAGAGGACCGAGGAUACUCACCGUACUAGCACCCCCAACAUGUUCUUGAGAGGAAGGUGGGAUUCGAUCGAACCGGGGUUGGUUUGUAGCAGAACCGUGUGCCCGCCUUAAAUAAGUGGGUGGCUCGGAGGAACUAGCCAACUAGUGAGGAUUGGGCCCCAGAUGGCUAGCCCACCUGUGGUGCUAGCCGGUAAGACCCUGGGUGUUUCUCCUGGAUUUAGUAUAGUUAAUGCAAUGUUUCCACACUCUACUCAUACUUUUUAUGUUAUCGAAUAGGUUAAGUGGUUGUAGUAUGCCAUUUUAAUACUCCCUCCGUCUCAUAUUAAAUGACUUUCUAUUACAUGUAUCUAGAUGCCUUUUGGGCAUAAAUACAUCCAUAUUUGAACAAACUUGAGUCACUUAAUAUGGAACGGAGGGAGUAGGACAUCAGGGGUAUACAUGGUCAUUUCUUGUCAACUCUUUCUUAGAUUUACUGUCCAUACGUAACUAGGUGAGGGUUUUACUUUUCGGCAAAGAAAUUAAUUUAUGGAUUGCAAGCUGUCGAGAACCAACUAUCUUAAGUGAUCCUAAUUACCACUAAAGGAAGGAGUGGAUGCGAUUAAAAAAAAAAAAGAACCAGCAUUUCCUGUCUACUUCUUGAUUAAUAUAGUUAUGAAGGCAUCUGCUAAUUUGUACCCGGUGUGCUCUUCGUCUAACAGCCAAACUGUAAGAGAAAGGUCGAUCAAACUUUUCAAGAUGAUACUUUUAGUUUGAAGCAUCGAGUGUUCUAGCUAGUUACUUCAGUUCCACAUAUUGCCAGCUCUUGAUUGAAUACAUACAGGUGUUAUCUGGCAUACGUAAUAUCUUUUGCCCCUGCACAACUAAUAUGCUUCUGCUUUUUGUUCAGGUCCGUGCUUUCGAAUCACAAUGUGGCUCUUUGGCACAGUAUGGAAUGAAGCACAUGCGAUCAUUCGCAAAUAUCUGCAAUGCUGGCAUCCUUCCUGAAGCGACAGCAAAGGUCGCGGCUCAGGCUUGCCCAAGCAUCCCAGCCAACCCCUGGAGUGCCACACACAAGGGUUUCAGUGCUUAGAUCAUAGGUUAAUCAAACUUAGUAUUUCGGAUACUGCACCAUACCAAUUUCCCUUCCUAUUCACACAGGGUUGGUAGUGCUUCAACGAACCUUGGUGAAUCAGCUAUGCGUUAUUUCAGCUAUUCUACAAUAGCAAGUUGCCUUAGUUAUGCUCGACUUAUGAUGUACAUAUACCAUAGUAGGAAGUGAUUUGGGAAUAUUACCUGUGAUUGCUGUACAUACUUGUGAUUGGUAAUAUGAUAUGUUAGAUAUAGCUCGCAACUCCCUGUAUGAAGAAUGCAUUCUUUCUAUUUCUAUGUCGCCUGAGUAAUCUCAUGUUGAACAUGACUGCCUCUUGUCGCUCUUUUAUCGACCAUUUCAAAUCCUGUUGUUCCGUAGCAGGCUUGUAGCUUCUGACUGCCUCUUGUUGAUAUCAGCAUCCAGAGUUUGCAUGUACCACAUCCUGACACAUUGUUUUGUUGUAACAUGCCAUCCUUAUUCAUUACAUGCGCUUUAUAAUUUUACGAGUAAAUUUCAACCAACCACAUUUAUUACAUGCGCUUUAUAAUUUUACGAGUAAAUUUCAACCAACCAUAUUUCUUGGUGCAGUCUUUUCAACCAACCACACAUUUUGCUAAUUUGUCUAGAAAACCACACUUUUUCGGUCUAAUUGUCUCAAGUAGCCCAAAACUGAUGAUUAAACCUGUUUGACAGUUUUCCUUACAUGUGGGGCCCAUUGUCAGUUGCCCUCUCGGACAGCCCGUUAACCCGUCCGGCAGGACCAGGCCGCCGGAGCCGAAGAAGAACCACAUCGCUGCAGAGGGUCAGUCCCCCGGCGCGCGAACCUCUCGUCACUGCCUUCUCCAGGCCACGGGAGCAGCCUCACGGCGUCCUGUCUGGCGGCCGCGGUGUUCCUCCUGCUGGCCGAGGCAGAGCCGCGACGGCGCUGUUCCUCCUCUUCAGCCCGCACCCGCCGGACAUCGCGGUCGCGCGGUGGAUUCUUAGAAAAAUCCUGGAGCAGGUCGCGGACACGGAAGGAAGGCGGAGGCUCGUUAAUUUGUCGCCGGUCGAUGCCGGCGCCGGUGUCGGCGUCCGUGAUGCGCACCAGGGCGGCCAUGCGCACGCCGUGGGUGCAGACCUCGGAGGACGCGAUGUUGCAGCGGAGGUUCGUCAGCACCGCAAACACCUCCGACAGCAGGCCCGGCCGGUCCCUGCCCACGCUAUAUUUGCAUCUAGAAGUUGCAUCCACCCAAAAUCGAAGGCAGAAAGAGCAAAAUUUCUUCCCUCCAUGGCGCUCGCCUCCAAUCCUGCUCCCAAUCCUCCAGUCCCACAGCAGCACUAGCAGUCGCGACUCCAUCAACCAUCACCUAAGAUUGCGCUGCUGCUGCUGUUGUAGCAUGCCGUGGAGCCGUGGAGGCCCAGGCCAAUCAGGCUCCGACCCUCCGCCGCCGCCCGCGCGCCCUCGCUCCGACCCGUCGCGGCUCGCGAGCCUUCCCUCCGCCACCAGCGCGCGUCCAAUACGAUCCGCUGCCACCCCCUUUUGCUCUACAUUUCUACAUUUCUAGACAUUCUGGUAGUUCGACCGCGGAAUUUUUUUGUUUCGGUAUCUCUGGAAUAUGAGUGUGCGACUUGUUAAAAUUGAUCCUAUUGAUAAUACAUAGAAAGGGCCUGUUAUCUCUAUCAAUAUGAUUCUAAUUCGUCAGAUAUUAUUUAUUGUAGUAUUUGGAACACGAAAUAGAUAGAGUGGAUCAAAAAAAAAUGGAACUAUGAUUCAUACCCACUAUUCAGACCUCGCAACCAGACUGAAAAAAUUGAAGUAGUUCUUAAUAAAAAAGAAGAAAUUUUCUUCCUUCCAAUUUUGUUUGCCCAAAAGACAACUUUAUUUUCUCUCCAUUUUGUCGAGUCAUUACACGGAUUCCAUAAAUGAUUAUCAAGUGGUUCUUAUUCGAAGAACCCUUGCCUUUUGUUUAGCUUGAGACUCAAUCAUCUUGGCUCUAGUAUGAAUCUAAGGUUUAAAUUGAACUGAUUCAUAGGAUCGCAACAAGAUAAUUUCUAUCAGAAAACUACAAGAAUAUUGGCUUUCUUUAUUUACUAGUAAAUAAAGAGUAAAUCCGCAUUACACACAAAAAAAGAAAUCAAAAAUAGGGAAGAGAAAAGUCAAGAGGCCUCUAAUGACCAAUAUAAGGGAAAGGAAGAAAGACAGAUGAGCCAACUUGAGAUUUUUUGGCAUUAGCAUUACAAAGAGGAUAUUCCGGAUUUUUCUUAUUUCAUAUUUUCAAGGCAAAUCGACCCAAUCCAGUGGCUGAUGAAGUUUUGAACCUUUUUUCUAAUAUUCGUUGAAAAUUUGUGUGUUUCUGCUUGAGCCGUACGAGAUGAAAUUUUCAUAUACGGCUCUUAGAGGGGGACUUAGGUUAGUUACCUAUCUCAAUAAAGUAUAUGAUUGGUUUGAGGAACGUCUUGAGAUUCAGGCAAUUGCAGAUGAUAUAACUAGUAAAUAUGUUCCUCCUCAUGUCAACAUAUUUUAUUGUUUAGGGGGAAUUACACUUACUUGCUUUCUAGUACAAGUCGCUACCGGUUUUGCUAUGACUUUUUACUAUCGCCCAACUGUUACAGAGGCUUUUUCCUCGGUUCAAUACAUAAUGACCGAGGCCAACUUUGGUUGGUUAAUCCGAUCAGUUCAUCGAUGGUCAGCAAAUAUGAUGGUUCUAAUGAUGAUCCUACAUGUAUUUCGUGUGUAUCUCACAGGUGGAUUUAAAAAAACCCGCGAAUUAACUUGGGUCACAGGUGUGGUUUUGGCUGUUUUGACUGCAUCGUUUGGUGUAACGGGUUAUUCUUUGCCUUGGGAUCAAAUUGGUUAUUGGGCAGUCAAAAUUGUGACAGGUGUACCUGAUGCGAUUCCGGUAAUAGGAUCGCCUCUAGUGGAGUUAUUACGUGGAAGUGUUAGUGUGGGCCAAUCCACUUUGACUUGUUUUUAUAGUUUACAUACCUUUGUACUUCCUCUGCUUACUGCCGUAUUUAUGUUAAUGCACUUUCCAAUGAUACGUAAGCAAGGUAUUUCGGGUCCUUUAUAGGGAAGGCAUAUCAUAGAGAAUUAGAAUUCUCAUAUAUAAUAUUGGGUAGGUUGUGGUAUUUCAUUGCUACAAACAUGGGUUAUUGUAAAAUAACACAUGUCAUUUGGAUACUUCUCUUCAACUCCGAAGUAUUUUGAUAUAAUACAAAUAGUUGAAGUUAAUUUUACAAAAGAAAAAAAGGCGGAUUAUGGGAGUGUGUGACUUGAAUUAUAGAUUUGGCCAUGCAGAUAAAGAAUUGGAUCUGCCACAUUAGAAUUCACAACCAAAGGUGUCUCCGCAUCCAAUCAACACGUAAGUCCCCUACCUAGGAAGGAUAGGCUGGUUCACUUGAGGAGAAUAUUUUCUAUGAUCAUACCCCAACCAUGUCAUCCAUGAAAAGGCUCCGUAAGAUCCCAUAGAGUAGAAAUGGAAUAAGUCAUGUGACAUGAUCCAAUUCUCUAUUUAUUACACUUACCUUUUUUUAUUAUGGUAUGGAAAUGCAUUCAUUUUCUUUGCAUCGAUUGUGAUUCGCAAUACUAUCGGAGUAAAAGAAGGGAUCUAAGGAAGAGCAUAGGCUAAACUUUUUGAUUUUUUUAUUAGUAACAAGUAAAUACUUUGUUUGGGCGUAAGAAACUUGCGAUAGUGAGGGGAUAAAGACCAACUAAUCAAGAGACAUGAGACAAUCCACAAAGCAAUUGAUCAUGAUCAAAUUUGUAAGCCCACUUGGAUAUUGAGCAUUUACCCAUAAGAAUAGGAUUAUUUUCAAUGAGUAGUUGUAGGUGCAACUUCGGAAAAGAUAAUCUGAUAAAGCUUUUCUUGCCUAGAGUCAUUGAGUAAUUAUAUACCUUAUUCUGACCUAGGGCUCCCGCCUCUGCCCGCACGUCUCCGCUCGGCCCCGACGCCCCUGUCCGGCUCGCCCGCCUCCGUCGCCGCUGAGCGCGUGCUCUGGCGCGUCUAUGCAGGCCCAAUCCCAAGCCUGAACAGUCAGUUGCUGGGGAUGAUGGGUCGGCUUUGCCGUCCGACGUGGCAACCGACAGUAGGCCUCACAUGUAAGAAAAACUGUCGAAAGGGCUUAAUCACCGGUUUUGGGCUACUUGAAACAAUUAGACCGAAGAAGUGUGGUUUUUCGGACAAAUUAGCAAAAUGUGUGGUUGGUUGAAAAGACUGCCGCAAGAAGUGUGGUUUCUUAAAAUUUACUCUAAUUUUACAGAAUAACUCAACAAUCGCUAUUCUUGGAUGAAAAAUAUAUUCGUAUCAUAUUAGAUGAUUAAACGCAUGUACAACUCCAAUUUUCUCCAAAAUUAUGACACGAGUCAUGCCUACUUAGGAGUCAUGCCUAUAUAUCACUGUAAAAAAUGAGUGCAGUAACAAAGAGGGUUGCAACAACUGUUACACAUACAAACUUCUGACAACCGAACGUUUUGUGCCUUGUAACAAACUGCCUUUUCUUUAAGCUAACAAAAUGCCGUCUUUGUUAUAACUUGUAAUCCAAUGGUUACCUCGGAAGCUGGACUGGAAUACUUAGAGCAUCUCCAAUGGGCUACCACAAAGGUAUCCAAAAUGUCCUAUUUAGGACAAACGGACAUCUUGCUGUUUACUGAGAAGUAACAUUUCAAUUCUGAAUCUUGCUGUUUACCGAGAAGAAACUUUUCAAGUCUGAAUCUUGUUGUUGUUUUGUCGUUUGUUUCAUAGCUUAUGGGGCUUUGAGCUGAACUCCGUUGGAAAUGUUUCGUGUUCUGUCCAUCUUAGAAUUCUUAUUAGAUGAUGACAUAAACCCUGCAAGUAUCACCGUCAUGCAAUUUCCUUCAUGGAUAAUCAAGUCUUGUUUCCAGACAAUAAAGCUUUACUAAAAACUUUGACAUGCGACAGAGAUCUUCAGAGACAAGCUUUAGUAAAAUCUACAUAUUGGCUUUCUUUUUAAGGCUGAUCAACAGAAGCUUUGUUUUUUACUCGUAUUCUUGACUCAAAUUUGUUCAAAUAUGAAUGUAUAUAUUCUUAAAAAAGUCUAGAUGCAUGUAAUAUUUCGGCAACAAUUUAGGAUUGGAGGGAAUAGCUACUAUGAGAAAAAGAAAGAAAGAUUAGAGAUGUUUUUGCUAAGAAAAAAAAAGAUAUUUAGAGAGAGAAAUUUGUGGGACUUUGUUGGGUGAUGUGGACGGACACCGGCAGACACAUGUCCAUUUGUCCCUCCAAACGGACAACGAAGACAUUUUCGGACAAAAUUUGGGGUUUCCAUUGGAGAUGCUCUUACCAGUUAUCAAAGACCAUGCUAUGAAUUGAAACUGAGAGAAUUAUUACCAUUUUGCUCUUUAUUUCCUUUGGCACAGCAACGCAAGACAAAGACCAUGCUAUGAAUUGAAACAGAGAGAAUUAUUACCAUUUUGCUCUUUAUUUCCUUUGGCACAGCAAAGCAAGACAGACGGUACCAUACCAAUCCAGCUCAAAGUGUGAGUAGACCUCACCAUCACCUUUGCAAGCACAUGCCAUGCAAUAGACGCAACAAAGCAAUCGAGCCCACCUGGAAAAAAGACCAAGCAGUAUCCGUAUAAUUUCUUCUUCUUUUUGCGUAUGUUGCGCUGUCAAUACUCAAAACGUUUAGCAGUAGUAUAUGCUAAGCAUGGUUAACUUUGUAAUGCAGCAGCAGCAGCAGCUAGUAUGAUCAAUUUUCUUGAGCCCCUCAUCAUACGCAAAAAGGAUUCCUGCAGAACCUUCCAAUGACAUUCAGGUUGGGACAACUGAUUACUGGUAUUCAUUAUCGAGCUAAGACUAAUCAUGUGGAGCAUACUGCGACAGAGAUGCUGAAAGGUUUCAAUAACUAGGAUUCGUGUGGGCUGGAAAGCGAGCCGCAAUUCUUGGAUGAAUCAUAGAAGAGCAUAUUAAUUUAACAAUGCAAUCAUGUACUCGUAGUAGGUCGCCCAUAGCAGAGGGCAGAGGACACGGGCAGAAUUCCACAAACAGAUUAGAGAAGAAGUGAAAACGUAACGUGCGCGGCAAUCUCUCCUGACGACGACUUAUCAGUUACCAAUUCGACAAAUAUGUGGUAGGAUUACAGGAACACCCCGGCAAUGAUUUGCCUUCACACAUGGUCCACUGCGAAAUGAAGGCACUGGAAAUUAACCUUGAGAGAGAAGGACCAAAUAUGAGCUUCAAGAAACUGAAAGCUACCAAGUGCAAGUAGAAGGUAGUAUGUGUAAGUAAUUAGCUUGACUUGCAGACGAUUGAUUAGGUGAGGUUAAAAUGCCUGUUUGUGUGGCUAUUUUAGACUUGACAGCUGUUUAACUAGUGGCAUCGAUCAAACUAUCAAAGGUUGGCAACCACGUCCUCCUAUGAACGAGUCUGGCACACACAGCAUAUUGAGAGCAAUUUCCUACCUAACUACCAACCUUCCAAAGCCGUUGUUAAGUUUCGAGCUCUCACCUUUUCUCUUUCAUCUCCGAUUCAAACCAAUUUUUUUUGGCUUGACCAAAACAAGGUCCAGAUUUAACUACGGAAUAGGUAAACUUCACUGUCUUCCACCUUUGUUUUCUCUAUCUCCUUAAUCGCUUUCGCUUUCGGACGGAGGCGAAACAGCUGUGCUCGCCUUGUCCACAAGCCGUCGUCGUCCACCACGUACCCGACCCGACCGGCUCGCAUGUGCGAGCGAACCAUCGAAUCAUUUUGUUUUUCUCAGUGUCAUCUGAAACUUGUUGUGCUGGGCGUGCGACGCGUCAGCGAGCACAAGGAACCGACAGAUCAUCGUCGUGUGGUGGUGACCGGAUGAUGGAAGGGGAAAAGAAAAGAAUAUCUACCGGCCGCCGAUGAUCUCGUGUUUGUUUACCUAACGGAUAAACUGGAAGGAAAAACUCGAUUGGUUGAUUGAUCAAUUCAGCGGCUGCUACUGCUAGGUGUGAUGGUACCAGCCCCGCCGUGCUGUGUUUCUAUGUUGAUUUCCAAGUGUCACUUGGGCGAUUCUGCGACGAAAGCAGGGGGGGUUACUGCUAGACGUGGCAGCUUCUUUUUGGGUGCUCUUAGAUCGACGGGCGGAGGAACGGACGGACGUAGGUAAAAGGAGAAAGGAGCGGAGUGCGGGGCGCAACUCCUUCGCUUCGAGGCGAAGCAAGGCAAAGGAAAGGAGGGGGGAAGAAGCGAAAGGCAAAGGCGGUAUCGCUAUGUUUAGCAGUGGGUGCAGGCCGCGGCAUCCACGUAUGGCACGCACCAAAAGCCGUCAUGGCCGGUGGGGGACGUUACCGCCGCUUUGCACGAUCAGAGCCACUGCGCUAGACGCGGCUUUGUUUGUUUUGGCGUCUUGGGCUCGCAUUAGACGCGGCUUUGUUGAUUUUUGCGUCUUGGGUUCGUUGGUCCUGCAGUGGCCCGAGGACAGACUAUACGUGCAGGAGGGCCGUGUGAUGCGUGGCCGGCUUCACAUGUGAACGCCGUAAACCAUGCAAAGCCAGCCGCAAUCUCGCGGCGUACGAGCAGCCGCGAAAGCACGAAUGCAAAUUCGAUCUUGGCACUACGGUCAUGUACUGUUUAAUCAUCAUUUGAUCAUUUUCACCGGAAUGUAUGUAAAUAAAACCUUCUUACGCGUUACUAGUACAGUUACAUUUUACCUCGACUUUGAAACUUGUUGCGUAAAGAAAGGACAAGAUCGAAACGUGCUCAUCUAGCAUUUGUCGCAAAACUCAGAUGCCGCCUGGAAAAUUCUGGAAUAACGCGUCAAGUCACCAUAGGCCGGGGCAGGGCAGCUGUCACCCCCGACCCGUUAACCCGCGACUCCGGCCCAUAAAUACCCUCACACCCAGCGCCUUUCCCCACAACCAACAAAGAUCCCUCCCACUUCCCUCUGUUAUACAAGCCCUCGCCGCCGCCACCACCCAGAUCACACUUUCUAGCCCUCGGCUCUCCUCGCCACCCCCAACCGAAGCAAUGGCCGCCGUCGCAUCCAAGGCCCUGGCCGUCUUCGCCGUCCUGUCCGCCGCCGCCCUCUCCGUCGUCUCCGCCCAGGAGGCUCCGGCGCCGAGCCCCGUCUCCGCCGCCGGCGUCGCGGCCUCGCCCUUCGCCGCCGCUCUCGUCGCCUCCGCCGCCGGCUUCCUCUUCGCCGCCGUCCGCCACUGAAGCGACCGCCUACCUUCGGCUCCCGUGCCGAUGGCUCUGCUGCUGCUUAGUAGUAUCACUGCCUAGAUCCAUUUAUUAUUUACUAUUGCCACUAGCGAUUUGUUCGUUAUUCGUGUCAUUUUGCCCAGAUCUACUAUCAUCUCGUUUAUUAGAGAUUGUACCCGUGUGCUUGUAGAUACUUCUAUCUAGUGCUAUUUAUCCGGUUUGAUUCUACUGAUAUCACCUCGCCCACCCGUUUAAUUUUGAUUAUGCUUUGCCGUGUCUUGGUUCAGCUAUUAUGUGUCGUUUAAUUUCGUUCUUAACUACCGUGGAUACACCAGUGCUGUGAUAUCUGAAAUUCUGAAUGAUUUUCGUGACCGGGAUAAUAUUGUUCUCAGCGUCUCGAAAGAGCAGGAACUACUGUAGUCCCAAAUCUUCGUGUGUUUGUUUCCGUUCACCGUCUGACCAAAACGGAGCAUCGAUCGAUUCGAGGUGUAACAUGUGAAUCACUGAUUUGCCACACAGAUAUAAAAUUGAAGAAGGCGACAAAGAUUCGAGUAGACAAUCCACAUGGCUGAUGAGGGAUCUCAUGGACUCGGGGCAUGGGUCUCUCCCUCUGACUGACUGACUGCAGUGCUGGUCGUUUGGACUGUCUGUUUAGCAGUCAUGCAAGUUUUGGCAGAACGCCAAACAAGAGCUGUCAUGCAAGUUUUGGCAGAACGCCAAACAGGAGCAGUCUGACGGCUUGCCAUCCGCAGAUAGAUCAGAUCAGAGAAAACUAAUGUGAAAAUGCGCAAUGGACGGUUUAUGUGAGCUGGUAGAUCAAAUGCCAUUUUCUCCUGUGCCGUUGUGUUUGGUGUGACCUGGAGUAGUGCAGUCUUUGUUUCAGUUCAUUGUAGCUUGGUUAUCUGAUCGAGGCAUCGAGCUGUUCGCGGGCAGUUCAGGACUGAGUCCCAGCCUGACUGGACGGACCCAGCACCAGGGUUAAGGUCGGAAACAGGAGUAUUUGGCAGGGUUGGUGAGUGUACGUGUAACGUGUUGCGAGGGACUGCGAUUGUAAUGUGUGUUCUGAAAAGAAAAAAAUACGAGGCUGAAUUAAACACAGCAGCCAGCAAUCGGCAACCACGCAAAUAAGAAUUGUACGGGCUUGUCUUUUUGCUCCUGCUACGGUGGUAUACUGUACAACAUCAGUCUUGGGCUUUCCGCUGAUCCCAUGCCGCCCUCUACUAUGUUGAGGACGGUUUGCAGGAAUCUCAUAGGAAUUUUACAGGAUUUCAACCCUUAGGAAUUUUUCCUAAGUGUAGCAUUCGUUUUAUAGGAAUGGAAGUGUUAGAUUCCUAAGGAUUGAGUCCAAAUUGAUCUAAUUCCUAAGGUUUUUAAGCAUUAGGUAGGAUCUCAUUUUAAAUUCCUAAGGAAUGGAAUGUCAUGCACACUCCAAUCCUUUACUUUUCCUAUCCCUAUGGUUUCAAAUUCCUAUGAACUGAAUAAGCCCUGAAAGGGAUACCACCGCGAUAUCUUUCCAGAUCUACAUUGACUGUUUUGUGCCACGUAGUGCAAAACGUCUUGUAUGUACUAUUCUUCCGUUUGUCUCAAAUUUGUCAAAUAAUGAAAGUAUCUAUUCCUAAAAAAUCUAGAUACAUGUAAUAUUUCGACAAGAAUUAUGAAAUCGAGAAAAUACAAAUCAGAUCGAUCGAGUGACAAGGAAGUGCAUAGACCUGUACUUGUUUUUGGUAACAGUAGGGGAAAACAAAUGGAAGGCUCCAAAUUAAAGCUUCCCGUUCCAAACGGUAUUGACCUAAUUACUUUUUCCGUUCAACAAAUGAUGUCUUAACUUUGACUAAAUUUGAAUGCGUAUAUACACAAAAUCAUGUUUAGAUACAUCUAAAUUUUGACAAACUUGAGACAUUUUUUAUUGGUUGAAGGGAGUAUGAUUUUUUCUGUAUUCUGCAGUCUGCCUCUUUGAUGUUGGCGCCGGGAAUUGCGAACGACGGUAGGAGUCAUUGGUCGUUAUAGUAGGAAAGUGGAGUAAGCUAUACCAGAGACUUCCUAGACAGUUGACACUUACCAGGGAACAGCGAGCCAAGAACUGUAGUCCGGCCCUAAACAAACUCAAGAUAAUUGCUACUUAUGAUAUUCAUGAUUCAACAAUUCCCUCCAAUUCAUAAUAACUAAAAGGGAUUUAGUACAAAAUUAAAGUUGUAUUACUCCCUCCGAUUCUAAAUUGUUGUCAAAAUAUUACAUGUAUCUACACGUUUUUUAAGAAUAGAUAUAUCCAUAUUUAGACAAAUUUGAAUCAAGAAUUUAGGAUCAGAGGAAUACUAACUUUGUAUUAAAUUCUCCACACUUAUUAUGUACGUAUCAAAGGAAGUACUAAACUCAAACAACAAAUUAUUGAACAUGAACAUCAGUUCAUCACGUGGUUCCUCCGUUUCAUAAAAUAACUCAUAUAUAUCUGUGCACUUGGACCAAGACAGCUCUCAUUUCUAGCGUCUGGCCAAUUUUAUUGGACUAAGAGUAAAUGAGUAUGAGUACUUAUUGGCUGGUUGCUGGAGCCAAGAGAAAAACAAGAUGUAUUGUGGAUGAAAGGAGAAAGAAAUUAUAUGAAACGUUUUGUGGAACAGAGAAAGUAUUCAUUUGAUUUGUAUUCAAGUCAUCGCAUCACCUAAUUUGAUUUGUACACUAGAUGACAGGGAUUUUGAUGACAACAUCCCUAGUCCUUUACCAUCAUCUCCAAUUGAUGAUGUUGCUGCACAAGACAAGCCCAAUGAAUUUAGAUUUGGACCAAUUACAAGGGCACGUGCAAAUAUGGGUGAAACCGGAUCGGAUAAUUUCUGGCCGGAUCCGGUUCCGGAUCCAGUCGGAUCGGAUGUGGAAGAUGCAUUUUCUUAUCCGGACGGAACGGAAACGGAUACCGGAUAAUUCAAUCGGAGUCGGAAUAGGAUAUGAUAUCGGUAUUAUCCACGGAUACCGGAUUAUCCGUUUUCUAAUCGGAUUAUCCGGCGUGUCCAAUUCGGAUUAUCCGGUUUUUGUUAUUUGGCCCAUUGAAAAAAAAGGCCCAAGACCCAGCUUUCUAUCUAGGAUUAUGUACCCAUUAGUUUGUGUAUCAUUAAGUGUUUGAGUUAUUAAUUAGUAGGAAAGCCUCACACUUUGCUGGACAGUGGACACAUAGAGAGAUCACAAAGCCUGCAAGUUUGAUGAAUCGGUUAGUUUGUGUAUUAUUAAGUGUUGAGUUAUUAUUUAUUAGUUGCGGCAUUAAUUACAGAUCUUGCAAGUUUGAUAAAUCGAUUAGUCUUGCUGGACAUGUAGAAAAUUCUGAAAUUGUUCAGUCUUAUACUCUUAUGAAAGGAGAAAAAUGUGUUGAUGUGGUUAUUGUCAGCUUAGCUUUUAAAAUGGGGUCUUUAUUAUCUUGUAUUAACCGUUCAUGUUUGUCUACAUCCGGUCCGGCGCCGUCCCGCUACCGUACCAUGCCCGUUUCCGCUAUUUUCCGCCAUAUUCCGUAUUUGUUUCCGCUCCGCUUCUGAAUCCGAAAAAAAAUAUGGAAUAGGAUAUGGUAUGGCCAUUAUCCGUCCGAAUCCGAUCCGGUUUCACCCCUACGUGCAAAGCUACUUGAACAACAGGUGAACUCAGUCAUCUCAAUUGAAUCUGAUGUUUUACUUGAUGAGAGCUUUAUACUAGCUAAGUCUAUGCAUUUAUGUAUGAUCAGAUUCGAGGAUAACACAAGCAUUGCGCGUGGAGGAGGAGAGUUGCAGCAAGAUCCAUUGCCAUUGAUUUCCAAUAUCAAGAAGAGCGCGAGUGAGGAGAGGGAGGUCGGCGCACCACAUCAAGAGAAGGAAAUCCAACGACAAUAAAAGGUUACGUGGCUGAUGCUAGGAGAAGUCCUAUGACACGUCAAACAUGUCUAACGCAUCAUCGCACGUUGAGAGAUAUGUGACAUCCAUAUUGAUGGACUUGUAUCAAGGAAAGAUGAGUGUGUGUUGGCGAACUCGUCGGCUAACAAGGACACAGGGGACAUGAUUUACCCAGGUUCAGGGCCCUCGAUGAGGUAAUACCCCUACGUCUUACUUGUCGGAUCUGUAUUAAUGAGUCAUUACAAUGGGGUGCCGCAGAGUCUAGAGGCACCGAGUCAUCGAGUGCGUCUAGGCAACUUGUAUCUAAGUUGCAGGUGUCCUCUUGGUUCCCCCUCCUGAUCCUUUAUAUAUGCAGGAACUCAGGUCUCAGGUAGAGUCCAAGUUGAUUACAAUGAGGAGAUAUACUCUAAAUAACCUUUCUUGUCUUUAGUCACAAGAUUUGGCAUGUAAACUCCUAAAGUCAAGGUAGGCUUCCUUGUGGGCGCCCAGCUGGGCUGUACCGGGUAUACUCGAGUCGAGUACGUGGUUAGUCAUAACCACGUCACAUAGGGCUGCCAACGAUAUGUUGUAGUUGCCUAAGUGUGUGCACAAAAAGAGUUGGGCCUGCGUGCUUGUUGUUUGGGAUGAACCCCACGUUUUGGGUCAGCUUGUAUCAAGUUGGGAUGAACCAAGUUCGAGUCCGAGUCCUUUUAGGCUGUUGGACGCCCCCCACCCUUAUAUAUGUUGGGGUGCGCCCUAAAUUAGGGUUAGACCACGUUUAGAUUAAACCAAAACCUUUCGUUGAACUGCUGCAAGCAUUCAUCUGAAAUUAUACAAUUCCUCUUUGUUUCGAUCAGGAAAUUACCUCCACCACUUUGUUUCGAUCUGAUGUUUGCUACUGAAGAUUCAAGUGUUAUCUAUUGUUCCAUUGGGAAUUUGUAGAUUGCAGAACCGCUUCGUGGUCGGCGGCUACGUGUGCAAGCAUGUGGUGUUGCGAAUAUCAAAUAGGAUUGAGAAUUGUUGCAUUGGCAAUGAGGGAGAAACCAGAGAUUUGUCAGCGUAUCGCGAGUUAUCAUCCAUCAACAACGAGCUCAACGAGAAGAUCGGGCCACCCCUUAUCAGAUUUGGCCAUUUAGGGGAGAGAACAGUGCAGAGCCACAUAGAAGCAAGCAAAGUUGAUUACAAAUUGGGGGUACUGGCAGGAGGGUUAUGGCGACCUAGCGUUGCAGGAGCCCAUCAUUCCUUCUUCAUCACGUUUUUGGAAGGGGUGGCGAUGGCGGCCAUUGGAGCCCACGUGGGCGGCCGCCGCCGCCAUUGGAGGCGCCCAUUUGAGAGAAACAAGCAGACGAAAAGAGAAACGAGCAGAUAGGGGGACUGGGAGCAAAAGAGAAAACGAGAGGUGGAGAGAGGGGCUCAGGAGGAAGAAUUGGCCAUCAAAGGCGGUCAGAAGAGAAGCAGGUGGCGGUGUACGGGCAAGGAACAGAAAGCACGUGGAAAGCUAGAGAUAUAGCGUGUUGGGUGGAGAAGUUCAGUUGAUCCGCAGUUUUUUAUACGGAGUUCGCAAAUAUGAGGUAUUUGUUUAGGAUCGCGUUUUUUCUAUGGUUAUUUGUCAGCCCAGUAUAUGCGGGAUCUUCUAGAGAUGCUCUGAUACCGAGUCGUGUCAGGAGUUUUAGCCUUGUGGAGGUAGUUUCACCGUUGGGAGGUGCGCGUCUGUGUGGCCUGUUGGUAGGAUUAUCUGUUUUUCGUGUUUGUUAGGGUUUCCAUUUGGUUCUUGUUUGAAAGGUUUGAGGUCACUAAUUAUCUCACUCAUGUCCGUACAAGUCUCAUCCUCUGACAGGGUUGCUAUGAAUUUACGAUAUUAUUGUUAUUAUUAUUAUUAUUAUUAUUAUUACUAACAAAAAGCCCCGUGCGUUGCUACGGAAGAACAAAUGUGACGUACUGCGUUCACCCCCUGACAGUGGUGGCAUUAUUAUUAUUAUUAUUAUUAUUAUUAUUAUUAUUAUUAUUAUUAUUAUUAUUAUUAUUAUUAUUAUGUAUAUGCGCGUCGAGUUAUCACAAUGAAACUUGGUUCCAGAUUAAUCUCUUGAAGAGUUUGACGAACAAUCUCGUCUUGUUUCGUUGAGCUGAUAUAUUUGGAGUACCAGAGUGGUGGGAAAAGGAAAGCGUGUGGCUGCGAGGUUUCACCAGGCCAGCUCUUCUUUUUCUUUUCUUUUGGGAAGGAAGGACGGUUUUAAAAGCAAGCACACGCUGUGUGCGUGAGCGUGAGAAUGCCUGGCUGGCGGUCCCUCCUUGGCUGCUUCACAUGGGCGGGCGGCUGGGGCUGGGUUCGUUCGUUGCGAACUUGCGAUGCGGCCACCUUGGUGUGUGUGGGCCUGUGGGGGGGACACAUGGCCAUCGCUAGCUCAACUGACAAGCUGCGAAUCGUUAAACAAAAGAAUCGGUUUACGGAGGGAAAACUACUGCUCUGUCUCGUUCAGUUCACAGAGAAUCAUGUACAUGUGUGAUAUCUGUACUGUAACCGUGGGUCAAUAAAAAGGGUUGAUUCCGUGAGCCGUUACGAGAGUCGGUGCUAUCACGCCCGGACAAUACGUGUCGAUGGCUUGGUAGCUACGGCAUGGAACUGAAACGUGACCCAAGCACGGAGCAUCCUCAGGCCUCAGCCGUAGCCCGUAGGGUCAGCACCCAUCAGCGACCAAACUGUUGGUGAAAUCCGAUUGCCCUGUCCGACCUGGCGAACUUGCCGUGCACGACGGGCUGGAGAACUUGCGCUAGUAGAGGGUACGAGAGCUCCGACCUUGAAGGUGGAAAAAUGUCGAGAAACAACAAGCAGCAGCCAAACUAGCAUUAAAAUGGUUGAACGAGCGAAAAAGUGUGAUCAAGGGGAAUGAUCAAGGUACUUCGCCGCUCCACCUGUCUUCCUGGGUACACUGGAGAGGCCGUCUCGCCGUUAUGCGUUAUUACAGAGGGCACAAUCUAAGCUUAUCCCCGGGUUUGUCGUAUGCAGAUUCAAGAUCCCUCUCAUGCCGCUCUCCUGAGCGGCUCUGCCAACAAUGGCACAUGGCGACAACAGGCAGGGUCGCAGGUUAGAAGCAAUGAAAGCUUUUUUUUAAAAAAAAAACUUCUACCGUGACAUCAUUAUAAUAGUAUAAGAUGAUUCAAUAGUGCGAACCAUAUAUCCACUAACAAACUGAAAUUCCAUGUUUUCUUUGUCACGGAUGCAUACGGUUGUAUUUUUUAGAUUGCAGCGUUGAAUCAUCUUAUACUAUUGUCAUGACGUCGUGGUAGAAAUUUCAAGAUUUUUUAGAACUUUUAUAUUGCUUAACCCUCCAUGGGCGCAGGUUAUACAUGUGUACUGCUAGUAAUUCUAGCUAGUUUUCUUAAUGUUAAUCACGCACUGUUUUGAACUAAACAUUAUGUACAUAUUAUAUAUGAUCUGUAUAAGGGACUCUUAUCAGCCAACCAACUUCCCUAGCGAGAGCGUGUGCAAGAGCGAGAGCGCGAGGGCUCGUCAUGAGGAGGCUUGGCACCAUUUUAAGCAGGAAGGGACGGGCGAUCUCCCGAUCGCGGAUGAUGGUGGUCGUCUCGUGACUAAUGAUUGGAUUGAGAGUCAGCGCUGGUCGCUUGGUCGAUCUUCGACGAAUCACGCACCAUUGGAGAGAUUUGUUCACACGUGUGUGACACAGGGGGUGGCGGAGGCGCUCCGUGUACCGUUGGAGUCAUACCGUAACCCUAAUUCGAAUUCUUGUGGAGACUGGGCUGGUGCCGGGUCCGCCAUUGCCGUCGGUGCAAUUGGAGAAGUUUCGUGGCAGUAGGCCUUUUAAGCCUUGUGUGGUGGUGCAUGUUCAUGGGCCGGAUGUGGGGAUUGGCCACCAUGGAGGUCUGUCGGAGGUGGGAUUGGACCAUUCCAGUGGACAGGUGGCUGCGGGAUUCCCAGACCACGGAACCAGGGUUUCAGCGAAUCCCGGGUUUGGCGUGACAUCGCAUAUACUAGGAAGAUGCGGGGUGGUGUUUGUUAGGGUUCCAACUCGCCUAGUUGCAUCUGUUCCAGUUGUUUCGGUUCCACCAGUGAGAUACGGCGUCGCGGGCGAUUCUAGGUCAUACGCGGCUGUUGCGGCGAUUCCUCCACUUCCAGUUCGUGAGCCAGGACGACACAUGGAGAGAGAUAGAGAGGUCGAUUACAACCACGACAGUUCCAAGGGGAUCGGAGAUCUCUGCCGCGUCCCGGACGCGAAGGUGGUGCGCGCGGUCGAGGCCGCGGUCGGCAAGAUUGGCGAGAUGUUCCUGAGUUACGGAUUUGUGAAGAACGGCCGUCGGGAAGCAGAUCUCCUCCGCGCUGAGCGCCGGGCGGAGGAGCGGAGGUUGGAUGAGCUUCGCCGUAAAAAAGAGCGCCGUCAAGCUGCUGAGCGUUGCAGAUUGGAGGACAUCCGGAGGGGAGAAGAGAUCCGCAGGCUGGAGGCGCUGCAACGGGAGCGGGUGGAGCGCGAGGAGCACGAGGAACUGCGAAUGCGCGAGGAGCAGCGGAUCCGCGAGGUGGCUCUCGAGAACAGGCGCCGCGAGGAAGCUGCCGACCAUGCCGCCUAUGAUCGGCUGGGGCAUCGGAGGGAGAUCUGACAUACCAACGUUACCUCUUCAAGUUCGUCCUUGCCAUCGGCUCCUCUGGCUAGAGGUCACGCUGGUGCUCUUCGGGAAGGUCAGGCUGCAAGCACUUCGUCUGCCAAUCUGAGGUAUGAUUCUGCUCUAGCUUCAUCGGGGGAAAGUUAUGGACAUAAGAGGGCAGUUGUUUCUGAAACUGUUCCUGUGAUGCCUGUGAUGGAGAUACCUAUACCUCACAUCCCUCUGGGAUGUGGGGGUUGCGAUAAUUUGGGAAAUGAGGUGAUGCAGUGUCCUGAACGGAAACCAUGGGAUUAUGUGGCGCCAUACUAUGGUUCUCCAGAAUUUGAUCAGGGCUUUUAUUCGAUUCCAGUUCAUAGGGCUAGUGUUGCUGUUAAGGAGAAAAUGUUCUAUGGCUUGAUUACUGUGAUCAAGGGGCCGGUGGGUGCCAGAGAUAUUGAAGCUAAGCUUCAGGGCCUUGCUGGGCCAGAAUGCACUUGGCGCUUUUUUGCUAGAUCUAUCACUGAUUCUCAAUUCCUGGUACGCUUUCCCACUGAGAAAUUGUUGUCUGAUGUUUCUUACUUCCCAAGUGUGACCAUGCGCUCAAUUGCUAAUGCUCUGAUGAAAGUGGAGAAAUGGAGAGAUGAUAUUCAGCCCAAAGCUAAGCUCCAGGUGGCCUGGUUUAGGGUAGGGGGCAUACCAUCUAGUUUUAGAACUAAGGAAAUUGCUUUCUUUGUGGGAAACCUGGUGGGCAAGGUCAAAGGAGUUGACAGGAGCAGUUUAUUUAAUGAGGCUUAUGUCAGCGUUCAGAUUGCUUGCAAACAUGUGUCAUUGAUCCCUGCUACAAGAGAGGGGGAGAUAGAGGAGGGCAUCUAUGAGUUCACUUACACCAGGGAGUUACCUGGGGAACCAGCCAGGGUGAAUACGGAGAUUCAGGUGUCUGAAUCGAACUGCUAGAUGACGUCGAGUGAUGAAUUCAACGAUUCCAAAAAAACUAAGAGAUGGAUGAAAUUACGCAAGGAAUCCAGGUCUCAAAAAAAAAGGAAAAUGGGGAUAUGGCGAAAUCGGUAGACGCUACGGACUUGAUUGUAUUGAGCCUUAGUAUGUUGGUGGGGGUACUACUUCUGAUGCUCAAACACCAAAGAGACAGAGGAUUGGGGAUACCUGUACUACUACUGCUUCUCAACAAACCAAUGUUGGGUGCUCUACAGUGGAUUCUUCUCAUAUUCAUAACCAGUGCAUGACCAUGAUUCCAUACGAUUUCGAAAGGAAAAACAAAGGCAUUAUUAUUCAACAACCCCAAACUCUAGCUCCUGUUGCUGAGGAAGUGGAAGAGGAUGAGGAGGAGCUAACACUGGCUGACAGAGUUAGAUUGCUAGGUUAUGGGGAUUUCAGCCAAUGUCCUUCUGGCAUUGGAGAUCCUGGACAGUCUUCUUCUGGUGGCACUAAUGCUCAGAUGCAAAUUAUGGUGCAUAAUCAGGUUCCUCUGCUUGGUGACCUUCAACAUACAGUGGCCAAAUCUUUUGCAAUGACUGACCCUUUGAUGGCCCAGAUAACAGGAGAUGCUCAGGAUACCGGGGGGGGGGGGCUAACAUAUCUUUCAAUAGCUUCAUGGCACAGCUUUUGAAAUCUGGAAGUGAUAAGAGGUACAUGUGGGCUGGGACCUAUGGAGAUGUUGCAGGCUAGCAACCUGUUGUGGAACACUCUGCUGAUAGUAGCAGUUCUGCACCUUCUCAAUCUGGUAGUUCUGAAGGUCAUAGUGGCAUGUCUGUGGAAGUGGGUGAAGAAGUGCAUACUGGAAUUCCAACAACUGUGAUUCAUGAGUUGGAGCAUGUUGUUGACCAACCUUUCAGCUCUUAGGAGGAUUCUCAGCAGGAUAUUCCCAUAUCUCAAGAGGUUCAAGAGGAGGCUUUUGUGGAGGGGGCAAUGGACAUCCCAAUUUCCCAGCAUGAUGCUCUUGCUGUUUAGAUACCACAGAUCAGGGUCAGUGAACGAUUGAGGAACAUGGGUGGAGGCAAUACAAGAGGUGCAGCUCAUGCUUCUUCACUUCACACUUCAAGAACCAUGGAAGGUACCAAUUUAAAUUCUGUUAAUUCUUUUGCUAUUCUUGCUGAUGAUGAGAUUCAGUCUAGAGCUCUUGAGCUUGGUAUACAUGUUGAUAGUUUAUCUUUAGAUACUAUUCAGGUCAUGAAAGAAUUAGAAAUUGCUAGACAUAAUCUUGAAUUAAAAAAAAAACAACCUCAACCAGCUGAGGGCAUUGCCAUUGCUGAUGGGGAAGUAAUCAUUUUAGACUGGAAAAAAGAUCAUGUGGAUGAAGAGGGAUUCACACCUGUCAUAUCUAAAAAACCCCAAAAGAAAUGCAAAUAUGUGUGCAAGGUGAAGCAGGCUGGCAACAGGAGAAGACCAGUCUCCUCCUCUGUAGGGACUGGUGCUUCAGCUCACUCUGAGUGUGAGUCUUUGCCUGUUGUCAGGAUAAGAAAACCAAAUCCUAAAUAUCUAUGAUUGGGCUCAUAUGGAAUAGUAGGGGUGUGGGUAAAAAAGGAUUUAAGUCAUAUUUGCAGAAUGUGAUACAGGGUUUGGAGGUUGAUUUUCUGGGCAUACAGGAGACAAUGAGGAAGACUUUCACUGCUGGUUUCUUUAGGGGCAUUGAUCCUUUGAAUCAAUUUGCCUGGAAAUGGGUUCCAUCUUAUGGGAAAUCUGGGGGCAUUUUGGGAGGAUUCAGGAUUGAAAGAUUUGACAUUCUUGAUCACUCCAUGGGGAGAUAUCAUAUCAAAGUGAAGGUGUGGGAUACGAAAUUGAAGUUGAAAUAUUAUGUUAUUAUUGUGUAUGGAUCUGCUCAGGAAGAAAGGAAAGAUGAGUUUCUUGUUGAAUUGGGAGCUGCUUGUGGAGAUCAAGAACUUCCCAUGCUAGUUGGAGGGGACUUUAAUAUCUUAAGAUUUGAUAGUGAUAAAAAUAGAAACAGGAGAAGGAGAUGUAAGAAAACUGAUAUGCUCAAUGCUAUCAUCAAUACUCAUGAGCUGAGGGAAAUUGUUAUGAGUGGAGGACAAUUUACUUGGUCUAAUAAUCAUGUUAUUCCUACUUUAGAGAAAUUGGACAGAAUCUUGGUAAGUUCUGAUUGGGAGGAUCUCUUCCCUUUGAUGACUGUGAGGAAAUUAGUUAGAGAGCUCUCUGAUCAUAAUCCUUUAAUCAUUGACACUAUGGAACAGGCUGAACCAAAAAGAAAGAAGGAGUUUAGAUUUGAUGUUAGCUGGUGCAAACACCCUGACUUUUUGGAAAGAGUUAGAAAAGUCUGGGAGGAACCUAUUCAAGCUGGAGAUAGCCUUGGGAUCAUACAGGGGAUGUUGAAAGAAGUUAAAAAUUCUAUGAAAGGUUGGGGACAUAAUCUGAGGGGCCAGUUAAACAAAAGGAGAAAAGAGUUAGCUGAUGAGCUACAUGAUCUAGAGGAAAUACAACCUCUAUCCACUGAGAUGCUAGCCAGGAGAGGUGAUAUCAAUGCUGCUUUGUUUGACAUAUAUGAUGAGGAAGAGGAAUACUGGCAGAGGAAAGCUGGGCAGAACUGGCUUCAGAAAGGGGAUAAUAACACAACUUACUUCCACAGAAUUGCUAAUGGCAGGAAAAGGAAGAACACCAUCUUUUCUUUACAAAAUGGGGAGGAUGUGAUACAGGGUACUUAUGCUUUACUUGAACAUGCUACAGAUUUUUACAAAAAACUUUUUGGCCAUGCUGUUGGUUUUCAAUGUCAGUUGAGGGAGGACAUGUGGGCACCUGCUGAAAGAUUAACUCUGGAGGAACAGGACAUGCUUGAUGUGCCAUUUACAGAGGAAGAGGUGAAAGGCAUCAUUUGAUUCCAUGGAGAAGAAUAAAGCAGCUGGUCCUGAUGGAAUUCCUAUUGAAUUUUAUCAAACCUGUUGGGAGAUUAUUAAAGAGGAUAUGAUGCACCUUUUCUCUGACUUUCAUGCUGGAACAGUUGAUAUGAGCAGAAUCAAUUAUGGCAUUAUUACUUUAAUCCCAAAGGGAGCUGAUGCUGAUGCCAUCCAAAAAUAUAGACCCACAUGCUUGCUCCAAGUUCUGUUCAAAUAUUUUUCCAAGGGAAUGACUAUUAGGCUGGGCCCUUUGAUGCCCAAGCUUAUUAAUCCUUGUCAAAAUGGCUUCAUAAAAGGGAGAAACAUUAUGAAUGGUGUGUUAGCUUUGAAUGAGAUACUCAGAGAAGCCAAGUGCUGUAAACAACAAGGGGUGGUGCUGAAACUUGAUUUUGAGAAAGCAUAUGACAAAGUCAACUGUCAAUUUUUGUUCCAUUGUGCUCAAAUGAAAGGUUUUAGUGAUAGAUGACUGGGUUGGAUCAAAGCAAUAGUGACUAAUGGGACACUAAGUGUUAAAGUUAAUGAAGUCCUUGGACCAUACUUUGGGAGUCAUAAAGGUGUCAGACAAGGGGAUCCACUAUCACCAUUCCUGUUCAAUCUGGCUGCUGAAUGUCCUUGGACCAUACUUUGGGAGUCAUAAAGGUGCUGAAUGUCUUGCUAAAACUAUGUCUGGGUUGAAACUAAACUUCCUAAAUAGUGAGAUUAUGAUGAUCAUACCUGAUGAUGAGAAGUGCCAGGGUUAUACUGAGAUGUUUAAUUGUCAGACAGGAGAGUGGCCUAUAAGAUACCUGGGAAUGCCUGUCAGUGUUGAUAAAAUAAAAGUGGCUGACUGGGUGAUGUUAGAGGAUAAGUUGGAGAAAAGACUGACAGGUUGGAAAGGGGGAGCUUUGUCCAUUGGUGGCAGAGUAACUCUGCUGAAUGCUUGUUUAACAGCUACUCUCAUCUAUCAUAUGUCAAUGACCUUGUUACCUAAAACUAACCUGAGCAAAAUGGACAAGAUCAGAAGAAGAUUUCUGUGGCAGGGUGGGGAGAGAAAAAGGAAAUAUCAUUUAGUGAAGUGGGGACUGAUAUGUAGACCCAAGAUAAAAGGGGGGCUGGGUGUGAAAAAUUUAGAAUUAUUCAAUAUCAGCUUGAUGUGCAAGUGGUGGUGGAAACUAGAGGCAGAGUCAGGACUAUGGCAUGACUUGAUCCAACAGAAAUACUUGAAAGGCAAAGGCAUAUAUAACAUCCAGAACAGAAUUCAUGAUUCCUUCUGCUGGAAGAAUCUGUUGCAAGUUAAAGAUCUAUAUCUGAAGGGGAGAAGUGUGAUCAUAGGAAAUGGAAAACUAACUGAUUUUUGGGGGGAUGCUUGGUGUGGCCAAAUAUCUUUUGCUCAGCAAUUCCCUAGGAUAUAUGAUAUCUCCAAUGAGGUGGGGCUGACAGUACAUGAGGUAGCUGCUAGGAGAUGGAGAUUGACAUUCAGGAGGUGGCUGGAUGAGCAACUACAGGAGAAUUACAGGAAGCUGAGAGAUAAGUUGAUGGGUGUGCCUCUAAAUGAUCAAAGAGAUACUUCAAUAUGGAACUGGUCUAAAACUAGUAAAUUCACGGUUAAAUCGAUGUAUGACAUGCUUACCUAUGCUGGACCACACAGAUCGUUUAAACACAUCUGGAAAGCUAAAAUUCCAUUAAAGAUCAAAAUCUGGCUAUGGUUAAUCUGGUACAAUGCAAUAGCAACUAAAGAUAAUAUUAAAAAAAAAAAUUGGGAAGGGGACACUACUUGUCGUUUUUGUGCCGAGGAGGAAACAAUUCACCAUCUGUUUUUCCAGUGUGCCGCUGCGCAAUACACCUGGAGUGUUGUUGGUUUGAUGCUGGGAUUGAAUAAUCGACCCACUUGUUUUUCUCAUUAUUUUUGGUGGAUGGAGACAUCUACAACGGUUGGGCGAAACAUUCAGGUGGCUUGGUUAGCUGCUAUGUGCUGGGCUUUGUGGAAACUUCGAAAUAGAGCUUGUUUUGAGAAAAAAAUGAUUAGAUCACCGGCUGAAAUAAUUUGCCUGGCUUGUGCAUAUAUGAAAUAUUGGGCAGGACUUCACACGGCUGGUGAUGAUGAUCGUCUGCGAGCGGGAGCUGCUGCCUUACAACAGGAAGCGUUGAAGCACCAUCCAGCUCAAGCAAGGAUCGAUGUACCCAGAAUCCAGGGGCGAGAUGAUGGCGAAGAUGCACAGGAGAGGUCGGCUGACACCUGAAGGAAGAUGGUCAUUGAUGGUUCAAGUCGCAGCUAGUCUUUUUCAACAAACUUUUAUGUGGCGAUCCUCUGUAUUGCAUGUAAUGAUCUCCUACUUUGAACUUCCCCUUAGUGGGCUUUUGUGUAUGUGUGUGUGCUGGACUGCCCCUGCAGGCAGCAACUUAUUUUGCUCGGCGGCGUGAACCUCUGUUCCGUUAUCUUGAUAAUGGAACCCGAUCGAAUGAUCGUAUGGGGAAAAAAAUGAUCUGUAUAAAAAAAAUUAGUGCUGCGAUGUUUUUGUCAAUAAUUUUGGUAAAUAUUACGAGAUCUUUUUUGUACUAAUUUGUUGUAAAUAUCAUGUGUGUUUAAUCGAUCGGUUAUACAUACAGACCCCUGAUGCUUCCUACGCUUCAAAACGACCGUCAAAGCAGUACCAACACAUCUCUGAAAUUUCCUAGAGGACAAGGGUCUGAGUUGACACCAAGCGUCCUAGAUGUGCUAGUCACUUUUGACGAGUUUUAGGCAAGGAACCAUCAGAAGUACUAGAUGGGAUAGCGGCCUUUGCUGCGCCGUAGAGUUUAUCAACGAUCUUUCCGGAAUAUAGCUUAGCAUCUCUUCCUAAUGACAGUGCAAAGAAAGUGCACAGGGUAAUGCUCGCUGGAUGAAAGAAAUACCUUCAAUGGACUGAAGAUAUAACUCUUAAUUACAGUGCUAAGACCAAUAUAGAACAAAUUUGACAACGAAUAUAUUUACAUAUUCACACCUAGACAAUGGCAUCUUAAAUAAAUAUAUUAGACUGAUUGGUGGCAAGACUAUGCCAAAGAGAUAUUCAGAAUUUGGACAAAUGAAGCACCAGAUUCACUUGAAGUAGCAUGAACACAAUUCUGGCCAUAAAACCUAAUUAGAACUUGCCUCCGCAAACAAAAAUAAGUUUGAUAAUUUACCCCAAACACAGCCAAGACAAUCUUUUCGGCAAAAGCCAUUGGACCUGUUAUAGAAGAUGGUAAUCUCAUCAGACAACAAUGCAUGUCCUUGAGCGAUUUAGAUUUAGAUUGUUUUCCACCAAAAAGUACUGGAACUGAAACUUGAUCCAAUCUCCAAUCAGAAUCAUCUAAAUGCUCAAAUUUCACGGGAAGUCAACAAAGGUCAACAAGGUCAGUCGCAAAGAGUUAAGAAGAGGAAAGUCAAACCCAUGACGGCACACUGUAUUAUCUUAUCAUGAACUGUGAUGUGCCCAAAGCCUGAAGCAUUUCUCACUGGAUAAAUUUGUAUGACUGGAAACUUGAAACACAUUUGAUAUAGAAAUUUAUAAAGAAAGUACAACCUUUUUAUCCUUCUCAACAUCUCCAGGCUGACCUCAGCGUCAGCAUCACCGGGCUGGAUCCUCUUCCCGAGGCCUUUGUUCCCCCACCAGAGGCUCUCCACCAUCAUCUCGCCGCACCACUGUAUUCCCUUGGCCAGGUUCUCAGCACCCGUCGCAAGUGAAUAUUUUGAUACAUGGCAAAAAGAGACCACCUCUAUCGAAAUGAAUCAAGUAAAUAUAGUUAACACCAGGUUAAAAUUAUAGGUGAAGGGAGUUUAGGAUAUUCAGGCAUCUGCAGAGAGCUGCUUCUUUUGCUUCGACAACUUUGCUUGCAGUUUGUCGAUCUUUUGUUAACAAGAUAUUGGAACACUGCAAAUGCAACAGGAGACAAGGAAAUGUUAGGCAAUGGUAGUAGUACCUUACAAAUGAACUCAUCGAGGCCGGCAGUUUUACCUUGAAGUGAUGGCGUAGCACACGAUUGCAGUGCAGAUAGCUAAGGAACAAUAGCAAUUGUGUGAACCACCAGCAAACCCUCUUCAGAUAACACAAUUAGUAGUACCAAACAGGAAGGUAAGUUUCUGAACUCUGAACAAUUCCUUGUCUACUGCUCAUGUCUGUAGGUGUAAACACUGUAAACACUACAGACUACACCAGUGUUCUUACUUCUUCAGAAAAUAGGACGCCCCUUGCCUUCUUGAUCUCGCCGCUCUGGUGAACCCCUAAUUAAGUCAUCAGUAACUAAAAACCAGCGCAUACCUCAAAACGGAGAAUUUUUACAUGUGGUGGCAAGGAAGGCGAACGGCAAGAGCUUACAUUUCACCUCCUUCGCAACAACUUGUAAAGAUGCACGCAGAGGUCCUCUGCAAGUGACCACGCAGUAAGUUCAGUCUGUCUGGGCGUCAUAAAUCGAGAGCACGAACAAUCCCAACCAAAUUUACUGCUUUCGAAUGGUACUUGCACUACCUCGUCGACCCAUCCGUCCUUGCACUCGAUGAUGUGGGGGUUGCUGCAGAGGCUCGCCAUCAGAUAUAUCUGCAGAGCAAGCGUGAAAACAAAAGCUUCAGAAUCCAUUAGCUGCCAACCAAACCAAUCGUCCCCACGAGACAGCUGUUACCCGAGUGGGGAAUUUGCGAGGGUUUAAGCUUCUGGUAAUUAGAGUACCUCCUGGUAAGCAGUCCGCUAGAACGUGUCGUUGUGCUUCGACAGGCGGAUCUUCUUCAUCACUUACCUACCGAGUGAAAACACGAAGAAAAAGAAAAGAGAAGGAGGAGGAAGGAAGGCGCGGUGUGGGAGUAGGUAAUCCCUCGUUUGCCUAGAACAAAUUCAUGUGCUCAAGCAUCAGCGCAAACAAAGGGAAGGAGAUAACCUCCAACGGCCGCGCUUCCAGCCCCUGUCUCCUCGUCGCCAGGCCGCCGCGUGUCCAGACGCCGCGGGCCUCAUCUCCGCCCGGCGCGUCGUCAAGCCGCCGAGCCGACGCGCGGCUCCGCUCCCUGACCAGCAGCGCCCCCCGUAUUCUGCAGGCUGGCUCUCACUGCAGUACACAGCGCGCACACCGCGUCCUCUGCCUCUGCCGGCCCAGUGCCGCCACCUAUCUGCAGGUACGAUGCGAGAUCCACCAAGGGGCGCCGGUUCUGCGGAGAGAAUGGAGACGGCGGCGGCGAUUUGGCCGUAGGAAGCCGGAUUGACAGGAAGCAGCAGCUGCAGUGGUGGGGAUGAGAAGAGGGACGGGGGCGGCUGCGCUGGAACAACGAACGGGUGCGAUCACAACACACCAACGGCCAGGAUAGGAAAACGUGGACACAUAAAAAGAGCCUCAGAUCCUCCGCCUUCAGAGAAGAGAGAUAUUUAGAGUCAAGUGCGACCACUCCUCCGACGCUUCCUUAUCUCAGGGGUUAGAGAUGAUUUGACUCCUCUGUACGAGCAUAAGAGAUGACUCCUCCUGACGCUUUGGCUUUGUGCGUCAAAAGUGGCCAACUUUGUUUAAAUAAUACAAAUUAAAUAAUCAUGUUUGAAAAUAAUAAGCGUUUUUCAAAACUUUCAAAAACCUAGCAAUUCGACUGAAAUUAAGACACGACUGAAAUUAAGAGAGCAAAUUAACAGAAACUGGCUACAGAACUGAGGCACGAUUGGACUGAAAAUAAAAAAUUUCGUCCAAUCAUGCCUCAGUUCUGUAACCAUCAGUCAAUCGUGGCUCCGUUCUGUAACCAGCUUCUGUUAAUUUGCUCUCUAAAUUUCAGUCGAAUUGCUAAGUUUGUGGACGAAACACAAGCUAUGUUCAUUUAAACAUGCAUUGACCAUGCAACUAAGUAGCUUGGGGAAGAUUUAAACAUGCAACUAAGUAGCUUGGGGAAGUUGAUUAGUUCAGUCGGAGAUGAUUAGUUCCAAUCGGCUUGGGCGAAACCAACUGGAACUAAUCAGCUUCGGCCAGACCAACUGGAACUAAUCAGCUUAAGCUGAAACUAAUCAGCUUCGCCCAGACCAACUGGAACUAAUCAGCUUAAGCUGAAACUAAUCAGCUUCGCCCAGACCAACUGGAACUAAUCAACUAAUCGGCUUGGGCCAGGCUGACAGGCCCUAAUCGGCUUCGGUCAGGCCGACUGGAGCUAAUCGGCCUGGCACAAACCGAGAGAGUUAUUUUUGAAAAUUCUAAAAAACGUGUAUUAUUUUCAAAAAUAAUUAUUUAAUUCGCAUUAUUUAAAAAAUAGCUCAAAAGUGAACUUAAAGGAAUGACGAGUUUUAUAGCAGUGGAUUCAUGUGAAUUUAGCUUCAUUUCAGCACAGGUAAAAAUUGUCAUGAAAUCCCAACUAAAUGGUAAAAUGCAGCAAAACAUUUUGACUAGUGUAAAAGCUGUCACGAAGUCAGAACUAGAGGGGCAGAAGUGGAAUUACUCCAAAUUAAAUACUCUACCAUCAUACAAGCUCCUGAAAGACAACUGCCGAGCAUAAAAUUGCAGCCGGCGCACAAGCUGAUUUCAUGUGAUUGCUUAAAAAUUUAUUCUUCGCAAGAGCUUUGACAAAUGGUAGAUCCAAAUGGUUAUAAAUUAUCGACGAGGCAUUUUAUUUUGUCCCAGUACUGCACCGAAGAUUACUAGUCGACUCGGAUAAAUGCUUAGAAGUCAGGAAAUUAUGUACAAACUGUUGCACAAUCACCUGGUGACUGCGCGAGUCCGCUUGAUUUGGCACAGAAUCUUUCUUUUUAAUCAAUUGCAGUUCACAUUAACCAGAUUUGGGGCACAUCUACAGCUCGUCGCGGGGUUCCGACUUGGCAGCUUUAACAGGCUGGUGCUCAAGCAGGUAGCGAGCAGCCAAUGACGUUUGCAUGGCCGCGCCAUACGGCAUUGCAUCCUCGUUGAUGGUGAAGUAGGGAGAGUGAUGAGGCGCCUGUGGUCCGCGGGUCUCGUUGAGCAUGCCCACGAAGUAAUAGUAUGUCGUGGGAACGGCUUCGGCAUAGAAGGAGAAGUCCUCAGCACCCAUCAGUGGCUGCCUGUCUCUCACGUUGUUGGGGCCAACCAUCUCACUGGCCACCUUCCCAAAGAAAUCGUGCAGCUCCGGGCUGUUGAUUGUUGGGGGGAAGAAAGGGCGAUCUUUCUUGAGGAAGUCCACGACAGCGCUGCACCGCUGCACAGAUGCCUGUGACACUAUGACCUGAGACAAGAAACACAACUUGCAUAAAGGUUUAACAAUGAAUUGCAAUAUCAUACCGCAGUCAAGCCACAUCAAUGAGGAUCUCGUUAAAACAGUGAAGUAGAACGACAUGUCCGUGAAAACUAAAUCCACAAUUUCAGUUUUAGGGUUAUGAAAAGAUGAAAACUAAAUCCACAAUUUCAAUUUUAGAGCUUUUAAUCAAUUUUCGUAACUCAAGAGAGUAUAAUGCCAAGCAGAGAAUACAGAACUAAACGACCAGAAAAAACACUGAAAAAUUCUAAGUUCUAAUGCUGUUACCUCUUCAAUUCGUUGUUUCAAUUGAUUAAAGCUCUCUUUUAAAAAGGCUCGGAAGGUGCCACCUAUUGUAACCGAGUCAGGGAUAACAUUGAAGGCUCCACCUCCUUGAAACUUUCCAACUGUUACCACCUGCAAGACAAAGCCAACCAAUGGAUGGAAAUAAGACACUGGAGUACAGAGGAAUGAUUACGACCACUACCUAACUAAUAUAGCAAUGCUAAAGGGGUGACUAGUAAUAUCCCCACUUACCAAAAUAGUGCUAGUAACGAAUAUCUAUAUCCUAUAAUAGUAACGAAUAUCUAUAUCCUAUAACAGCCCAGAACAUGACAAGGGGAACAUGAUGAAUAGAUAUAAUCUAUAAUACUGUAUUACUGUAAUGUGCAGAAAAUCGUUUCAUGCAUGAAAUCAUGAACAGCUAGAUCAAACAGUUCAGGAGUGAAGGUGGCAAAGCUUGAAUGAUGAAGCAUUUGAUGAUAGUUAUAUGCUAAUAACUAUGGAGAUGACAGUUUCCAUGUAAGGAUGUGUAAUUCAUUAUCGAAAAAAAAUGUUAGGAUAUGAUUAGCUAGCAUGCAGUAAAUCAGAACCAACAGUUUUCCAGAAGAUGGUCUUGUUAAUCCUCAGAAUCCUAAAAAGUUUUGAUUGUUAGCAAAUGGGUUUGCCGACAGCCCGACACACCAUUAGGUUCACUUGUAAAUUCCAAGCACAUGUACAUUAUUCCCUUUCUUUAGUCCCAUAUAACACUAGAGUGAAAGCAUACAUGGAACUUCCACCAAAAUAAACCAUUUAAAUCACAUAAAUAUCUAUACAGCAAAGGCCAAUAAAAAACUAUGUAAUUCACAUAAGAUGUACACAUCAUUAAAUGAAUUGAGUAGCUUAAGGAUUGAAUGGCACCUGUGAGUCCAAGGGAUCAGCUUCUCGGGAAACAAGUUGCUGAAGGCUAACGAUGACAUUCGAUGCAGCCAGUAUCGGAUCUAUAGUGUGAUGAGGAAGUGCAGCAUGCCCUCCCUUUCCACUUAUUACUGCCUCAAAGAAUCCACUCCCUGCCAUAAUAGGCCCAGGCCUGGAUGCCAGCACACCGAUAGGAACAAUGUCAGCUACGUGAAGCCCAAACAUGGCCUCUAUGUUUUCCACAGCUCCAUCUUCUACCAUUUUCAUUGCGCCCCCACCGCCUUCCUCAGCUGGUUGGAAAAGGAGAACUACAGUACCCUACGGUAAAUAACAAGACAUUCAUAACACUGAUAUUUCGGGGUUAAUUAAAUUUCAUGGCUACAAGAUAGUUUUGUUUUUUUGGCUGAGGAUUGCAAAAUCUCAACAAGAACAGAUACUUCGGCAGCCACAUGGUUUAGUUUGUGUAGGACAAGAACACAGACCUAUAGGGAAGUGGGGACGAAACAAUUCUUGCAGCAGCUGUAUGCUGUCUGACCAGAGCUAAAUGAUCAAUUAUUGACCAACUGAAUGACCACGCACAUUUUCCAGGAAGAGUGUCAUAAAAAAAAUGAUAUCGGAAGGCUGGUUUGAAACAUCAACCAAUGAAUCACCAAAUUUGUGCAUCUGUUGAACAGAAGUGUCGAGAAAAGGAGAAACCCAAAACCAUUCCAACUAUCAUUCGCCAAAAUCUCCAAAGCAGUUCAUAAAACCUUGCAUGCUGGAGUGGGAAUUAAGCACAUGCCAAAUUUUACCUCCUUUAGUUAAGAAACUAAAAUUCGUUUAGUAUAUCUGGUAUACAGAAUCAAGCACUGCCUGAACUAUGAAAGUUGAUAUAGCUGUCAAAAUACUGCAUCACCACAUUUCUGUGACAUGAACAUCUAACGUUUGCAACUAGUUUGUACCAAGAGUAGGAAACCGCAAGCAUGAUGGGGCUUAAGAUGGAACGAUCUUAUGACUACAUUUUGUUAAAAUUCUUUGCUGGGAGACUACUGUUAAUGGAGAAAUUCUGAAACAAUGAAAUGAUGAACCUAUCUGAACUGUCAAUCAACAAACAUUCUUCCAGUAUUGAAAGAGAUAAUUAAAUUCCUCUUGCAGCUUUUCAUUGUAAAAUGAGGAAUACGCAAUCCUUUUUUAGAAACACGGAAAGAAAUUUGUAACCAACCUGCAACUCAUCACGGUGCUCCUGAAGAAUCUUGGCAGAGCCCAAUAGCAUAGCAGUAUGUGCAUCAUGGCCACACCCAUGCAUUUUCCCAGGCACUUUGCUCUUAUGCUCCCACUCCACACUUUCCUGAAAAUGGAACAAAAGGGUAACUUAAGUAAUAUGACCUUUCAAAUGGAUAGAGUGAGUGAAUGGCAGCCAAAUAAAGUCUAAACAUACUUCAGUUUGGCCAGAGGAGGCUUACAACACUUAUACUAGCACCAAUAAACAAUUCAAUGAAAAAAUACAAAUGUCCAAAAACUGGGAGCAGAAAUUAUGCUACCCUUCAAGACAAUGUAUGGUCUAAAAGCAGGACGCCAGAAAUUCUUAAGUUCCUAAGUAAUUAUGUAUUUGUAUAUCAGAGUGAGGAAAAAAAGAUCUGAUGCAUAGAUUCUGAUAAAAUACAGCGACCUAGUUCUGAUACAAUCAGAUGUUAAAUGAUGUGAACAAUUAUUAUCGACUUAUAUAAUAGCAAUAUAGCAAAUUGACUCAUCAACACUCGGGACAAGAUUCAAGCCUAAUCAUGCACAUAGUCAAUUCACGUGGUUCAUUACCACAAUAAGCAAAUAACUAAUGUUGUAUGAUCCUAGUCAUAAGACGAGGAAACUAGCUAGGACUAAGUUAGUGUAUUUCCCCCCUUUUUUUGUUACGAAAAGGAAUGUUUGCCUCAAGCCAUCUAGCGAGACUCAAAACUUCAAUACUCCCUCCGAAUACAGAUCCAUAAUAAGUGUCUCAGGUUUAGUACAACUUUGUACUAACUUUGUAAUAAAUCUGAGACACUUAUCAGCAUUAGUUUGCAUUUCCCUGCUCUCAGUUUCAAAGAUAUGAAUCCUACUGAAUUGAAGGUUUGUUUACAGUUCAAAUCUCCGCCACAAGCUUUUCAUUACUUUGCUGUUCCUACACCUUUAUCUCAAUCCUUUAAAUGUGAAAUAUGACCUCUCAAACAAUAUUACUAAUAAGGUGUAUCAAUCCAGCUGGUUUGCUUUCGGAUAUUUCUGAAAAAAGAUAUGUUGCUAUCUCACUUCACUGAUAUAUUGUGCCUAGCAUCAGAAGAACAAUUCGUCUGAAAAACUUACUCAUAAAAAGCAGUACUCAAGAAAGCCUGCGAUUCUGUGAUCGCAAAUAAAGUAACUAUAGAAAUGGAUCGAACAACCAAACCAAGAAAAAUUACAUCUACCCAGCGUCAGCAAGCCAAAGAGCGAUGGCCCAAUAAAAACUUUAGAAUUCAGGGGCAAGAAAGGACAGGUGAAGGCAAAGCAUAAGGUAGCGACCUGCAUGGGGAGCGCGUCCAUGUCGGCCCGGAGCGCGACGAAGGGCGGGCCGCCUGUGCCGACGGUGGCGACGACGCCGGUAACGGCGAAGGGGUGCCUGUAGGGGAUCCCCAUGGCGUCGAGCUCCCGCCGCACGAGCUCGCUGGUGGCGAACUCCUCGUAGCCGAGCUCCGGGUUCUCGUGGAUCCGCCGCCGCACCCCGACCAUCCAGUCCAUGAACUCCGCCUCCUUGGCCCGCCGCAGGAGCCCCGCCGGGUCGUCCAGCCCCGCCGCCGCCGAGCUCGGCGCCGCGGCGGCGGCGAGAACGAUGGCCGCUGGCAGCAGCAGGAGCAGGAGAGGCGAAGCACGCGCGGCCAUGGUCAACAACAGUAAAUUCCGCCGCGCUGUUCGCGUUUUAGUUUUGGACUCUUGUAUCGAUCAGGCGAAACGUGCACGAUUCAGGCCCGGCUAAGGCUACUAGGCUAUCAAGGCUCUCUGCCUGAUGGUGCUACUAGGCUAACUAGGCUCCCUAGUCUUUUGUUUUGAGACGUUUUGGUUCUAUGUGAUGUGUAAAUGGUUGGUGGAUUAUCUAGUUGGUUCUCACUAAGUGACUAAGGCUCCGUUCAUCCCUCAAAUUAGGAAGACUGAGACGGAUUGAGAGAGAUUUUAGUUCAUUUUCUUCUAAUCCUUCUCAAUUCAGGGCAAAACACCAGAAAGACGAGCCAGUCCUAAGGCUAUUUCAUUCUCCUUCAAAUCCCCUAAAUGUAGGGAUUGAGAAGAAGAAAAAUUUACAUUCUCAACCCUGUCAUUCCCUUUGAGUUGGUUUGAACGAGGACUAAACAUGCUAAAGCAUCGUAGAAGAACUACCAAUCGUGCUACAGUAAGUUUUACGUCAAAACAAGAGUAAAUUUCAUUUCUUUACUGAAUAUUAGUGACAAAAUUUGUCAUUAAUAUUAGUGACAAAAGUUGUCAUCUUAGCAAAUUUAACUUUUCGCACCACAGAUGAAGACAAAAAAGGAUUACGAGAAGCCGCCAUAAUUAUGACAAAAGUUGUCAUCUUAGCAAAAGUCGUAUAUUUUACAACUUAGAUAGAGUAUGACACGUUGGGGCCACCAUCUUGGCUAAGCUAGCUAAAAUUUGUGCAUUUCUUUUAGCAGUAUUGUUUUUUGGGGUACAUUAUCUUCUUAAACCUUACUACAGUUCAUUUGGUCCAGCAAUCAUCCAUCGAAGAUCGAUCGAUCGACUCAUGAGGCCAUGAUGAUUCUACCAUUUUCAAUUGGGACUUGGUAGAAAUACUUUCAAAUGCAUGGCCAGAGUUAAACUGAAUUUGUUGUUCCCUUUGAGGCAUGGGUUGAAAAUUGAAAUGCUUUCUUCUCAAAAUUUCACAUGUGUUUAACAUUUGCCGAGACUGAACAAGCAAAAGCAACUCGCAUAGGAAGCCUUGCUGCCCACUGCAACACUAGGAAUGUAGCAUGGAGGGCCACAUUCGACUACGAGAGCUUGCUGUCUGGUGGCCUGCCCCAACGUUCUUUGCUGCUCAAAAUUAUAUUUCGGGUAUCUCAAGUUGCUCCACUAUGCUGUGGUUUAUUAUUUAACAAUUGACACGUUGCAAACGAUUAUGCUGUAGCAUUGUUAAUCGUAGCAAUUGAUUGUUCGCCAAAGUGCCUGACCUCCCUUAAUGCUUUAGUCUUAUAUGCAAUCAUUGUCUCGAAUAGCCUGUGCUCGUGAAUAACAACCUAACCUCUAGUCACAGACAUUUCAACUCCGGCAGGUUCGGGGCCGGAUCCACCCAUACCAGACCAGCCACCCGUGGGCAUUCCCGACACUGUGGCCGGCUGCUUCACGGGGCCGCGCGUUAAGCGGAUGACUUUAUUAACUUGCUAAAACUUGCUUACAAUCAGUUCGCAGACUGUGAUAAAGAAAACUAGGUGCAACAUCUGUCCAAUCUUCUGCAACGCCGUUCAAGGCGCCAAACCUAGCACACUCAUGCGCUGGCAAAUUCGUCCCAGGCCUAACAAACGAAAUGUCAAAACUAGUAAAAAACUGACUUAACUCCUCAAUUUCACACAAGAUAGGAGCAAUAAUUGCUCGAUGCUUCCUCCUCUCUACCCAGAGACGCACAAGGUCAGCACAGUCCGUUUCAAGGAUGAAAAAUGCAAAACCCUUCUCCCUGACAAAAAUGCAGGCGUCCCGUAAGGCCAAAGCCUCGAUGAUCAAAGGAUCAAUAAUCUUCUGGUAAACACGACAUCGCGCCGCUAUGAAGCCAACACCGCCCCGGAUCACCAUCCCACCUGCCGCCCGGUCAUCAGAUUCAUUGAUCGCACCAUCACCAUUUACUUUGAUAGUUCCCAUUGGCGGUCCAUGCUAGGUACAUGCCGGCCUAGGUUGCUUCCCCGAGCUCCCAGCCACCUUCUUCUCCAACAGAGAUCACGACUCUGUAAUUGAUUCAAUGGACUUAAUCGCAUCAAAACCAAUAUCUUCAUGCGCCCAUCGAUUUCUAGAAUCCCAGAUCCCUGCCAUAAUAGAGAUGAUCAACUCCCUCUUCCCUGAUCAAAGUUCUGGAGACACAUAAUAUCAGUUGCCCAUGUAUCCAGAUGCAGCCGUGGAGUCUGUAAGUGAAGCAUAUUCCUCGCCGCUGCCCAGAAUUGACGUGCAUGGGGACAUUCCAUCAUUGCAUGCAAAAGUGUUUCUACUGAAGAUUUACACAAAUGACAGGUGCUUAAAACCUUGACAUGCCGCCGGGCUAGAGUUGCAUAAUCGGGUAAGAUACCUCGCAACACUCACCACCAGAAGACCCAGACCCUUGGUAAGACAUCCAUUUUCCACAAUUGCUUCCAAUGCUGUUGAUCGCUGGCCAUCGAAAUCGACGCCGCACCACUCUUGGCACUUUCAGUUCGGUCACGCACUGCCACCAGACUUCGGUAUGCCGAUCUGACAGAAUAAAUGCCAGAUUUCUCACCCUGCCAGGCUAGCCAAUCACUCCCAGCAGUCAGCCACAACGUAAUUUGCAUGAUGAGAUCCACAUCAGGUGCAAGGAAAUUGUCCCGGAUUUUCUGCUCAUCCCACUUGAACAACCUCGGCUCAAUCAGAUCACUCACAAACUCCACAUUGCUUGCUUGCAAUCCUCCAAGUGGCUUCAUCGAGAUGGAGCCCGGAAUCCAUCUAUCAUUCCAGAUCGAGAUAGAAGAGCCAUCGCCGACCCGUUUAAUGAGUCCUGAUUCGAGGGCACGUCGCCCUGCUAAGAUCGCACGCCAAGUCUUUGAGGCAGUUCUGGGAGCAACCGCCUCCAUGAAAUCAACAUUGUGAUAGUAUCUACCUCGUAGCACUUGCGCACAUAAGGAGUUUGGCGCCAUUAACAGCCGCCACCCCUGCUUACCAAGCAAAGCUAAAUUAAAAAGCUGCAAAUCUCGGAAACCCAUACCUCCAGCACACUUCGGCUUUGUCAGUUUAUCCCAAGAAAUCCAGCGCAUGGCCCUUCGAUCAAGCGAGCCACUCCACCAGAAAGUAGAAGCGAUGGAAGUCAGCUUCUGGCAUGUCCCCUUGGACAGCAAAAAACAGCUCAUACUAUAUGUGGGCAUAGCUUGAAUAACAGCCUUGAUGAGCACUUCCUUGCCGGCAUAAGAAAGUUUUUUUUCCGCCUAGCCAUUAACCUUACUUCGGACACGAUCAGAGAUAUAAUCAAAAGAUCCACUUGUAAGCUUCCCGACUGCAGUAGGCAAACCAAGGUAUUUCUCAUUGAAAGCCUCAACUGGAAUAUUAAGUUCCCCCUUGACUAAACACCUUGUUGCCUCCUGAAUGCUAGGACAGAAGAAAAUACUAUUUUUGUCGCAGUUAACAAGUUGUCCCGAAGCUUCAUUAUACAUCUGUAAGAUAUUAUUUAAGCACCCAGCUCCCUCAACUGAUGCAUCGAUGAAGAUCAGACUAUCAUCCGCAAAUAACAAGUGGGUAAUCCACGGCACUCGGUUGCACACUCUGAGUCCACGAUCCACGAAUCCGCCAGUGUAGUUAUUCAGCAUCGGGAGUUCAGGACGAGGACGAGGAAUAGGGUGGCUGGGUGGGUUGGCCGAUUAGAGGGAUUGGGCCUUAAGGCCUUUUAGGCUUAUGCAUUGGGCCUUGAGGCCUUCUAGGCUUAUGCAUUGGGUAUUUCCGUAUUUGGGCUAGGCCAAAUUUUAGUAACUCAAUGUUAUUCUGAACCAGGUUUUCGGGUUUGGGUAAGGCACUGCCAUACCUGACGGGUCCGAAAACACCCCAAUUACUUCUCCAGAACCGCACUCUAAUCGGGCCUAGACCCAUCGAGUAAUCGGGUUUCGGGUACCCAUUGCUAUCCAUAAUUCAACCGACACGUUUGAGGUUUGAGUUCGCCCCACUGCCAUCUUCGUGUCCGGCUGCAAUCCAUAUAUAGUCCCUACCUAGUGAUGCGCGCCUUCACAUGUUCACAGAAGAUCUGCCCGUUCUAACCUUGUUGUCUACUAGUCACCGGCUACCAAUACACACCUCCUUUCCAUGUUUUAUCCAUUUUAUAAGAUAGAAGCAGUAAAUAUAUCGUCGUUUUGUCUUAUUACGUUAUUGAUUUGAUACUGAUAUAGAGACAUACCCCCCACACCCAUACAAGAAGCCUCACAUCCAAUCUCGGAGGUUUGACAAGGGUCAGGUCAGCAUCGAAGCCCUGUGCCAAACGGUAAAUGAGGCCUCCUAUCUCACUAGAAAUAGUUGCUUUAAGAAAAACCUUCGGGUGAAAACCUAGGUCCUUUGGACCGGCCAGCGGUGGCACAUGGGUGUGUGGGCUCCUAGGAGACGUUAUUUUUCCGUGGAUGCAGUGACUUUGGUGGACGGCGUGGAGCGACCUAUAUUGGCCUCUUCCAUCCAUUGUCAUAGAUCCUAUGAUUCGUGUUUUGCGAUGAGCUUCACGUUCCUCAGUACUACAAAACCCCUUAUCACUUACGCGUUCAAAACCCUCUAAGCUGACGCAAAUAGAAAGCGUUAGGAAUCAAGUGUCAGAAAUGACUCGGGUACUAUUAACGUUUUGGAAGGCGUCAUAGAUGAGGACAACCAUCUGACGCUUCUUUCGGCGAAGUGUCAAAAGUGAACUCCUCCAAGCCUGAAAUUAACACUUAGAGAUCCCUCUUGUCACUGCAGAAGUGUUAGUGGUGAUUAUCCGCUGACGCUUUCUUGCUUAAGAAGCGUCACAUGAAGAUUCUCCAGGAAUGCACGCGCGCCCCAGGUUACUGCUUUGACGCUUUUACGCCUAAGAAAGCAUGAGAGAAUAUGCUCUCUUGACGCUCUUUGUGCUUUGAAGCGUCAGCAAUCGAGCGUGCGGUUUAAAAAAAUUUAGACCACUAGUGUGUUUUCCUCCCAACAUCAGCGCUCAGGAUUUUAAACACAAUUAAAUUAAUUGCACAGAGCCACUGAAUCGAAUGCAGGAUAAAAAAAUUUCAUUCCUUUGAAGGUCGAACAUUCAUUGCAUUGCAUACAAGAUCCAAACAUAAAUUGCAUUGCAUACAAGAUCAAAGGUACAUAUAAGCAUCUAUGAAAACAUCUAAUUAGAUUGCAUAGAUCGUCCCAUGGCACAUCGUCGAUGGCGAGGCGAUGGUAAUGCUGCAUGGACGAUGUGGAUGCUGCAUUGGCGAUGGUGAUUGUGCCAUAGCAUGUCGUCAUCGGAGGUCGCGCUAAAGCACUCCUUGACGGUGAACGGCGGCGAUGACGGAGUACAACAUAGUGGUGAUGGACUACGAGAAGGGAGAGCAUGCGUAUAAGAAUCAUGGAAGUUGAUGGCCAAAGGGAAAAUUUCUUAGAAAUAGAAUCCUCAAAAUUUCCUAUAAAAUUCCUUCGAGUCAAAGAGGCCUUUUCUUCUACACACAACCAGCUGGCUACCUAAUGAUAUGUUGAUAACAACUGACGCACACAUGCAUGCCCUAGACCCUGACUCACAGAUUCUCUCGUCUAAUCUCGUAACUCACAACUACAUGAAGCCGGGGCCCUUAGGCGAAAAAAAGAAGACAACCGAAACAGGCCCGCCUGCCCGAUUGCUUGAGACGCCUGUCGGCGGUAGGCAUCGUUCACUCGUUCAAUAGGCCAUCGCCGGCCCCCACCGUUCCAAUGCUCCACUUGGGCGACAAGAAUCCAAUUACUAAUUGAAGUGAUAAUCAAUUGAUGGUAAGAUUUUAUUGAAUUGAUUUAGCAAAUUUGUAGCUUCGUAUUAUAUUCUAGUUACUAAUUGUUUCAUAAAAUUGUGAUUUGUAAUCUUUGGAACGAGCUGUUAAAUAGUUUGACAAUUGUUUAGGUUGAGAAAAAAUAUCCCCGGAUGACAUUGAUAUUGAGAUCAUCGCUUUGUAUCUAGCAAAUGUUAGAAGUUUUAAGUUAACAAUACUAAAACUACUCCGUACUUGAUAUGAGUAUUGUUUUUUGAUGCAAUAUAUUUAUCAUUGUCUCGAAGUUUAUAUUAAGGGGCCGGAUUCUAGUUUUACCCCAGCCCCCAAAAAUCUCAGGACAUUGCCUAUCCAACGGCCACAAAGAUGGCACAACGGCAUCUCCCCUUCAUGUCGCAUCGCACGGCAGGCAUCUCUAGCAUGUUGCAACUUUGUCGGCUUCUACAUGCAAAUAAAAAUAAACAUGAAGAUACAUAAUCAAGAUUAAGGGCAACAGUUUCCGUCUCUUCAUUUUGAGAUCACGAUGCUACAAUUUCUUGUUCUAGCAAAUUGUCUAGAUUUGCACCAUUUAUCUUCGAUGUUUUGUUCAUCGUCUGUAGUAGUUUGUAUAGCUAGUUUAAUUUAUGUUCUUGCGAUCAUGAUUUAUCUACUCUCUUUAUUACUUAAAUCUCAUGGUAAAUUGCUCAUGUUUUCAAUGGUGUCAAUGGCGUGCUUGUCUCUGCCAAGACCGCGGCGAGAAGACGUGACGUCAAAAAAAUGCGACCGCCUCCGUCGGGGAGCGUGCCGAUACGAUAUACUCCCUCUGUCCCAUAUUACGUGACUCAAAUUUGUAUAAAUAUGUAUGUAAGUAUAUACUAAAAGGGUCCACAUAUGGAUUUGUUUUCUGAGAAAUAAUCAGUUGACGUAUUUGCACCGUCCGAUGUCCCAUCGGCACCGAUUCCCUGCGAGCGCUCGUCCGCCCUCUUCAACGAACCAGCGAGAUGUGUUGUAUCGUGUGUGUUUUCUUUUUUUUAGGCAUCUCUUACAUUACAGCUAUACAAUCUGAACUCACGCAAUAACACACGCCACACGCACACCACACGUACACACGCUACCCCUAGUGCGCAAGACAGACCUUUCAAACUAAUACACGCUUACUAGAUUCCCAGAGUCACUGGACUCUGUCGGCAACAAGUACGUUGCACUACCACUAAAGUACAUGCGUGGGAGAGGCGGAAGCAGGAGGGAAUUAAAUCCCAGAGAGACUCUCAGGAACGCCCCAACCGGGGAUCAAACCUGAUGAGGACAUCCUAGCCAUUGACACUACACCAACAGUCAAUGGACCUAUCACACGAAGUCGUGCCAAACUGAUAAUCGAUCAGGUGAACGCUAACUUAAGUUUAUCUCCCAGCUUCCACAUGUUCUCGAACCUGUAGUGUCGUAGCCCAGGGCUUAGACACCGGGGAUGCGAGGCACCCCCUUUCAGGUUCGGCAGUGGGCGUUGGGGAUCGCUCCGGCGAUCGCCGGUGAGGCCAUUGUCAAGCGUAAAGAUGCACAAGACCGUUUUACCCAGGUUUGGGCCACCCUGAGGUGUAAAACCCUACGUCCUGCUUCUGAGCUUGUAUUAGCGAAUGAACAAGCGUUUACAAGUUGCUGGGGGAGUCCCAGGGCGCUCUCUCCUUUCCUGCUAAGUGCUACUUGCUAUUUCAGGGCUUAAACUAGUAAGAACCGAACCGAACCCUUUGACCGUUGGCGAUGGUCCUCCUUUUAUACUCAAGGGGAUACCACAGGUGCCUUGAUGCAUGGGUGACAAGUGUCGAGCUUAGACCUUAGGCAGCUUGCCCUUGCUGCGCUGUCAUGCAUGCACGGUACAAAGCACUGCACCCAGGGCGGUACGUGCCUUGGAUUCACUAAGAGCCACUCACGGUGGCCUGACUUGACAAGGAACCACCCUUCUAUCGGAGCAUUUAAUGCUUGCUUGUGCCACACUCCUCGCCCUGACGAGUCCUGCGCACAGGUAGCCUGCCGGGGCGGCCACGUGGCGCAGAUGCUCUGCCUGGUGGGCACCGGCCCUGUCGUAGGCGCCAGCGCCCGGGAACACCCUCCCGGCAAGUGACCUUCCCAGGGGGGCGUCCUGACCAAGAUUCCCUUGUUGCCUUCGGGGUAACCCCGUAUCCCGGCUAGUCCCGCUAGGCCGGUGACUUCCCGGGCAGCUCGAGCGGUGCUACCUAGGGUGUUGUCCUGGCGGGAAGCACGUGGAACGACCCAUGUGUUAGGCAGCGGUGGUACCCCGGGUGGCACUGGUGCGACAGUAGCCCCCGGGCGUGGGCCGGCAACGCCUGCUCCCGGGCGAACUCAUUCUUGGUCGGUUGCCGGGCUACGCCCUUAACCGACGCGUGGGUCCCGAGCCGCUUCAGGUGCCCGUUUAUGCGUUACUCCAAGGACUCCGCCGUUACGGGCAGAGUGGUGGGGGCGAGGUUUCCGCCCUAACCUCCCCUUAAUCGCGGGUGGUUAAGGCCACGUCCCGCAUUCCCCCUCUUUAAGCGUAGUUAUCCCCAGCGCACCCGUAGGGUGCGGAUGCGACCGUUGCUUAGCGCCCGGGUGCUAUAAAACCCCACCGCUGUGAUGAGGAGCAAACACUUAGCCCCCAGCCCUUCUUCCUCAUCCCCAUUCUUCCUUGAGCCCCUGAAUCCUGCUAGUCUCCGCCCACAUUCCCCAUGGCGCCCACAGCCCCCAAGAGAGGGAAAUGCUCCAAGAGUUCUGCGGCCGAGGAAGGCGAGAAGGCUCCCAAGAAGCCUCUCUCGGAGAAGGACCAGAAGAAACAGGAGUUGAGGGCCAUGCAGGCCUUCUUCAGGCUCGGCUACAACGGCGAGGGGCUUGACAAGAUCCGGCACGCCGUCGCCUCCCGGUUCAACGAGUACGGCGAGACGCUCGUCUUCCCUGCCGGCGCCGACCACCAGGACAACGACUUCCGGGUCUUCGCCCGCUUCAUCCUUGCCGGGCUGGUGCCUCCAUACUCCCUCUUCCUCCACGCACUCAUGGCGGCAUACCAGCUCCGGGUUGCGUAGCUCCACCCCACCGCCCUCUUCCUUCUCGCCGUCUUCCAAUUCCUCCGCGAGGGGUUCGUUGGGGUGAUGCUGUCAGUGGCGUUGUUCCGGCAGUACUUUUACCCGCGCAUCGAGCAAUCGGAGGCGAUGUCGUCGGGGGUGGUGUUCCGUGCCCACGACAAGAUGAAGUCGGAGUUCAUCGUGCGGACGGAGAAGAAGAUCGAGAAGGAGUGGCGCGCGGAUUGGUGCUGGGUUCGCGUGGAGGAACCUGAUGAGUUCAUCUACAUGCCCACCGAGCUGCCGGUGAGCAACGACAGUUGGCAGGACCGCUACGGACGCGACUAGCGGGGCUCACUGAUCUUGACGUGGCACGCACCUACAUCAGCCGGCGCAUUGCACCGCUGCAGCCGCGGUCUCGCCCCGCGUGGAUGUACACGGGGCCCGGCGACAACACGCGCCUCCAGAGCGCGGGCGUGACCCCGGAUGCGAUCCGGGCGUGGGUGAAGGGGAUCACCGGCGAGGAUGCCCCAUUCACGGAUCUGCCCCCGGGGGCUCCAUCCCUCCACGCCGGCGUUGCGGGGCUGCACGACAUCGUCAGCAGCUACCCGCCCUUCAACGAGUGGGGGCUGAUGUCCGAUUCCCCUACUCGAGCCCCGCAACCUCCGCCACCCGCAGCCCGUGCGAAGCGAGUGGCCGAGGAGAGUGGUGGGGGGGGGGGGAUCAGAACUCAGCGGGCCCGACGUCGAGUCCUCCGGUGACGAGGCUGGCCACGUUGCCGGGGCCCAGACGGCCCUCCCUGCGGCGGAGGAGGAGGAUGAGGACGACGCGCCCCUUGUGCGGAGACCAAGGGCGCCCGUGGUAGCGGCCGCAAGCGCCGUGGCAGCUUCCCCGGCAACCGGGGCUGCGGCAACCCCACGAGGGUCCGUGGCUCCGCCCAAGCGGGGAAUCUUUGGGGGCUACUUGCUCAAGCUCAACCCCUCUGAGGUGAGCUGACGUCUCUCCCCUCUUCUUCCUUCAAGUUUUGCGCCAGCUCUGGUUUCCUUACUCCUUUGUUGGCGCUUUGCAGGGACAGCACCCCGGCGGGAGCCGGCAAGAGGGGGAGGGCCGACACUGCACCCGUCACGCCGAGCAAGAAGCCGCGCACCCGGGCCAGCGUCAGUCAGGCUGGCGCGGGGGCCACCGACCCAAUUCCAGUGGAAGAGGAGCCCGCAGCAAGUACGGACCCUUCCCCUGACUCCAAUGUCCAUGCUCUUUCUUCACAUUGAUCCAAAACCGCGCGCUCACCUUGGCACGCAGGCGAAAUCCGGCCGCCAGCGGACAGCCCGGCAGUAGAAGCCGGGACAGAGGGGGAUCAGGCUCCCCCUAUAAGCACGGCGGCCGCGCAAGGUACCUAUCCAGAGCUCCCUUGCAUUCGCCGCCGGGUACCUCAGCUUUAGCUUGAAGCACUCAUUUUGCCCUUUGUCGCAGGCCCCAUUGCGCCCACAACGGGGGCGGGCGACGCAGUGAUCGACCUCACCUCCGACGUCGAGGACACAGGGUUGAGGGACAAGCCAGAGGCGGCUCCCGCGCCAAGCCCCGUUGCCCCAGACACAAUGGUGGCGGCGCCCACUGUCGCUAGCGGAGCGGGCCCGGCAGCGCGUCCCCGGCCUCGCAGGCCGGAGGCACGGAUCCCGCGGCUGCCUAGCAGGAGGCGACUCCUGCCGGGAGCGCGGUUCCUCCACCAGACCCGCAAGCUACGGACGCGGGGGUGGAGGAGGAAGUGGCGGGGGAGCGGCAGGUGGCUCCCCUGCAAGGGGACGAUGCUCCUCCCGGCCAGACCGUUGCGGCAGGAGUUUCGUCGUCGUUCGUCGCUACCUCCAACCCAGACCUUGGCAUUCUUGCCGGGGCAACUUGGGACCCAAUCACAUGGGACCCGAGCAUCUACGACCAGUGGCACCAAUUCCUCGACGCCAUCAAGGAGCAACAGCUGGCGUUCGUCACCUCAUUUAACAAGGUGAGGGAGCACCAUGAGCUCGUGAAGGGCCAACUCGGCGUGGUGCGGCAAGAUGUCGAGAGGGAGUGGCAGGAGCUCUCCCGGCUACGGGAGGAGACGCGCCUGUCUCGGCAGGCCAGGGACGAGGCCGCAACGCCGGUCGUCCCCGAGGCAGAGCUCCAUCAGCAACUGGAGGCCCAGCGUGCCGAGCACCAGCAAGCACUGGACACACUGGCCGUGGCGUGGGAGAAGGCCAACAAGGAGCACGAGGAGGUGCUUGCUACGGCCCAAGCUCGCCUCAACGAGAAGAGCCAGCUGGUCAGCAGCUACUCCCAGCUCCAGGCGCUGCGCACAAAGCUGGAGGAGCAGGCCAAGGCCGCGAAGGACGCGGCAGCAGUGUCAGCGCGGGGAGAGAAGGAGCUCAACUCCGUGAAGGAACGGAGCGCCCAUCUCGAGUCGGAAUUGUCCACCGCCCGGGGCGAGCUCGUCAAGAUGGGCGAGGACAAUGUGGCCAAGGCCAAGGAGAUCGUGCGGCUCGCGGAGCUCAUCCGCAAGGCCAAGCACGCGGUGGCGCUGGCACGCGGCAACCACGACAAGCUGGCGGAGCAGCGGCGGAAGAAGACCGAGAGGCUGCACGAGAUCGCCCAGACCGUGCGUGAGUUGCUGCCAAGGUUCGAGCUGCAUGCCGCGAAGGUGGACGGCACGGACAUCAGCACCCUCAUCCCGUUCUUCUCUGACAUGGUGGGGAAGCUCGUGGCGCUGGAUGUGUGGCUCUCCAAAUUCUGCGACGGGGAGAUAGCGUCGUGCGCCAGGGAGAUCGCUGAGAUGAUCCUCCCCCAGGUGCAGUACCACCACCCCGACUUCCCCUUCGAGACGCUGCUAGACACGUGGUCGGACAGCGAGGACGGCCCCUCCCACACCAGGGCGGUAAGCCGGUUGUCGACGAAGUGGUGGACCGGAUGAAGAGGAAGCCGGAGCCAGAGCCUUCAGCGGAAACCCCCGGCAACCAGCCGUCUUAGUUCCUUGCAAGCAUUUGUUUUUCCUUUUUGUUUCCUGCAAGUGUUGCGCUUGGCGCCGUGGAACAAUUAAUGCUUUAUUAGCCCAGAUAAUCAUUCGCUACAUUUAUGAAUUUUGUUUUCUAGUUCUACUUGGUUCUUGUUCCUGAAACUGACUCACGGGGUGGAUCUUCUUGUCCCCGUGAGUUGCGCUUUGUGUUGCCGAUGACUCGCACGCUACCCACUUAACCGGACCAGGGACCCAGGACGGACCCGCAGUGCCAACCUGGGGCCAAGUAGCAGCGGCAACCCACUCCGCUUGCGGGCUAGCUACUCCCAAGCACGCGCCCAUAGGACGGACCCGCAAGCCGCAUGAGGAGCCACUCCCCCCGCAAGCGUCCUUUUAACACUCCAGCCACACGCAAGACCAGACCCACGCCAACAAGCCAGCGUUGAGUAUUAGAAAGCUAGGCGGCUAGGAUCAUGCACUUAGCUGUCUGUUCUCACGUCGAUCGCAUUAGUUCUGCACCUGGAACGCUUGCUGGAGGGAUGCGGCAAGGACGCUAUGGCAGUGCACCCAUCAGCGCUCUACACCACCACAGUGUCUCCGCGGCAACCCUCGCCUUGGAACCGCCUGUUGGAGGGAUGCGGCAUGGGCAUGGAGCGCUGAUGGCAUGCACCACCACCGUGUCACUGCGGCCUCCCUCGCCCUUGCAGCCAUCUUCUUAGCUCCGCUCUGAGUUGCUCCGUGGCCACCAUGCCCUUUUAUAGGCGUGGUGAAGAAUGUUGCCGCCGCGCGUGCCAGGCUACCGCAGCGCACGUGGCGACACCCUCCUGCGGUAAGAACCUUGAAGCGGUCGCCAUGCACCGGUGGCUACCCGCUAGAUGACACGGUCCGUGAGCACUCCACGAGCAUCAUAGUGUGUCUGACCCCCAUCCUUAUACUGCAUGUGAGAUUCUUACCGAGCCCGAGAUGCUGCAAUUUUUUUCAAAAUGCACGAAAAAAGGUACAACACAGAUAGCCCUCCUGCCUCCCAGCCCCCGGGCACAGAAGGGUCGAUACCAAACUUGGGUGUGAGCACUCUCCUACUCCCAAAACGCAGCUGCUGCGUGGUGCGCGUUGCGGGGAACCGGCAACGGGAUUUUUGUUUUCGAGGCUCCGGCAGCCCCGCUGCUCAUAGCCAAGGAUGGAAAGAGACUUCUGUCAACUUAGAGCAGGAGACAGAAGAAAAAACACGCAAUAAACGAAUCGACUUGAAAUUCAGAGGAAAACACUUAUCUCUAUUCACAGAAACUAGCGGUUUACAAUCGGGGGUUGCCCGCUACACUAGUUCGAGAGGCAUGCUGCACCAGCAUCACCCGUGGGUCAGGCUCCGUCGCUUCAUGGGUAAAACUUGCGCAAGUGCUCAAGGUUCCAACUGUUUUGCACCGGCAAGCCUUCUUCGGUUUCAAGCCGCACAGCCCUCGCCCUGGUCACCUGCACUACCCGGAAGGGGCCUUCCCAUUUCGGAGCGAGCUUGUUCCUGGCCUUCGUUCCUUGUAUUCGGCGCAGGACAAGGUCUCCGACCUCGAGCUCCCGGGGACGGACCCGCCUGUCAUGAUAACGGCGGAGUCACUGCUGAUAGCGUGCAGCUCAUACAGCAACCCGGCAUCGGAGUUCUUCGAUGAAGUUCAGAUCGUCAACCCUCUGUUUGUGUUGGCUAUGGUUGCCGUAUGCGCAUACCUGAGGGGAUCCAUGCUUAAACUCGAGGGACAGCACCGCUUCUGCCCCGUAGACAAGGGCGAAAGGAGUUUCGCCCAUUGCCCGGCUAGGUGUGGUCCUGAUGACCACAACAUGGGCUGGAAUUCUUCGACCUAAUGCUUCCCGUGGCCUUUGAGCUUGUCAAAGGUUCUCGUCUUGAGCCCCCGCAGCACCUUUGCGUUGGCUCGCUCCGCCUGUCCGGUCCUCCUCGAGCGAGCAACAGAGGCGAAGUGGAUCUUGGUGCCCAUGCCCUCGCAGUAGGCUUGGAACACCGCGCUCGUGAAUUGCGUGUCAUUGUCGGUGAUGAUGCCGUUGGGAACACCGAAUGGGCACACAAUGCUCUUGAAGAAUUUGAUGGCCGCCUGAGCUGUCACCUUCCUUACGGGCUCCACCUCCACCUGCUUGGAGAACUUGUCGAUGGCCACGAGCAAAUACUCGUCGCCACCCACCGCUCUUGGCAACUUGCCGACAAUGUCCAGCCCCCAGACCUUGAACGGCCAGGAGGAUGGAAUGACUUGCAGGGCCUGCACCGGCUGGUUACUCUUCUUCGCGUGGAACUGGCACGCCUCACACGUUUUGACUAGCUGCUCGACAUCGGCUAGCGCUGUAGGCCAGUAGAAGCCGUGCCGGAAGGCCUUGCUGGCUAGAGCCCGGGAGGCCACAUGGUGCGAGCAUGUGCCUCGGUGUAUGUCCUCUAGAAGCACACGCCUUCGUCUUGGGGCACGCAGAGGAACUUCACUCCAUUUGCACGCCUCCGGUAGAGAUCCCCAUCUACCAAAGUGUACAUCUUGGCUUGCCGGGCUACGCGCUCCGCGGCAACGUCGUCUUUCGGGAGGGCUUCCCCCUUGAGGUAGCGGGCGAUGUCCACCGCCCAAGGAGGGGUUUCCCUGCUCAUGUAUGCCGCCACAUCAGCGGCAUGGACCUCCGCUGCUGCUGCGGGGUUUCCUUCGGUUGCCGAGAGGGCUUCCCCGGCAGCCGGCUUGGGAGUGAUUGAAGGCGCAGUCUGCCUGUGCCAGAACACCCCCGACAGGACCUUCCGGCGCUCCGCUGCCCACUUGGAUAGUUCGUCAGCCGCGAAGUUAUCCUUGCACUUGACGUGCUCGAAUCGCAAAACCUUGAACUUGCGUUCUAGCUUGCGGACUUCAUCCACGUACGCUGCCAUCUGCGGGCAGUCGUAGUCCUUGGUAACCUGGUUGACCGCGAGUUGGGAAUCCCCGCGAACAACCAAGCGCUUGAUAGCGAGCAGCCCCUCGUACUCAGCCGUGUUGUUGGUGGAGUUGGGGAAGUCGAGCUGGAUGGCGAAUUUCAGCUGGUCUCCCGUGGGCGACUCGAUGACGACUCCGAUGCCAGCUCCCUGCAGGCUGAAAGCGCCGUCGAAGUACAUGAUCCAGUGGCCUUCGUCCAGCUUCCCGGGCAGGCUGGUCUCCGGCGGCUCUUCUUCUAUGCCUAUCGAGGUCCACUCUGCAACAAAAUCUGCUAGAGCAGCACUCUUGAUACUCUUGGUGUUAGUGAAGUGCAGAUCAAACUCCGACAACUCCAUCCUCCACUCGGCCACUCUUUUGGUGGCUUCACGGUUCGUGAGGGCCCGCUCGAGGCAGAACCCCGACACCACCGUGACGCGAUGCGCCUGGAAGUAGUGGCGCAGCUUGCGUGAUGCAAGCAGAAUCCCCAGCAAGAGCUUCUGCACUUGCGGGUACCGCGUGCGGGCAUCGCGCAGCACCGUGCUGACGAAGUACACCGGGUGCUGCACAAGCCGCUUGAGCAGUGUUGGCGCCGCCGACUCGACGGCGGUUCCCGGGUCCGAGGCGGUUGCCGGGGCUGACUCAGCCCCCGGGAGAUCUUCUUCUCUCUCGGCAACAAGCACCGAGCUGACCACCUGGGCCCUUCUUCUUCAUUGGCAGCGACUUCAGGUACUGCUUGAGAUCCUUGAAUGUUGCCUCAGCCUCGGGGGUCCAGUUGAUUGGACCCUUCUUUUUCAUCACCUUGAAGAAAGGCAGGGCGCGUUCGCCCAGCCUUGAGAUGAAACGCCGCAGCGCGGCUACGCAGCCGUUGAGGUGCUGGACGUCCCUCACCCUGUAGGGAACCUCCAUCUUCUCGAUAGCUUCUAUCUUCUUUGGGUUGGCCUGAAUCCCCCUAUGCAAAACCAAGAAGCCCAGAAGUUGCCCUGAGUCUACACCAAAAAUGCAUUUCUCAAGGUUCAACUUGAGCUUGAUCCUGCGAAGAUUAUCAAAUGUCUCCCUCAUGUCAUCAAUAAGCGAGUCCCCGCGCUUUGACUUGAUGACGAUAUCAUCCACGUAGGCCUCAAUGUUCCGGCCUAGCUGGGGUCCCAAACACUCGCGCAAUGCACGCUGGAAUGUUGAGCCCGCGUUCUUCAACCCGAAAGGCAUGCAUGUGUAGCAGUAACAGCCAACCGGGGUGAUGAACGCCGUUUUUUUCUCGUCCUUGACUGCCAUCUUGAUCUGAUGGUAGCCGGAAAAGGCAUCCAAAAAGCACAACAAAUCGCAACCGGCAGUGGAAUCUACUAUUUGAUCAAUGCAAGGUAUAGGGAAAGGGUCUUUUGGACAUCCACGAUUAAGAUCGGUAAAGUCUACACACAUGCGUAAUUUAUUCUCCCCCUUGGGCACUACAACUGAAUUUGCUAACCAAGUGGGGUACAGUACUUCCCUGAUAGCCCCCGCAGCCUUCAGCUUUUCCACUUCUUGCUUGAUGAAGUCUUUGCGCUCCUGUGCUUGCCGGCAGAUCUUCUGCUUGACGGGGCAGGCGUCUGGACUUACCGCAAGUCGAUGCUCGAUCACCUCCCUAGGGACUCCGGGAAGAUCCGACGGUUCCCAAGCGAACACGUUGGCGUUCUCCCGGAGGAAAGUGAUGAGGGCGCUUUCCAGAGCGCAAGCUCAAGCUUGUGCUUCCCCCGGCAAGUUGUUGCGGGGUAACACGAGCCUUCUUCACUGCGGGGCAGUCGCCCGGCAGCAAGCCUUUGCUUUUGGCGACGCCUUCGUCACCGGAAUCAGCUACGGCGGCGGCCCAGACGACCUCGCCAACACACCAAGCCGCGUCCUUGAGAUCGCACUUGAUGGAGAGGACUUCAUAAGUGGAUGGCAUCGUCGUCAUGCCGUAGGCGCAAUGGGUUGCCGCCAUGAACUUGAUCAGUGCCGACCGACCAAGGAUCCCGUUGUACGGCAACGGGGUCUGAGCCACAUGAAACACGAUCAGCUCAGUUCUGAACGCCUCCCGGGACCCGAAGGUAACCGGCACCGUGAUGCGCCCCAGGGGGCGAACGAUCCCGGGGUUCACCCCCCGGAACGGGUCGGUGGGCUUCAUCUGCUCCAGCGGCAGCUAAAGCUUCUCCACCAACCUGGCGAACAGGAGGUUUAACCCCACUCAGUUUUCCACCAGCACAUUGGUCACCGUCAUGUUGUUGAUGAUCGGUGAGACCACGAAGGGCAAAACUCCUGACCCAAGUUGCCGGGCUGGGUAGUCGUCACGGCUGAAACCGAUCGGCACGUGCGACCACUUUAGCGGCUGCUGCGGCUCCAUGUCCAGCAACAGCGCACACACUUCCCGUGUGAGGCGCUUCACCGCGCUAUGGGAUGAGAGAGAGUAAGCUCCCCCAUGAAUGCAGGCGACGCCACGAGGCUCCUGGAAGCCGGGCUCGUCGCCCCCCGCUGUAAUCGGACUCGCGCCGCUCCUCAGCACGAGCCUUGUCCCAUCCUCGGGGAGGCCGCUCCCUGCCGGCUCGGGCUGGGGCGCGUCCCCCUUGGGCUUCUUCUCUGCCGGCAUCUCCACCGGCAGGCUUCGCCCCAUCUCUGGGGUCAUUCGGGCAAUCCCGGGAGAGAUGCCCGAUAUCCCCACAGUUGAAGCAGGCGCCGGCUGCUCGGCGCUCCUCGUGGCGGUACUCACGCCUCUGCUUGAUGCCCUGCAGGAUGUGACAAUCCUGCACGUCAUGUGUGGCGUUGGCGUGGAUGGGACAGCGGGGUGCGUCGCCCGGCUUGCCACCAGACCCGCCAGCGGGUGAGGCCUUCUUCGCAGGCCUCGAGGCAACCCCGGGUUCCGCGGCAAGCACUUGCUUUCCGCUGCGCUUCCGGGAGCCCUUCAUUCUGCUAGCCCUCAGCGGGACUCGCGGCAGCCUUGGCUGCAAGUUCGGGCGCCAAGCGCCCUUCCUCAGCCAUGGCACACUUGUGCGCCAAGGCGUAGAGCUCUUGCGUCGUCCGGAUCCGGUGCGUGCUUAGCUUCUCAUGCAUCUUGGGGUCACGGACGUUGAUGGCAAAGGUAUUGAUGAUGGCGGCAGCCUCCGCCUAAGGAAUGGAGUAGGAGAGACAGGAGAAGCGGUUGACGAAGCUCCGUAACGUCUCCCCUGGCUUCUGCACAACGGUGUGCAGCUCCGCCAUGGUUCCCGGACGCUUGUAGCUGUUGGAAAUAUGCCCUAGAGGCAAUAAUAAAUUUGUUAUUAUCAUAUUUCAUUGUUCUUGAUAAAUGUUUAUUGCCCAUGCUAUAAUUGUAUUGAUUGGAAACUCAAAUACAUGUGUGGAUAAAUAAACAAAUACCGUGUCCCUAAUACGCCUCUACUGGAUUAGCUCGUUGAUUAAAGAUGGUUAAGGUUUCCUAACCAUAGACAUGUGUUGUCAUUUAAUAACGAGGUCAUAUCAUUAGGAGAAUGAUGUGAUGGACAGACCCAAACCUAAACAUAGCUUUUGAUCGUGUCACUUAAGUUUAAGUUGCUUAUGUUUUAUUAUGUCAAGUAUUAUUUCUUUAGACCAUGAGAUCAUGCCACUCCCUAGUACCGGAAGAAUACUUUGUGGGCAUCAACCGUCAUCUCGUAACUGGGUGAUCAUAAAGGUGUUUUUCAGGUAUCCCAGAAGGUGCUUGUUGGGUUGUAUGGAUCAAGACUGGGAUUUGUCACUCCUUGUGACGGAGAGAUAUCUCUGGGCCCUCUCGGUAAUAUAACAUCCUAAUGAGCUUGCAAGCAUGCGACUAAUGUGUUUAGUUGCGGGGGUAUUAUAUUACGGAACGAGUAAAGAGAACUUGCCGGUAACGAGAUUAAACUAGGUAUGGCGAUACCGACGAUCAAAUCUCGGGCAAGUAAUAUAUCGCGAGACAAAGAGAAUUGGAUACUGGAUUAAUUGAAUCCUCGACAUAGUGGUUCAACCGAUGAGAUCUUCGUGGAAUAUGUGGGAACUAUUAUGGACAUCCAGGUCCCGCUAUUGGUUAUUGAUAUUUGAUCAUGUCCACAUGUUCUCGAACCCGUAGGGUCACACACUUAACGUUUCAUGUUGCUUGGGUUAGAUGAGAUAAAUGAUGAUGAUAUCGAAUUAUGAUUCGGAGUCUUGGAUGGGAUCCUAGACGCAACGAGGAGCUCCGGAAUGUUCCGGAGAUAAAGAUUUAUAUAUGGAAAGUUGUUUUCAGGGUUCUGGAAAGUUUGGAAUAUUUCCCGGUUUUGACCGGGAAGCUUCUAGAAGGUUCCGGAGGGAUCCGGAGGGUUCCACCUUGAGGCCCACGUAUCCCUGGGCUAAAUGGGCCUGUGAGGGAGCACCCUGGCCUUAAUGGGCCGAGGGGCUAGCCCACAGGGCCCAUGCGGCCAGGAGGAGAGUCCUGGCCGCGGGAGAGUCCUGGCCGCGGGAGAGUCCUGGCCACGGGAUAGUCCUGGCCGGCCACGCCUCCUCUACCCCUAUAUAAAUAGAAGGGGGCGCAAGGGAGAGAGACACCCCAAGCUUUCAGUUGGAUCUCUCUCCCCUGAGCCCUCCUCUCCUUCUCUUCUCACGCGCACGGCGUAGCCCUGCCCGCGAGAAUAUUCACCAUAGUCACCACGCCGUCGUGCUGCCGGGAUCUCGUCUACCUCUCCCUCUCGCUUGCUGGAUCGAGGAAGGAGGAGACAACGUGAAGCUGAACGUGUGGAUACCAAGGAGGUGCCGUCCGUUCGGCACUGAGAUUGAUCUCAUUGAAAGUUCCACUACACCAACAACGAUGUCGUGAUCGUAACGCUUAGCGGUCUACGAGGGUAUGGUGUUCAUGAUCCCUCUCGUUACAUACAUCUAGUAUAUAUAUUCUUGGGUUUUCUUCCGCACUUCUCGUAGGAAAUUUUUUGUUUCCUAUGCAACGAGCCCAACAGUGGUAUCAGAGCUAGAUCUAUGCGUAGAUGUUUUGUACGAGUAGAACACAAUUUAGUUGUGGGCGUUGAUGUUCAUAUUGCUACCUUCUUUGUGCACUAUCGGAUUUUGCGGGAUAGUGGGAUGAAGCGGCUCGGACCAACCUUACUUGUCUUCGCACAAGAGACCGGUUCCGUAAUUAACAUGCAACUUGUAUUGCAUAAGGCGGCUGGCGGGUGUCUGUCUCUCCCACUAUAGUUGAAAUCUGAUUUGCAAUGGGAGGCCUAUAUGGUUAAUAAGCAAUUUGUAUAUCACCGUUGUGGCUUUUGCGUAAGUAAGAACGGUUCUUUUAGUGCAGCCCCUAAAGCCACGUAAAACAUGCAACAACAAAGUAGAAGCGUCUAACUUGUUUUUGCAGGGGCAUGUGAUGUGGUAUGGCCAAGAUAUGAUAUAAUAUAUUUGAUGUAUGAGAUGAUCAUGUUUUGUAAUAUUUCACGACUUGCAUGUCGAUGAGUUUGGCAACCGGCAGGAGCCGUAUGGUUGUCUCAUUAAUUAUUGUAUGACCUUCGUGUCAAUGAUUUAAUCGCCAUGUAAUUACUUUACUUUAUCGCUAGUAGUAGCAAUAGUCGUAGUAGCAAUAGUUGGUGGAGGCAACUAUACAUGACGCCCGAGGACCUAGGCGCCAUGCUGGUGAUGAUGGAGAUCAUGCCCGUGCUUUGGAGAUGGAGAUCAAAGGCACACGAAGAGAAGGCCAUAUCAUGUCACAUUAUUUAUGCAUGUGAUGUUUAUCCCUUUUAUGCAUCUUAUUUUGCUUAGUUGACGGUAGCAUUAUAAGAUGAUCCCUCAUUGUUAAUAUCAAGAUAAUAAUGUGUUCUCCCUUAGUAUGCACCGUUGCAAAAGUUCGUCGUUUUGAAGCACCACGUGAUGAUCGGGUGUUAUAAACUCUACGUUCGCAUACAACGGGUGUAAGCCAGUUUUACACAUGCAGGAAUACUUUGGUUAACUUGACGAGCCUAGCAUGUACAGACAUGGCCUCGGAACACAAGGAACCGAAAGGUUAAACAUGAGUCAUAUGAAUGAUGUGAUCAACAUGCUGAUGUUUACCAUUGAAGCUACUCCAUCUCACGUGAUGAUCGGACUUGGUGUAGUGGAUUUGGAUCAUGUGUCACUAAACAACCCGAGGGAUGUUGAUUUUAGUGGGAGUUCAUUAGUAAUUUGAUUAGCUUGAACUUAUUAUCAUGAACUUAGUCUAAUUGCCUUUGCAAAUAUGCUGUAGAUCAAUGGCUCGUACUACGUUCAAUAUGAAUACUCUCCUAGAGAAAGAUAAACUGAAGUCCAAUGGAAGCAACUUUACGGACUGGUUCCGGAAUGUGAGGAUUAUCCUCGAAGCUGCCAAAAAGGCUUAUGUUUUUGAUGCAGCGCUUGGUGCAGAACCCGCAGCAACUGAGUCUGCUGACGUUAGGAACGUUUGGCUGACUCAAUCUGAGGACCACAAUGUAGUUAGGUGCGGCCUCUUGCUUGGUAUGGAACCUGAGCUCCAAAAGCGUUUUGAGCACCACUCGGCAUAUGCUAUGAUUGGGGAACUGAAUACUUUAUUUCAAACCCAAGCCCGUGCGGAGAGGUAUGAUGCCUCCGAAAGGUUCUUUAACUGCAAGAUGGAGGAGAACAGCUCUGUUAGCGAGCACGUGCUCAGAAUGUCUGGGUACGCCGACCGCCUGGGACAACUGGGAAUUGAGAUUCCUAAUGAAUUAGGCAUUGACCGGGUUCUUCAGUCAUUACCACCUAGCUAUAAAAGUUUUGUGGUGAACUACAAUAUGCAAGGGAUGGAUAGGACACUUCCUCAGCUCCUCGCGAUGUUAAAACCCGCGGAGGUGGAAAUCAAAAAGGAGCAUCAAGUGUUGAUGGUCAAUAAGACCACCAGUUUCAAGAAGGCAAAGGGUAAGAAGGGAAAUUUCAAGAAGGGUGGCAAAACUGUUGCCACUCCCGCGAAGAAGCCCAAAUCUGGACCUAAGCCGGAUACUGAGUGCUUCUACUGCAAGGGGACUGGCCACUGGAAGCGUAACUGCCCCAAGUACUUGGCAGAUAAGAAGGCUGGCAAUGUCAAAGGUAUAUUUGAUAUACAUGUUAUUGAUGUGUACCUUACUAGUACUCGUAGUAGCACCUGGGUAUUUGAUACUGGUUCAGUUGCUCACAUUUGUAACUCGAAACAGGAGCUACAGAAUAAACGAAAACUAGCAAGAAAUGAGGUGACUAUGCGCGUCGGGAAUGGAUCAAAAGUUGAUGUGAUCGCCGUCGGCACGCUCCCUCUACAUUUAUCUUCGGGAUUAGUUUUAAACCUUAGUAAUUGUUAUUUGGUGCCUGCGUUGAGCAUGAACAUUAUAUCAGGAUCUUGUUUAAUGCAAGACGGUUAUUCAUUUAAAUCAGAGAAUAAUGGUUGUUCGAUUUAUAUGAGUAAUAUCUUUUAUGGUCAUGCACCACUUGUGAAUGGUUUAUUUCUAUUAAGUCUCGAUAGUAGUGACACACAUAUUCAUAAUGUUAAUGCCAAAAGGUGCAAAGUGGAUAAUGAUAGUUCAACAUAUUUGUGGCACUGCCGUCUAGGUCAUAUUGGUAUAAAACGCAUGAAGAAACUCCAUUCUGAUGGACUACUUGAAUCACUUGAUUUUGAAUCAUUUGAUACAUGUGAACCAUGCCUCAUGGGUAAGAUGACUAGAACCCCGUUUUCAGGCAUAAUGGAACGGGCCAGUGACUUGUUGGAGAUCAUACAUACUGAUGUGUGCGGACCAAUGAGUGUUACAACGUGCGGUGGAUAUCGUUACUUCCUAACCUUCACAGAUGACUUGAGUAGAUAUGGGUAUAUUUACUUAAUGAAAAACAAGUCUGAGACAUUUGAAAAAUUCAAGGAAUUUCAGAAUGAAGUGGAGAAUCAUCGUAACAAGAAAAUUAAAUUUCUACGAUCGGAUCGUGGAGGUGAAUAUUUGAGUUACGAGUUUGGCACGCAUUUAAGACAAUGUGGAAUUGUUUCACAACUUACGCCGCCUGGAACACCACAACGCAAUGGUGUGUCCGAACGUCGUAAUCGUACUUUAUUGGAUAUGGUACGGUCUAUGAUGUCUCUUACUGAUUUGCCACUAUCGUUUUGGGGUUAUGCAUUAGAGACAGCCGCAUUCACUUUAAAUAGGGCACCAUCUAAAUCCGUUGAAACGACACCGUAUGAAUUAUGGUUUGGCAAGAAACCUAAGCUGUCCUUUCUUAAAGUUUGGGGAUGCGAAGCUUAUGUAAAAAGGCUACAACCUGAUAAGCUCGAACCCAAGUCGGAAAAAUGCGUCUUCAUAGGAUACCCUAAAGAAACAAUUGGGUACACCUUCUAUCACAGAUCCGAAGGAAAAGUGUUUGUCGCUAAGAACGGGUCCUUUCUAGAGAAGGAGUUUCUCUCGAAAGAAGUGAGUGGGAGGAAGGUAGAGCUCGAUGAGGUUAUUGAACCUUCUCUCGAAUUUGAGUGUAGCGCAGCACCAGAAACUGUUCCCGUGCAUCCUGCAUCAGCUAGAGAGGAAGCUAAUGAUAAUGAUCAUGAAGUUUUGAAUGAGACAACUACUGAACUUCGCAGGUCGACGAGAACACGUAAUACUCCUGAGUGGUACAAUGUUCGUGUCAUGAAUGUCAUGUUGUUGGACAACGAUGAACCUGCGAAUUAUGAGGAAGCGAUGAUGAGCCCAGACUCUGAAAAAUGGUUAGAAGCCAUGAAAUCCGAAAUGGGAUCCAUGUAUGAAAACCAAGUAUGGACUUUGGUAGACUUACCGAAUGACCGAAAGGCCGUUGAGAACAAAUGGAUUUUCAAGAAGAAAACAGAUGCUGAUGGAAAUGUUACCGUCUAUAAAGCUCGACUUGUCGCAAAAGGUUUUCGACAAAUUCAAGGAGUUGACUACGAUGAGACUUUCUCACCCGUAGCGAUGCUAAAGUCUGUUCGGAUUAUGUUAGCAAUUGCUGCAUUUUUCGAUUACGAAAUCUGGCAGAUGGAUGUCAAAACCGCAUUCCUUAAUGGUCACAUUGAGGAAGAGUUAUACAUGGUUCAGCCCAAAGGUUUUGUCGAUCCUAAGGAUGCUAAUAAGGUAUGCAAACUUCAGCGUUCCAUUUAUGGGCUGAAGCAAGCAUCUCGGAGUUGGAAUCUCCGUUUUGAUAAGGUGAUCAAAGGGUUUGGAUUUGUCCAAACUCACGGAGAAGCUUGUAUUUACAAGAAAGUGAGUGGGAGCUCUGUAGCAUUUCUAAUACUGUAUGUGGAUGACAUAUUGCUGAUUGGGAAUGAUAUAGAACUUCUUAAAAGUGUUAAAGGCUAUUUGAAUAAAAGUUUUUCAAUGAAAGACCUUGGUGAAGCAGCUUACAUAUUAGGCAUCAAGAUUUAUAGAGAUAGAUCAAGACGCCUGAUAGGACUUACACAAAGUACAUACCUUGACAAAGUUUUGAAAAGGUUCAAAAUGGAUCAAGCAAAGAAAGGGUUCUUGCCCAUGUUGCAAGGUAAGAUAUUGAGUAAGACUCAGUGUCCAGCUUCGGCAGAAGAUAGAGAAAAGAUGAAUAGUAUCCCCUAUGCCUCAGCCAUAGGCUCUAUUAUGUAUGCCAUGCUGUGUACUAGACCAGACGUGUGUCAUGCUGUUAGUUUGACUAGCAGGUACCAAAGUGAUCCAGGAGUGGAACACUGGACAGCAGUUAAGAAUAUCCUUAAGUACUUUAAAAGGACUAAAGAAAUGUUUCUCGUUUAUGGAGGUGACGAACAGCUCGUCGUAAAGGGUUACGUCGAUGCUAGUUUUGACACUGAUCCGGAUGACUCUAAGUCUCAAUCCGGAUACGUAUUUAUUUUGAAUGGUGGUGCAGUUAGCUGGAGGAGUUCCAAGCAGAGCGUUGUGGCAGCAUCAACAACUGAAGCGGAAUAUGUGGCUGCUUCAGAAGCGGCACAGGAAGGAGUUUGGAUGAAGGAGUUCAUAUCUGAACUUGGUGUGGUUCCGAGUGCGUUGGAUCCCAUGGACAUCUAUUGUGACAACACUGGUGCCAUAGCCAACGCCAAGGAGCCGAGGUCUCACAAGAAUUCCAAGCAUAUUAAACGCCGGUUUCACACUAUUCGUGAAUAUGUCAAGGAUGGUGACAUAAAGAUUUGCAAAGUACAUACGGAUCUGAAUGUCGCAGACCCGUUGACUAAACCUCUUCCACGAGCAAAACAUGAUCAACACCAAGACUCCAUGGGUGUUAGAUUUAUUACAAUGUAAACUAGAUUAUUGACUCUAGUGCAAGUGGGAGACUGUUGGAAAUAUGCCCUAGAGGCAAUAAUAAAUUUGUUAUUAUCAUAUUUCAUUGUUCUUGAUAAAUGUUUAUUGCCCAUGCUAUAAUUGUAUUGAUUGGAAACUCAAAUACAUGUGUGGAUAAAUAAACAAAUACCGUGUCCCUAAUACGCCUCUACUGGAUUAGCUCGUUGAUUAAAGAUGGUUAAGGUUUCCUAACCAUAGACAUGUGUUGUCAUUUAAUAACGAGGUCAUAUCAUUAGGAGAAUGAUGUGAUGGACAGACCCAAACCUAAACAUAGCUUUUGAUCGUGUCACUUAAGUUUAAGUUGCUUAUGUUUUAUUAUGUCAAGUAUUAUUUCUUUAGACCAUGAGAUCAUGCCACUCCCUAGUACCGGAAGAAUACUUUGUGGGCAUCAACCGUCAUCUCGUAACUGGGUGAUCAUAAAGGUGUUUUUCAGGUAUCCCAGAAGGUGCUUGUUGGGUUGUAUGGAUCAAGACUGGGAUUUGUCACUCCUUGUGACGGAGAGAUAUCUCUGGGCCCUCUCGGUAAUAUAACAUCCUAAUGAGCUUGCAAGCAUGCGACUAAUGUGUUUAGUUGCGGGGGUAUUAUAUUACGGAACGAGUAAAGAGAACUUGCCGGUAACGAGAUUAAACUAGGUAUGGCGAUACCGACGAUCAAAUCUCGGGCAAGUAAUAUAUCGCGAGACAAAGAGAAUUGGAUACUGGAUUAAUUGAAUCCUCGACAUAGUGGUUCAACCGAUGAGAUCUUCGUGGAAUAUGUGGGAACUAUUAUGGACAUCCAGGUCCCGCUAUUGGUUAUUGAUAUUUGAUCAUGUCCACAUGUUCUCGAACCCGUAGGGUCACACACUUAACGUUUCAUGUUGCUUGGGUUAGAUGAGAUAAAUGAUGAUGAUAUCGAAUUAUGAUUCGGAGUCUUGGAUGGGAUCCUAGACGCAACGAGGAGCUCCGGAAUGUUCCGGAGAUAAAGAUUUAUAUAUGGAAAGUUGUUUUCAGGGUUCUGGAAAGUUUGGAAUAUUUCCCGGUUUUGACCGGGAAGCUUCUAGAAGGUUCCGGAGGGAUCCGGAGGGUUCCACCUUGAGGCCCACCUAUCCCUGGGCUAAAUGGGCCUGUGAGGGAGCACCCUGGCCUUAAUGGGCCGAGGGGCUAGCCCACAGGGCCCAUGCGGCCAGGAGGAGAGUCCUGGCCGCGGGAGAGUCCUGGCCGCGGGAGAGUCCUGGCCACGGGAUAGUCCUGGCCGGCCACGCCUCCUCUACCCCUAUAUAAAUAGAAGGGGGCGCAAGGGAGAGAGACACCCCAAGCUUUCAGUUGGAUCUCUCUCCCCUGAGCCCUCCUCUCCUUCUCUUCUCACGCGCACGGCGUAGCCCUGCCCGCGAGAAUAUUCACCAUAGUCACCACGCUGUCGUGCUGCCGGGAUCUCGUCUACCUCUCCCUCUCGCUUGCUGGAUCGAGGAAGGAGGAGACAACGUGAAGCUGAACGUGUGGAUACCAAGGAGGUGCCGUCCGUUCGGCACUGAGAUUGAUCUCAUUGAAAGUUCCACUACACCAACAACGAUGUCGUGAUCGUAACGCUUAGCGGUCUACGAGGGUAUGGUGUUCAUGAUCCCUCUCGUUACAUACAUCUAGUAUAUAUAUUCUUGGGUUUUCUUCCGCACUUCUCGUAGGAAAUUUUUGUUUCCUAUGCAACGAGCCCAACAGUAGCCGCCUUGGAAUGCGCUCACAAACUGCUCGCGCAGGUCAGCCCAGGAGGCUAUGGACCCGGCGGGCAGGUUGAGCAGCCAGGUCCUCGCUGAUCCUUUGAGGACCAUCGGGAACCAGUUGGCCCUGACCUUGUCGUCGGCACCGAUGGCGUGCAUCCCCAAUGUGUAGGUCAGGAGGAAAUCUUUCGGGUUCACGGUGCCGUCAUACGUUCCAAGCGCUGGCGCUCGGAACUUGCAUGGCCAUGUUACCCGGUGCAGCUCGCGGGUGAACACGGUGCAGCCGUCCUCGGCGCCCAUGGGAGCAUCCUCCUGCUACUCUGGGUGUUGGCUCUGUGCCUCACGCCGGCGCUAGCGCUCCAAGCGCGGGCGGAGGUCCUCUUGCUGGCGAGCGUUCAAGACGGCCUGCGCAUCACCCCGUGUGACGGUCGGUGAUGAAUCCGAGGACCCCUCAGGAUCCUUGCCUCCUUGCCCUCCCUGCAGGGGAGGGUUUUCUCCCUGCCCCGAGGCGCGGGGCGCGUCUCCGCGUCCCGGGUUCUGCCCAUGGCCUGAACCGGCCGGGACGCCCUCGCCUUGCGGCUACUAGGCGGCGAGCGGAAGGAGCGCAUCUAACUCUGCACUCCAUGCCACGUGCACCGGCGUGCCUUGCGGUGGCUCAUAGCGCACCAUGACACGCGUGGCGAUGAUGGCCUCCGCCGGGAUUUGAGCGGGAGGCUGCCGAUUCUCCGACCGGCUGCCCUCCUCCGUGUCCCCCGGUGCCCCUGGGUGAGUAGGGCGAGAUCCCGACGGCGUCACGCGCGACACGGUAUGCUCGUGGCGCAGCAGCUGCUGCGCUUUUUCGGCCCGCGAGUGGAGUCGCUGGCCGGCGCGGGCAGCGUCGUGGCCGCUUGCGCGACUAGCUCUGGCGCUGGGAGCCGCUGGCCCCCUCAGCUGGUUGUCAGCCGACGGCCGAGGGGGUGGGGGAGGCAGCUGCGACUGCUGCUGCUGCACCCGAUAGGGCUCAGGGUUCUCCUGAUCCUGCGACGCGGGUUGCACGUCGUCUGACAGCGUGUGCGCCGCUAGGGCACCAUGCGGGUCGAUCCGAGAGUUGCCAACCUGCUUGGUAGGCAUGGCGACGGGUUCUGUCGUCGGAGAAGAUGAAGCUGGCGUAGCUGCAGAUGACGGCACCGGCUGUCACCGGCGAGCUCUCCACACGCGCCCCCUACCUGGCACGCCAGAUGUCAUAGCCCAGGGCUUAGACACCGGGGAAGCGAGACACCCCCUUUCAGGUUUGGCAGUGGGCGUUGGGGAUCGCUCCGGCGAUCGCCUGCGAGGCCAAUGUCAAGCGUAAAGAUGCACAAGACUGUUUUACCCAGGUUCGGGCCACCCUGAGGAGUAAAACCCUACGUCCUGCUUCUGAGCUUGUAUUAGCCAAUGAACAAGCAUUUACAAGUUGCCGGGGGAGUCCCCGGGAGCUCUCUCCUUUGCUGCUAAGUGCUACUUGCUAUUUCAGGGCUUAAACUAGUAAGAACCGAACCGAACCCUUUGACCGUUGGCGAUGGUCCUCCUUUUAUACUCAAGGGGAUACCACAGGUGCCUUGAUGCAUGGGUGACAAGUGUCGAGCUUAGACCUUAGGCAGCUUGCCCUUGCUACGCUGGAUGCAUGCACGGUACAAAGCACUGCACCCAGGGCGGUACGUGCCUUGGAUUCACUGAGAGCCACUCACCGUGGGCUGACCUCACAAGGAACCAUCCUUCUGUCGGAGCAUUUAAUGCUUGCUUGUGCCACACUCCUCGCCCUGACGAGUCCCGCACACAGGUAGCCUGCCGGGGCGGCAACGUGGCGCAGAUGCUCUGCCUGGUGGGCACCGGCCCUGUCGUAGGCGCCAGCGCCCGGGAACACCCUCCCGGCAAGUGACCUUCCCGGGGGGUCGUCCUGACCAAGAUUCCCUUGUUGCCUUCCAGGGUAACACCUGCAGCCCGGCUAGUCCCGCUGGGCCGGUGACUUCCCGGGCAGCUCGAGCGGUGCUACCCAGGGUGCUGUCCUGGCGGGAAGCACAUGGAACGACCCACGCGUUAGGCAGCGGUGGUACGCCGGGUGCCACUGGUGCGACACGUAGGGUCACACACUUAACGCUUAAUGUCGCUAGGGUUUGAUGAGAUAAAAGAUGGUGAUAUCGAAUUUUGAUUCGGAGUCCCGGAUGGGAUCCAGGACAUCACAAGGAGCUUCGGAAUGGUCUGGAGAUAAAGAUUCAUAUAUGGAAAAACUGUUUCAGGGUUUUGAAAAAGUUCGGGAUAUUUUCCGGUAUUGACCGAGAAUAUUCUAGAAGGUUCCAGAAUUUCUCGGAAGGUUCUGAAAUAUUCCGGAUUAUUCCUGAGAAUUUAAUUGGGCCUUUGUAGUAAUUAAUUAGAGAAAGCUAAUUAAUUAUCCCCUGAUGGGCCUAAGCAGGCCCAUGAGGGGAAAAGGAAGCCUUCGGUGGAGCUCUCCACCAUGUGGUGGAACUCCACGUAUGUGGGGAGGCCGGGCAGAAGCAGAAAUCCUUCCGGGACUUCCUUGGCCGGCCCUAGCCCCUUGUUGGAGGAGGGACAAACCCUGGCCACCACCCCUAUAUAAAUAGAGGUGAGGGGCAGGGGGAGAAAACACACCAAGCCCUCAGCUGGAUCACUCUCCCCGAGCCCCUCUCCUCCUCCUCUCUCGCGCGCAGCAAAGCCCUGCCCGCGGAGCUCUCCACCAUAGCCACCACCACGCCGUUGUGCUGCUGGAAUCUCAUCGACCUCUUCCCCUCGCUUGCUGGAUCAAGAAGGAGGAGACGACGUAAAGCUAAACGUGUGGAUACCAAGGAGGUGUCGUCGGUUCGGCAUUGAGAUUGAUCUCAUCAAAAGUUCCACUACGCCAACAACGAUCCCGUGAUCGUAACGCUUUGUGGUCUACGAGGGUAUGAUGCUCAUAAUUCCUCUCGUUACUUACAUCUAGUAGAUAUGAUCUUGAGUUUCUUCCGCACUUCUUGUAGGAAUUUUUUUAUUUUCCAUGCAAUGAACCCAUCACAAAGAUCAUCAGGGACUUUUGGUGGGGAGCGGAGCAGGGGAAGAGGAAAACCCAUUGGGUUGCGUGGGACGCCAUGCUCCAGCGAAGAACAUGGGUGGAUUGGGCUUUAGGGAUAUGCAAACUUUCAAUCAAGCUCUCCUCGCCCGACAAGCAUGGCGUCUGCUUGACAAACCAAACUCCCUGUGCGCGCGAGUGCUAAAAGCAAAAUACUACCCCAAUGGUAUGCUGGUUGAUACUGUCUUUACGGGGAAUGCCUCUUCCUCGUGGCAAGCAAUUGAGUUCGGGCUUGAGCUGCUCAAGAAUGGUAUCAUCUGGAGAAUUGGGAAUGGAUAGGAGGUCCGUAUCUGGGGGACCCUUGGAUUCCAAGGAACUAUAGUCGAAGACCGAUAUCGCAAAGGAGAAAUUGCCGUCUAAAGUGGGUUUCUGAACUCCUAACCCCCGACGGCAAUUGGAACAUGGAGCUGCUAAGGAAUUUUUUUUCUCCCGGUCGAUAUUGACUACAUUGUAACAAUCAAGCCGUCACACAGGAACGAGAAAGACUUUCUGGCGUGGCACCCUAACAAGAGAGGCCAAUUCUCUGUGAGGUCGGCGUAUCACCUUCAGCGCUGCCUCUCGCCCAAUGCCUAGGAUUUGGGGGCAACGAGUAGCAGACCAGACGGAGACAAUGCUAAGUGGAAAACUGUUUGGAAUGACAUUGUGCCAAGGAAAGUCAACAUCUUUGCGGGGAAAGCUAGCAGGGAUGCUUUGGCCACGCAGGUUAAUCUCCAUAAUCAGAGGAUGAAAAAGGUGAGAACUUGCCCAAUCUGCGGUGUCGAGGAUGAAGAUUUAUUCCAUGCCCUGGUCCGAUGCCCUAAUGCCCGGGCCAUUUGGCAUGCUAUGAGCUCUUAUUGGGACAUCCCGGAUCCUGGACUCAUGCAGAACACGGGGCCGGGCUGGCUGUUGCAUGUUCUGUCCCCCUUGGACAAGACGAAGGCUGCGAUGUUGCUCAUGAUGCUUUGGCGGAUCUGGCAUGUGCACAACGAUAUCACGCACGACAAAACACCUGCUCCUGUUGUGGCUUCUAGGCGUUUCCUUUGCAGCUAUAUGGACUCACUCCUUCUAGUCAAGCAGAACCCGGUGGUUGAUGUCGAGAAGGGAAAACAAGUUGGCUCCUACUCUGCUAGAGCGAAGGCAGGCCAACGGCGAAUGGGGCAACUCUGUUCCAGUGAUUCAGGAUGGAAGCCGCCGGACCCCGAUUCUGUCAAGUUAAAUGUUGACGGAUCCUUCUCUUCGGCUGAUGGUUCCGCGGGAGUUGGCCUAGUGCUUCGCAAUGAUAAAGGUGAGGUUAUCUUCUCAGCCUACCAGAGUCUCACGCAUUGCACGGGUGUCCUUGAAGCUGAACUGGCGGUGUGUGAGGAAGGCUUGCGGGCGGCAGCGGGCUGGACUGACAAGUUCGUCGUUCUGGAAUCAGAUUGCGCUGAAGCUCUGUCGCUGAUCUGCGCCAAGAACGCCGAUAGAUCACCCUAUACCAUGUGUGUCAGGGAGAUCCGUUGCUUGCUCGAUGAACAGCCUACUGCUGUGCGUAAAGCGGGUCGAUCCCAAAAUUGUGUUAGUCAUUUGCUUGCAAACUAUGCUAGAGUUAAUAAUUGUACGGAUAGCUGGAUCCAGCAUGGUCCAGAUGUGAUUUCGGAAAGUGUAAUGUUUGACUGUCCUGAUGAUUAAUGGAAUUCUCCUUUCACAAAAAAAAAGUAUAAACUUGGAACAGUAAGUAUGCCCAAGGAAAAGGAUAGUUCCUUCAACAUUAAACCAGAGAGUAAUUGACUACGCUGCUAUACCGAUUAUUAUAACUUUGCCACGAACAGAAGGAAAUAACAACAUGAGAAAACAAUAAAGAAACAAUAUAUAGAAUAGAUUAAUUGUCCACUCAUAUGUUAUUGGAUACAUUCAGUUUUGUUUCAAAAACAGAAAGGAUACUAGAAACUUUUGCCCUUACACUACAAACUCCAUCCCUCCUCCAUUGUAGGACUAAUAUAAUUUGUUUUCGCACAACGUAACUAGUUGCCAUGAGAUGACUAGCUACGUGGGAAGAUCAACCCUGAAGGUUUUUCUUAUUUUGUUUGCUAUGGUGACUCAUAUGACCACCAUACGCCUGACGCAAGUUGAAUGUGGCAUUACAAAACCUGCAUAUGUGGCCUGACCUCAUGGAAUCUUGCAUGACAUCACUGGCAAAACUUAUAGUUUGGCCAUCUAUUAGGGUCGUAUCUUCUCUUGGGGUACUUGGGAAUAUUGCGGAUGGACCAGAAGGGGUACGAACACCAUAAAUAUCUUCAUUGUAAAGCGCCCCGUGUUGUAUCUGUUGUGUGUAUAUAGUAUUUGAACUGAAGGGAUGAAGAUUUGGAGGAGAAGAAGCAUAGCCCAAUGGUACCCCGGUGAAUAGCAUUGUUGGGUUCUCAAAUAUCGGUCCAUCAUCCAACCCUCCAAUUGUAUUAAGGUGGGCAUGGACACUAGCAAUGGGAUCUCCUUGGAGUAGGGAUGUGAUUGAUGGAGACUCCAUGGAAAAAAAUCUGCAUUUGCUGAGAUGGGUUGAUGUAGUUCUGGAUUGGGGUUGUAAGAAAUUCUUGCUGUGAGAAUAUUUCUUGAUUCCUUUGAGAGCUUUCCAUGAUAGUAGGUUCUGAUGUAGAGGUUCUGCCAAGAGAUACAUGAUAAGUAUUUGUAUGGGGUAACACUGGAGGUUGUGCUGAUGGAACAUUUGUUUGGUCUUGUAGGUUGGACUGAUUUUUGGGUGGCAUAGGUACUUCUAAUGCAUUGGCGGUAGGUGCAGUGUUUCUCAUCGAAUUAGAAUGCGGUGGCGGCUGGAACGUAGGGGAUACAAACUCAUCCAACAUUGGCAUGGCCGUUGUGCCACUCAGAGCUUCAUGCAAGGGGGAAAUAUCGGACCCACUUUCACUAAAUAUGGCAUAAUUGUGGUAGGAACCGUUUGGAUCCAUGGCUCCUAGAUCGGGGAUUCCUAAUGGAAAGCUACCCAAAACAGAUGAAUCAUUUGCUCGGAUGAUGGAAACUACUAUCGAUGGUUGGAUUUUCCUUGGUACUAGAUCUAUUUUUCUGAAAGAAUAGCAACACUAUUUAUAGGGAUAUGAAAUUAUGAACGUUCUUGGCCUCAUGCAAUCAUUAAUUACGACAAAUCUAGAAGAUUUGACAUUUAUUCACUACAUUCAUAUAAAAUAUUAAUAAAUGAGUCAUCAAUUUGUCUAAUAAAUAAUGUAAUCUUGCAUGAUAUGGCCUUGGAAAAUCCAAUAUUACCAUUGUUUGGCAUAAAUGUUGGCAAGCUCUUAUAUUUCUAUGGAUUUCUUUUAAACCGCUCUAUGAACAAAAAGCUAUUGCCCAGCAUAGUAUGGUGUCCCUAUAUUAUCUAUACCCUUCAUUUCCCUUCACCGCCUUGAGAUUGGAGCUAGAAAUUUUGCAUACCCUCCUCCGACAGUGUGUUUUUUUAUUUCCUGCAUGUGCACAAGGCUUGUUGAAGCACAUUUUCACUAAACUAAUUAUACUUGUUUUUAUAUUGUCCUAAUUACGAGCAGAGGCGAGUUCCAUUGUGAGUGUUUUGGUUGCACAUAGGUGUCAAUUGUAUCCAGUGAAUUGACUAUUGUGGCAUAUGCAAUUGGGGAUUAAAAUUGCUAGAACUUAAAGUAAAACAGAGAUUAGCAAACAUAAAGUAAACCGGGGACUUAAACGGUAUUUCUUGUAAGAAAGAAGUUCGGACAGAGAGGUUCUGGUCAUGCUAAUAAGUGAAUGUGCCUUUUUGCCUUAUAUUGGACGUUCAGUAGGCAAGUCGCCCGUGAAUAGCCAAGCUCCUCCUGUCAGAAUCGGUUACCAUAUAUCAUCAAUGGUCCACUCAUUAAGGUGGUAAGACCGUUCAAUGCUAUGGGCAUUCUGGCUUCUCGUUCCCUUCUUAUUGUCUUUGCUCCUCAUUGAUAUCUCCACAUGCCACGUCACAGAUUUGUUAAAGAAUAGAUGCUUACCCAUAUUGGUCUUGAGAACACUAGUAUUUUGGAGGUAAAAAGGGAUUUUUUUUAGAGUAUUGGCUGAACACUCAACCACCUCAAAUACCAAUGCGCUAGUGACUAAAAAAUACGCCUAAACGGAAUAAGACUGGGCAUUCCCCUCGUUAUCCGUACGGGGAGUCAGGAGCCUGACGGUUACCGAACUAGACAAAGAGGGGAAGAAGAAGAAGACCCUCGUCUCACUACUGCCCACCCUCCCCGACCAUGAUGCCGUAGAGAAGAUCGACAGCUUCAUCCAGCACGAGCUGCUUCUGUAGGAAUUGGGAGAAAAUCAAGUUAGGAAGAAGAGUAAGAACCCUAGAAAUUAUAUGUGAGAAAGGAGACAACGGGGAAAAACCUCUUGCGAAAAUUCCUGCCUCACUACUUGACGAGGACCAGCAAGGUCAGGAGAGACGGUGGCAUGACCGGCGGUGGCAGUUGGUCUCAUCGGAGUCGCCACAACUUGUUGCAGACUCAUCGGCGUCGCCUGAGGAUUCAUCGGCCGCCGCGGAGUCAUCGCAGGCGCGGGUUCGACGCCUGGACAGUGGGGCGCACGGGUCAUGCUUGGUAUCCUCCCCUCGCGUGAGAGCUCGCUGUGUCGUCGGCUCAAGUGGAAAAAACGCGACCCCCAACCCCCUACUCGUGUCUCAAAACCAUCCCGAGCGAGGUGUAUUUAGGGUUUUAUUCGGACUAACACUUCUCAAAACCAGGGUGCCAAACGGACCGACAAGUGGAUUGACGUGGCCCGAUAAACUACUACGCGGGUUUCAUCUAAAAUCCCAGCCUACCAAAUGAGGCUAAGAGCAACUACAGCCGCCCCCCGUAAAGGCCCCCUAAACGGGUGUCGUACCAGUGGCCCACGGGGACCCACUGAUACGGGACGUGUGGGUCGCCAGUGACGAAGCCUCGUCAGGAAGGCCUCCCGGGAAGCGAUGAGUUCGGGAAGCCUGACUCAAGGAGACGGCCCUUGGUGAAGAUGAAGCUAAGGGCCCAAAUAUGAGAAGCCCCCGAGAACCCCGGUCCCGGGAAGCUGAAGAAAAGCCUCCCGGCAACUAGCCAGGUGCGCUAGCUGGGAAGGGGCACCCUAGCAACCCACGCUCGGGCAUGCAAGCGGGACCCGCAGAACAGUGAAGAAAGGACAAGACGGCGGGCGCAGUGCAUUUAAUGCACCGACAGGAGUCUUAUUAGCAGGCCUAGUCUGUCUUAUCAAGGCUAGGGCAACUACUCCGCGAAGCAUUUUUUCUACCGUGUACAGUGGACCGGGCGCUGCAUGGCGUCCAGCGUGGAUCAGCGGGAGUAUUUUUCAUAUGGCUGUGACACGCGUCUGGGAGACGUGUCCUGCUGCAUGCAUUGGCACCUGUGGUAUCCCCUUGUCUAUAAACGGAGGACCAAUGCCACCCGUCAAGAGGUUCCAAGGAGUCUUAGUUUGAGCCCUAGUUAGAGCCAUCGCCAAGUAGCUUCCCGGGAACUCCCGGGACACCUUGUAAGCGACAUUUGCAAUUUUGAAUACAACAAAAAGCAGGACGAAGGGUGUUACACCUCCGGGUGGCCCGAACCUGGGUAAAUUCACGUGUCCACACUUCGUGUCUAUCGUCACGUCGGCUCAGCGAUCGCCUCGCCCUCCACCUAACCAGAAAGGGGGUGCUCGACAUCCCCGGUGCCGGAGACCCGUGCUCCGACAAUGGGUUUGGGGGAGCCGGCGCCCAAAAACCCACCCACUGGCCUCCCUAAAUUGUUUUUUUAGCCGGCGCGGCCCAAAAUGUUUGGCGUGGGCCUACCUUGUCAGCGCCAUUUACUGCCCUCACCGGCUUCGCCUCGGCUUCGCAGGCGAGUUGUGGCGGUCGCCGGGUCAAACCGCCGCCCAAUCUUGUCAGCUUCCACACGGCGCGCCCCUGCGUUCACCCCCCCCGGCGACGCCUAUAAAAGGCAGCACCGUCAACCUCGCCAUUCAUCCACCUCGGCCAUCUCCUUCCUCACCUUCUCUCCUCUCCCUCACCCUCGACAUCGCCAUGGCCCAUGGAGACGAGCGCCGCUGGCUCCGCAUCGACGAGGCCGUUGCGAUUCGGACGGCUGGCUACCGGUCGCCGCUGGACUACCGCCUCCCACACGGCUGGCAGCUCAGCUGGGGCGGCAGGGCCGUCCCGCCGGUGCCGCCGGGUGCAUGACUGCGGGAGCGCAUCUGGGAGCGCUAGGUCGCCCUGACGCCGGAGCAGCAAUCGUCGGCGGAGGGGGCUCGGGAGACCGGCACCACCUAGGACGGUUUCUUCGCCAUCGAGCACCGGCGCGUGGUCCGUAAUGUGCCGCACAAUCGACGGCAUCCUCGCCCACAUCGUCGCCGGCAAUCAGCCGCGGCUCGAUGGAGGCGCGCCCCUCCCUCCUCCACCGGCCCUCCCUCUCCCUCCUCCACCGGCCGGACGCCACAGCUACCUGGGCGGUGGCUCCGGCUCGUCCUCGCGCACGCCCCGCCGGCUCAUCUUUGAUGAGCCGAGUUCAUCCUCGGCCGGAGCACGGGUGCCGACGCCGGAGCUGGAGGAGUGGGCGCCUCCUCCGAAUUACGAGAGCGCAGCCAUCGACCACCGCGGAGACUCCGACCCGGAGGAGUACCCGGGUCCGCGCGCCGCCGAGCACGCCAGUAGGGACGAGGCGGAGCGGCAGGCAGAGGAGCGGCAUGCCGGCUCCUCGACUAACGCGUCCGAGGCCGAGGUCCAGGCCUGACUGGCGGCUGAGGCGGCCAAGGAGGAGGCGAAGAAGGCGGCGCCGGCACUCGUGCCGGUGAAGCGGGAGUCAUCAGUCAUCGCCAUCGACUCCGACGAUGACUCCGGCUUCAAUUUUGACACCAGCGACGGCGACUUGUGGAUGGACCACCUAGACGACUAGGUUUUUUUUUUCAAUUAUGUAAAUUAUUGCAAGUUUAAUGAAAUGUCGCCGAACUUUAUAAAAUGUCGCCUAAUUUGAUUAAUUUUUGCCUAAUUUGAUGAAAUUUCGCAAAUUUAGAUUUUAGUAUCGUGGGGCCGGCUAGGACGCGGCGGGCCCCCAAAUUCCCUUUGCGCCGACGCCCCCAUAUGGCCUAAAAAUAUGGCAGGCCGGACGCCAUAUGUGGGGGAUGGCUGGAGAUGCUCUGAGAGCAACUCCACCCAUCCUCCCUAAAGACCCUCGAAAGGUCAAAUGGGGGAGCCGGCGUAAAAAAACCUACCUUGCUGCAUCCCUCAAUUUAUUUUUUGAGACGGCGAAGCCUAACAAAACAUCGGGCACCCCGGCCAGCCCAUAGCCAAAGGAGGGCAAGCGGGGGCGCCGGUUAACAGCGUGCACCAACAAAACGACGACGCGUGUCCUGUACGAGGACCACACGCGGAAUCUUUCUCCUGCCCACCCCCGACCGCCUCUUCUUCCCGAGAUCGAGCUGCCGACGAUUCCCGGUGCGUUCCAGGACGGUGUAUUUCUCCUGUACGAGUCGUGGCGACGUGGCCUUCGUGCUCGCCCUGGCACAGCUCGACGUGCCGGUGCUCCCUCACUUCUUCUUCUCCACCCGAAGAUCCCCCGUUUUCUCCUUCGUCUAAGGCGAGCGCCGCCGCUCCAGUGCCUCCCGCGCCAAUCCGACGAGCCCUAGAGCUCCGCCCCGCCUCCCUGAGCCCGUUGGUCCCCUCGGACUCCUCCCCCGUGCCCUGGACUGCCCCCGCAUUGAGCCCCGCCGCCGUCGCGCGCCUCCUCUGUCGCUUUCGACGUGGGCUUCCUCGCCGUCUGGCCCACGUUGCGGGCGUGCUGCGGCGGGGCGUGCGGGCGUGCCCUGCGCUGGGCGUGCUGGCGUGGCGGGCGGCAGGCGCUGCGAGCAGCUCGGGGCGAGCGGCGGCAGAAUGAGGCAAGCGGCGAGGCCGGGUUGGAGCGGCGGCUGCAGCUCCGAGCGCGGCUCGCCCCCGUCCAUGGCCACUCUCGGCUUCUUCCCCUGCUCGCGCGGCCACGCCCACAAGGUGUUUAUCAAAAUGUCAGGCAAAACUAUUUUUGGGUAUGAGGAUUACGGCUGGGUCUAUACUUCCCCUCGGUCAAGGGACACGUACAAGGGACACGAAGACGAGUGGAGAUGCUCUACGCCCCGGCGUUUGCCCUCGUGAUUUCUGUUCGGAUGGCUACUUGGAAGUUGGAUCUGACGAUAGCCGACGCCACUGGACAAUACGCUUUCGAAACUGAUUUGCGUAAACAGGUUAUCCUCCUCGGUCUCCCUUCCCAUUUCCCCUUCUCGUUCCUUCGUCCCGAGCCACCCUCUAGGCUCUAGCCUAAUCGGAACGUGGAAGAUUUCGAGAGGUUUAAGCCGGCCGGCGACCGGCUUCGGAUCGCCAUGAGCGAGGUAUUCGAGGGCUACGAGCGCCAGUACUGCGAGAUCUCGGCCUCCCUCUCCCGCAAAUGCACCGCCGCCUCCUCCCUCUUAGGAGGUAUGUUGUGUCCCAUGAAUCGUCUCCCGAUCUUUGUUUCCUAGAUCUUUCUCGCCUCGGAUUGUUCGAUCUUCUUCUGCUUUUUGGUUGUAUCGUACGCAGAGAAGCUGAAGCAGAAGGCGUCGGAGAUCAAAUCCGGCAUCGAUGGCGCCGAGGCACUGGUAACCCUUCUUCUUUAUAACCAAUUAAAUAAUAUGUUAUCAGUCCAAACAAAUUUUCCAAGGAAUUCGAUUGAUUUAUGGUAUACCAAGGGGUUGUAUUAUUUAACCCAUCACGGAAAUAAUUAAAUUUCGCAGGAUUAGGUUAUAGUGUAAAUCAAAGGAACACUCUGUUCUUUAUCGUUUUUAAAUUAGGACAUCGCGCAAACAAAUUGCUCUCAUCUAGGAUGAGUUAACUGUAUGAAUCGAUAAGAGUUUUAUGUUUAGAAUGCCUCAACGUGGUUUUCCUUUUGUAGAUAAGGAAGAUGGACCUUGAAGCAAGAAACCUCCAACCGAGCGUGAGGGCCGGGCUCCUGGCGAAACUGAGAGAGUACAAGUCAGAUCUUAACAACCUGAAGGGAACGUUAAAGAGAAUCACUACUGGCAAUGCUCAACAAGGGACCAGAGAGGAGUUGCUAGAGUCAGGAAUGGCAGAUACGUUGGUGGUAUGAUCUUUAUUCUGAAUUCAUGGAUGGUUUCUAAUUUGGAGGUGAAUCAUGUUUUGGUUAACAAUGUGAUGCAUUCAUGCAUCUAUUUUCUUAACCCGCAUUUUACUGGUUGUGCAUGUCAGAAAUGGUAAACAUUACUACCUGUUUAAUUAAAAGUAGCCCCAGAAUCAGAAUACCUGUCCAUUCUGUAAAUCAAUCUACAUCUGAACAAAGCAGAUUUCUGGAAAAGAAACAAACAUGGAUGUUUCACUUUUUUUAUCCAACAAUUUGGAUGCACUGAUGUAGUCUCUAAUUUGUAAUUUUCCCCAUGUCGCUAGAAUUCUUAAUACAUUUUUUCAGGAUGUGUAAUGGUGAGUCUGAAUAAUGAGGUACAAAUUGUCCAAUGAUGCUCGGAUAUCGAUAUUAAUAGCAUAAUAUGUAUCUAUAUUUGUCACUCUGUUGAAGGAUGCAAAUGUCAAUAUUUUGGCAAGUUAAAGAAAUGUUGUUUCGUGCAGACAAUAAAAAACAUUGUUUCCAGUCCAUCUGUGAUGAAUCUCUACUGAAUGUUUUUUUUUUCUAUGCUCAUUCUAUCGCAUAUGCUGUCCAUAUGAUUCUCUGCGAUAUUAUUAUAAAAGACUGAGAAGAUAGAAUCCAAUCAAGUAAAUAUCACCUUGCGACAUUUAUAUUUUGGUCAAGUCUGAGGUUACUGUACUCACAUGUGCAUCUUUAGUUCUUAAUCUUACAUUUAGUUACAACAGCUAUGACUAAUUUUCUAUCCCAUUAAAGUCCAGUGAUUUCUUUGGAUGUUGAAUCUUGCAGGUAUCUGCUGAUCAGAGGUCAAGAUUGCUCAGGACAACAGAAAAGCAAAACCAGACAACUGAUCGGAUCAGAGAUAGCCACAGAACUAUGCUGGAGACUGAAGAUCUUGGAGUCUCCAUCUUGCAUGACCUACAUCAGCAGCGCCAAUCUCUCUUACGUGCUAAUGAUACGGUAACUAUUUAGUUGAUUCUCCCUGUUUUGGCCUAUUGGUUUGUAAUUUGGUACUAUCUUUCAUAAAAUAUUUGUACGCUCCAAUGCUAUGCAUAUUGUAUGCAAUUUGCUAGAAGGAAGUCAUGAUGAAAUCAUUAAUCAUGUGUUGUCACUCUACCUUAAAUGUUUUUAUGCUAGAUGUAAAGUGAUAUCCUUUGCGGUAAAAUUAGCUAGUCACUGAAUCUCGAAAAACAUAGAUAACAUCCUGAUGCUUUACCUAGGUUGUUUUUGCAUUUUAUUUUCAAUGCACAAUGUUUUCCUUGUGCCUCAGCGGACCUAACUUAUGUUGUAGUAUGAACCAGAAUGUACAGUGUGCAAAUUUAGGAGAUCAUAUAAUUUUUAAACUUAGGUUGGUCAUGGUAGAACUUGUUCUUCAAUAUCAACUGUGAAGGUAAGUUUAAGGGUCCCUUUGUUUAGGCUGGAGCUUCUGCUUAUUUAGCUUCUAGGGACUACAAGCCAACAAGUUAACACGAACACCUCACUUGCAGCUGGCUGGAGAGGAGAAGCUACAAAUUCCCACGCCCCAAUACCCUUCUCACUUAUCCUCUAUUUACGUUAGAAAUGCCACUCGACGCCUGAAACGUUUUCUUCCCAAACGACACUCUCCUCGUCCCCCAGAUCCCGAUUCCCUCCCUUUCCCCUUUCACGAGAGGCGGCCUCGCUAUGGUUCGGGCGCCACCGGGACGCCGCCUGAGAUAUGCGCUGCGCCACCAGCCUGCGGCCGGACCGCAUCUAGGAUAUCACCAAUGGCGGCCGCCGCGCACAUGAAGCGCGCCGCCCCUUGGUGCUCUGCUCGCGUCUCCCUCUUCACAGACGGCGUCUGGCGAAGGAGGGCAGCAGCAUGGAUGGCUGAUGGUGUGCUGGGGCGCAGUGGCGGAGCAGCGGUCGUGCAUGGAUGAGAUGGUGCUCUUCUUUCUCAACGGCGAGACGACGACCAACGACUGAAGCCUCCACGGACGCCGGCCCGGCGGCGAUUUCGUCCUCACAGACCGCCGGCAACAGCCUCCCUAUUUCGUCCUUCUGAACCAGCGCCACACCCUCCCCUGCAAUUUCUCCAGCUGAACUUAGUUUUCCUUUUUUGGAAUUUACAAUUUCUGAUUUACUCCUAUGAAUCUGUACAGUACCUAGCGGAAGGCUGGGAGAAGCUCUGAUGCAUUUUACGUUGAGUCAUUUGUAUGUAUGUACUGUAUAAUUUUUAAGCUUAUAAAAUACACAACAUCGUUGAUGGGUAUUAAAUGUAGCCUGUGGUUAUCAUUUUUGUGUGUUUUGAAACAAUUCACGGAUGCUACAGUCAUACUCGAUUCCUUCAAUCUUGUAAAAUGAAAAAAAAUCAUGUGUAUGUUUGAUUUUUAGUCAUCUGAUCUAAAUUGUAUUUGGGUUGAACAACUAGACACAUUUAUUACUAUUAUCUGAUAUGACACUAUAUGGUUAACUUUUAGAAUAUGACUAUUUUCUAUUAUGGGCUCAGCCAAAGUUGACUAACAUAUGAAUUAACAAUUUAUGCUGAACGUAGCCAAAAUACACACUUGCAAAUCCCGUCAGAAUUAUGCAUUUUACGCCAAAAACAACUCUUCGUUGUUUGCGCUAACUCAGCAUUUAAUCAAAAUUUGCGGCAAACAGGGACAUUUCAGACAUUCCACUCCCAUCCAGCCACAGCCUAGUUUCACUGCCACCUUAAAUGAACAACAAGUCAGGGUCAGGGUUCCUUCCAGCUCCAGCAAAAAAAUAGCUUAUUUCAGCUCCAUCUAGCUUGUUUUCAGCUCCAGCCUAAACAAAGGCAGUGCGUAAAAGCAAUAUGAUGAUGGCAUAGCCCAUAUUCUAUUAACCAUAUCCAGGGAGUUAAAUAUAGCCGCCAUUUUUUUUUAACCGAAUAUAGCCGCCAUUACAACUGAGUUAUUAUGUUCUACUUUAUAUAUGGCCUUUUUUAUGUGCAUGUUUUUGGUUUCUAACCUAUUACUAAAAGUUAUGUCUUGGCACUACAGUUGCACAGUGUGGACGACAACAUUAGCAAGAGCAGAAGGAUCAUGGGGGCCAUGGUAAGGAGGAUGGAUAGGAACAAGUGGAUCAUCGGUUUUAUCAUGACCCUCCUUGUUUUGGCGAUCCUAGUCAUCCUGUAUUUUAAGUUUGUGCACUGAAGGAUUUCCACAGCAUCCGACAUCAGCUUUCUACACCAAUCAGAACUGACGAAGGCAGUUUCUAGUGUGUUUCAUGUCAUUUGUUUUGUUUGUUGGUUUCGAUGAACAGUUUCUUGUGCUUGUUUUUGUUAUGAUGAAUGUCUUGGUUAUGAAAAAUAUGUUGAGACCAUUUGACAGCUUUGUAGAUAAAACAGAUUGUGUAUGACAGACAGAGAAUAUAUGUGCAUUUUGGAUUCUGAAUCGGAAGUUUUGGAAUUAAGUUGAAGAUCUAGAGGCGACUAAAGAAAAUUGAGUUAUCUUGUUGAACUAUAUUUUUCACACACAAACUGGGAACCGAAAUCAUUUUCUUAAAAGUUACUAGCCUGUAACUCUCAUUUGUUUGCUUGAAUUUACACUCCUGAAAAUGCCCAUUUUUCAGAAGUUGUAAUACUCCAAAAAAACUGGGUUCUGUGUUGACAUGUGAGGCAUGCAAAAUGUCAACGUCAAACUCUGUAAUAAUGCUUAAAAGGAAAAUGGAAAAAAAAUGACUACUUAAUGGUGUCAUCACAGGUGAGCCCUCAGAUAUUGGGAUCGAAAUAUUCGCGCUUCCGUUUGGGACAUCAUUUUCUGGAGCUACGGUUGGCCAAAGGGACCCAUGAUAGUGGCAACGGGUUGAUUCUGCGGUUUGUUUGGCAACGACACCACGUGUUUGAGGGUUUCUUCAAGGUCAUACUCGGCACAAACCGUCAUACUCGGCACAAACCUUCCACAUCUACGACACAAAGCUAGUUGUCAAAAUUGGAGUUGUCUUAUUGUGGUCUUCAUCUUCUCUGUGACCAUUAUUGUGGUCUUCAUCUUCUCUGUGACCAUUCAGGGUGAAGUCCAAGACAAGAAAAACACAAAAAAUGGACGUAGUCACCGCCCCGAGGUUCUAGGCCAUUAGAAAUGCAGUUGACGAUGGUGAGACAGAAAAGACGAAAAAAUCACAGGACUUCAAAUCCAGUCGGAUGGAAGUGUUAGAAGUAUCACGUGUUUAAACUAGAGGUAUAGGAAUAGAAAUGAUUCAAACAUUGCACAAUUGGUUUUAUACUCCAUGUCAUCUCACCAUCGCAGAAAAUAUACAUCCACGUCAUCUCGCCAUCGCAGAAAAUAUACCCUGUAUCAAAGAAUCAUUAGAGAUCCAUUCUAUGUUUCCACGCCAAUGUCCAACGAUGGAACCAUUUCCCCUUUUCUAUUCCUCUUCUCCCAAAGCCCGUGCUACAGCUCCGAACCCUCUGUGACGCGCCUUCGCUUCCUCUCUCCCUUCUCUCCGGCGGAAGGAGAGUGGUUGAGGGGGGGCAGCCUUCUCUAGUGAUAUGUAGUACUCCCUCCGAUCCAGAUCCAUAAUAAGUAGGGGGGGGGGGGGGGAGGGGGGGGCAGCCUUCUCUGGUGAUAUGUAGUACUCCCUCCGAUCCAUAGCACUUAUUAUGGAUCAGAGGUUCAUUGCUUUAGCUGUCUUAGGGACGUUUUCUAGAGGGAUUUCAGCACUGGCAAACAGACGUCGGUGGCUCGUCGGUUCCUCUAAUCUGAUUCCUAUCUGAUUCCUCUUUCAGUAAAAGCCUCUUUCAUGAUCUGGUUUCCUCAAAAAAGCCAUCUCCUAUAUAUCCAAAAUAAAUCCAUGUUAUCUUCCUCAUGCGAUCUUGUGGAUUUGCUCUCCAUCAAUCGUUUUCCCCGGAGAUCUUGUUUCGUUCUUUCAUCUAUGACCACCUUGAAGAUCUUAUGGGCUGGUUUGGAGUUGGGGCAUGAUUUCUCUUUGAAUCUUUUGGCCCCUUCUUACUGCUGCUCCGGUGAUUUGCUUCCCUGCUAUUAUUUGCAUCGGAGUAAAACAAGUUAUGGUUGUUGCUUAUGUUUUCUUGGUGGUUGCUGCUCCUCUCAACCCCCCUUUAGCAGGACCGCGUGGCGGCUCCGGGGCAAGGCCUUCAACACGCAGAAAUGGCGGUUGCUCAAGACUUUUUUAUUGGGAUGGCUGUUUUGAAUAGUUUUUUUUCUCUAAUGAAAAUUUUGGCCCCGAAAGUCAGCACGUAUGUGCCAAUUUUGGACAUUAUUUGAUUAUAAAAUUUGUCAGAAGUUGGCUUCAAUUUGAACCAUAACAGUCCACAAAAAAAAUAAGAAGGGUAAGAUGGUAAAUUCACAGGUGAUUGAAAAGUCAACUUUCCUUGUUUGGACAGAGGGGUGUCUUUUGACAAAUGGCUUGAGAAUUGUAAUGGUACCGGGCAAUUCACAAUCGGGCGGUGUGUUUGGGCAAAGGCCGCAAACUGUGUCGUGUGGCAAAUUUCCUCUUGUAAAUUUUAAUCUUUAAGCCUGGAUUGUACUCGAAUUGUAUUCACACUCUGCAGGACUUUCGUCCUACUGUUUCAAUGGAGCAGGGUCCCUUUUACAAAAACGAUGGAACCUGGUAAUGCAUUGAAGUUGAAGCAAGAGAGAAACACACCGAGCAUCCGACUGUGGCUAAUGCAUUGAAGUUACGAUGUGUUUGGUUCUGGGGUAGUGCGGGGCGACCGCGGGCCGUGUGGUUCCACAGAAUUCGGCGGGCGACACAGAUCGUUUUUUCAGGCGAUAUUUCCUCCGCAGCCGCUCCGCUCUAGGUGCUCACACAUCCAAACAUGAAAAAAA
rnacentral:lncRNA from 1 species